GAAUUCUUUGUUCAGCUCUGAGCCCCAUUUUUUAAUGGGGUUAUUUGAUUUUCUGGAGUCCACCUUCUUGAGUUCUUUAUAUAUAUGGGAUAUUAGUCCCCUAUGUGAUUUGGGAUAGGUAAAGAUCCUUUCCCAAUCUGUUGGUGGCCUUUUUGUCUUUUUGACGGUGUCUUUUGCUUUGCAGAAGCUUUGCAAUUUUAAGAGGUCCCAUUUAUCGAUUCUUGAUCUUACAGCACAAGCCAUUGCUGUUCUAUUCAGGAAUUUUCCCCCUGUACCCAUGUCUUCGAGGCUUUUCCCUACUUUCUCCUCUAUAAGUUUUAGUGUCUGUGGUUUUAUGUGGAGUUCCUUAAUCCACUUAGAUUUAACCUUAGUACAAGGAGAUAGAAAUGGAUAAAUUCGCAUUCUUCUACACGAUAACCGCCAGUUGUGCCAGCACCAUUUGUUAAAAAUGCUGUCUUUCUUCCACUGGAUGGUUUUAGCUCCCUUGUCAAAGAUCAAGUGACCAUAGGUGUGUGGAUUCAUCUCUGGGUCUUCAAUUCUGUUCCAUUGGUCUACUUGUCUGUCACUAUACCAGUACCAUGCAGUUGUGAUCACAAUUGCUCUGUAGUACAGUUUUAGGUCCGGCAUGGUGAUUCCACCAGAGGUUCUUUUAUCCUUGAGAAGAGUUUUUGCUAUCCUCGGUUUUUUGUUAUUCCAGAUGAAUCUGCCGAUUGCCCUUUCUAAUUCAUUGAAGGAUUGAGUUGGAAUUUUGAUGGGGAUUGCAUUGAAUCUGUAGAUUGCUUUUGGCAAGAUAGCCAUUUUUACAAUGUUGAUCCUGCCAAUCCAUGAGCGUGGGAGAUCUUUCCAUCUUCUGAGAUCUUCUUUAAUUUCUUUCUUUAGAGACUUGAAGUUCUUAUCAUACAGAUCUUUCACUUAUUUAGUUAGAGUCACGCCAAGGUAUUUUAUAUUAUUUGUGACUAUUGAGAAGGGUGUUGUUUCCCUAAUUUCUUUCUCAGCCUGUUUAUCCUUUGUGUACAGAAAGGCCAUUGACUUGUUUGAGUUAAUUUUAUAUCCGGCUACUUCAUUGACGCUGUUUAUUAGGCUUAGGAGUUCUCUGUUGGAAUUUUUAGGGUCACUUAUAUAUACUAUCAUAUCAUCUGCAAAAAGUGAUAUUUUGACUUCUUCCUUUCCAAUUUGUAUCCCCUUGAUCUCCUUUUGUUGUCGAAGUGCUCUGGCUAGGACUUCAAGUACAAUGUUGAAUAGGUAGGGCGAGAGUGGACAGCAUUGUAUAGUCCCUGAUUUUAGUGGGAUUGCAUCCAGCUUCUCAUCAUUUACUUUGAUGUUGGCUAUUGUUUUGCUGUAGAUUGUUUUUAUCAUGUUCAGGUAUGGGCCUUGAAUUCCUGAUCUUUCCAAGACUUUUAUCAUGAAUGGGUGUUGGAUUUUGUCAAAUGCUUUCUCAGCAUCUAACAAGAUGAUCAUGUGGUUUUUGUCUUUGAGUUUGUUUAUAUACUGGAUUACAUUGAUGGAUUUCCAUACAUUGAACCAUCCCUGCAUCCCUGGGAUGGAACCUACUUGGUCAGGAUGGAUGAUUGUUUUGAUGUGUUCUUGGAUUCGGUUAGCAAGAACUUUAUUGAGGAUUUUUGCAUCGAUAUUCAUAAGGGAAAUUGGUCUGAAGUUCUCUAUCUUUGUUGUCUCUUUUUGUGGUUUAGGUAUCAGAGUAAUUGUGGCUUCAUAGAAUGAGUUGGGUAGAGUACCUUCCAUUUCUAUUUUUUGGAAUAGUUUGUGAAGAAUGGGAAUUAGGUCUUCUUUGAAGGUCUGAUAGAACUCUGCACUAAACCCAUCUGGUCCUGGGCUUUUUUUUGGUUGGGAUACUAUUAAUGACUGCUUCUAUUUCUUUAGGGGAUAUAGGACUGUUUAGAUAAUUAACCUGAUCUUGAUUUAGCUUUGGUACCUGGUAUCUGUCUAGACACUUGUCCAUUUCAUCCAGGUUUUCCAGUUUUGUUGAGUAUAGCCUUUUGUAGAAGGAUCUGAUGGUGUUUUGGAUUUCUUCAGGAUCUGUUGUUAUGUUUCCCUUUUCAUUUCUGAUUUUGUUAAUUAGGAUGCUUUCCCUGUGCCCUUUAGUGAGUCUGGCUAAGGGUUUAUCUAUCUUGUUGAUUUUCUCAAAGAACCAGCUCCAUUGAUUGGUUGAUUCUUUGAAUAGUUCUUCUUGUUUCCACUUGGUUGAUUUCACCCCUGAGUUUGAUUAUUUCCUGCCUUCUACUCCUCUUGGGUGAAUUUGCUUCCUUUUGUUCUAGAGCUUUUAGGUGUGUUGUCAAGCUGCUAAUGUGUGCUCUCUCUAGUUUCUUUUUGGAGGCACUCAGAGCUAUGAGAUUUCCUCUUAGAAAUGCUUUCAUUGUGUCCCAUAAGUUUGGGUAUGUUGUGGCUUCAUUUUCAUUAAACUCCAAAAAGUCCUUAAUUUCUUUCUUUAUUCCUUCCUUGACCAAGGUAUCAUUGAGAAGAGUGUUGUUCAGUUUCCACAUGAAUGUUGGCUUUCUAUUAUUUAUUUUGUUAUUGAAGAUCAGCUUUAGUCCAUGGUGAUCUGAUAGGAUGCAUGGGACAAUUUCAAUAUUUUUAUAUCUGUUGAGGCUUGUAUUGUGACCAAUUAUGUGGUCAAUUUUGGAGAAGGUACCAUGAGGUGCUGAGAAGAAGGUAUAUCCUUUGUUUUAGGAUAAAAUGUUCUGUAGAUAUCUGUUAAGUCCAUUUGUUUCAUCUCUUCUGUUAGUUUCACUGUGUCCCUGUUUAGUUUCUGUUUCCAUGAUCUAUCCAUUGGUGAAAGUGGUGUGUUGAAGUCUCCCACUAUUAUUGUGUGAGAUGCAAUGUGUGCGUGGGGCUUUACUAAAGUUUCUUUAAUGAAUGUGGCUACCCUUGUAUUUGGAGCAUAGAUAUUCAGAAUUGAGAGUUCCUCUUGGAGGAUUUUACCUUUGAUGAGUAUGAAGUGCCCCUCCUUGUCUUUUUUGAUUAUUUUGGGUUGGAAGUCGAUUUUGUUAGAUAUUAGAAUGGCUACUCCAGCUUGUUUCUUCAUACCAUUUGCUUGGAAAAUUGUUUUCCAGCCUUUCAUUCUGAGGUAGUGUCUAUCUUUUUCUCUGAGAUGAGUUUCCUGUAAGCAGCAAAAUGUUGGGUCUUGUUUGUGUAGCCAGUUUGUUAGUCUAUGUCUUUUUAUUGGGGAUGUGAGUCCAUUGAUAUUAAGAGAUAUUAAGGAAAAGUAAUUGUUGCUUCCUGUUAUUUUUAUUGUUAAAUUUGGCAUUCUGUUCUUGUGGCUGUCUUCUUUUAGGUUUGUUGAGGGAUUAUCUUCUUCUUUUUUCUAGGGCGUGGUUCCCGUCCUUGUUUUGGUUUUUCUCUGUUAUUAUCCUUUGAAGGGCUGGAUUUGUGGAGAGAUAAUGGGUGAAUUUAGUUUUGUCGUGGAAUACUUUGGUUUCUCCAUCUAUGGUAAUUGAGAGUUUGGCUGGGUAUAGUAGCCUGGGCUGGAAUUUGUGUUCUCUUAGUGUCUAUAUAACAUCUGUCCAGGCUCUUCUGGCUUUCAUAGUCAUUGGUGAAAAAUCUGGUGUAAUUCUGAUAGGCUUGCCUUUAUAUGUUACUUGACCUUUUUCCCUUACUGCUUUUAAUAUUCUAUCUUUAUUUAGUGCAUUUGAUGUUCUGAUUAUUAUGUGUCGGGAGGAAUUUCUUUUCUGGUCCAGUCUAUUUGGAGUUCUGUAGGCUUCUUGUAUGUUCAUGGGUAUCUCUUUCUUUAGAUUUGGGAAGUUUUCUUCAAUAAUUUUGUUGAAGAUGUUUGCUGGUCCUUUGAGUUGAAAAUCUUCAUUCUCAUCCACUCCUAUUAUCCGUAGGUUUGGUCUUCUCAUUGUGUCCUCAAUUUCCUGGAUGUUUUGAGUUAGGAUCUUUUUGCAUUUUCCAUUUUCUGAUUGUUGUGCCGAUGUUCUCUAUGGAGUCUUCUGCACCUGAGAUUCUCUCUUCCAUCUCUUGUAUUCUGUUGCUGAUGCUGGCAUCUAUGGUUCCAGAUUUCUUUCCUAGGGUUUCUAUCUCCAGCAUUGCCUCACUUUGGGUUUUCUUUAUUGUGUCUACUUCCCUUUUUAGGUCUAGUAUGGUUUUGUUCAUUUCCAUCACCUGUUUGGAUGUGUUUUCCUGUUUUUCUAUAAGGACUUGUAACUCUUUAGCAGUGUUCUCCUGUAUUUCUUUAAGAGAGUUAUUAAAGUCCUUCUUGAUGUCCUCUACCAUCAUCAUGAGAUAUGCUUUUAAAUCUAGGUCUAUCUUUUCAGUGUUUUGGGGUGCCCUGGACUGGGCAAAGUGGGAGUGCUGGGUUCUGAUGAUGGUGAGUGGUCCUGGUUUCUGUUAGUAGGAUUCUUAUGUUUACAUUUCGCCAUCUGGCAAUCUCUGGAGUUAGUUGUUAUAGUUGUCUCUGUUUAGAGAUUGUUCCUCUGGUGAUUUUGUUACCCUCUAUCAGCAGACGUGGGAGACUAGCUCUCUCCUCUGAGUUUCAGUGGUCAGAGCAGUCUCUGUAGGCAAGCUUUCCUCUUUCAGGGAAGGUGAACAGUUAUCUGGUGUUCGGACCUCCUCCUGGCUGAAGAUGAAGGCCCAAAAUAGGAUCUUUCCCAGAAGCUGUGUUGCUUUGGCCUCUCACAGAAGCUGUUGUUUCAGUAGUCCACACUCUCACCUGUGUAGAUUACUUUCCACGGAGUCCCGGAACCAAGGUGGCACCCUCGGAAGCUGAGGCAGAAGCCUCUCCGGCCGGUUGGACAGCUAACAUUGGACUUUUCAAAUGGCUAUUCUUCAAACAUUUGCUGAAGUUUAUUUCAGGGGAAAUGAUGUCAGCCUCCACUUACAUGUGAUCUGUUUGUUUCCUGUAGAAUGUACCAGACUUCCAUCUUUGGUGUUUGUGCAAGGGCAUUUUAAAAACAUGAAAACCUCCUGAAGGGGCCUCAGAUGCAAAAUUUCUAAUCUUGCCCUUUUCCUCCCCAGACCAACUGUCUCAAAGUCCUGAUGGCCUCUUACUAGUUUGCUCCAAAUCUCUAUUUCUUGGGAUUAGAGAAUCCUGCUCUAAUAAGGGAGAAGGUAACAUUGUGACUUAGGGCAGUGCCUGAGUAUUAGAAUAACCAUUAGACAACCACUCUGGAAAUCAGUCUGGCGGUUCCUAAAAAAUUGGACAUAGUACUACUGGAGGAUCCCGAAAUACCUCUCCUGGGCAUAUUUCCAGAAGAUGUCCCAACAGGGAAGAAGAACACAUGCUCCACUAUGUUCAUAGCAGCCUUGUUUAUAAUAGCCAGAAGCUGGAAAGAACCCAGAUGCCCCUCAACAGAGGAAUGGAUACAGAUAAUGUGGUACAUUUACACAAUGGAAUACUACUCAGCUAUUAAAAAGAAUGAAUUUAUGAAAUUCCUAGGCAAAUGGAUGGACCUGGAGGGUAUCAUCCUGAGUGAAGUAACCCAAUCACAAAGGAACUCGCACAAUAUGUACUCACUGAUAAGUGGAUAUUAGCCCAGAAACUUAGGAUACCCAAGAUAUAAGAUACAACUUGCCAAACGCAUGAAAUUCAAGAAGAAGGAAGACCAAAGUGUGGACACUUUACCCUUUCUUAGAAAUGGGAACAAAACAAUCAUAGAAAAAGUUACAGAGACAAAAUUUGGAGCUGUGACGAAAGGAUGGACCAUCUAGUGAUUGCCAUAUGCAGGGAUCCAUCCCAUAAUCAGCUUCCAAAUGCUGACACCAUUGCAUACACUAGCAAGAUUUCGCUCAAAGGACCCAGAUAUAGCUGUCUCUUGUGAGACUAUGCCGGGGCCUAGCAAACACAGAAGUAGAUGAUCACAGUCAGCUAUUGGAUGGGUCACACGGCCCGUAAUGGAGGAGCUAGAGAAAUUACCCAAGGAGCUAAAGGGAACUGCAACCCUAUAGGUGGAACAACAAUAUGAAGUAACCAGUACCCGGGAGCUCUUGUCUUUAGCUGCAUAUGUAUCAAAAGAUGGCCUAGUCGGCCAUCACUGCAAAGAGAGGCCCAUUGGACUUGCCAAGUUUAUAUGCCCCAGUACAGGGGAAUGCCAGGGCCAAAAAGGGGGAGUGGGUGGGUAGGGGAUUGGGGGGGUGGGUAUGGGGGACCUUUGGGAUAGCAUUGAAAAUGUAAACAAGGAAAAUACCUAAUUAAAAAAAAAAAAGAAUAACUGUUAGAGCUUCCUGGAAGACACCUAUGCCUGAUCCCAUUCCUGCUUUUUAGAGUCAAAGACUGUAGAGUAUAGGGGUGAGCCAUUAGUAGAAAGACACCUCCAGAGGUCAGCAUGCAUCACCAGGGUUGACAUUCACUGAAGCUCAAGGGCAUUGCCCCUGGUUUUUCCUAGCAGGAAUAAUAGAGAGGAAACUGGAGAUGAUCCCAUCACAGGGUUCCUGUGGAAGCCCUGGGGCUAAUUAUGUAAGAUGUUAAUUGUGUUCUCCUGGGAGUGUUUGUGAAAGAGGAAUGAAUCAGCACUCAGGUGAUUUCCUGUAAACCUGAUUCCCAUUUUAAUUUGUAAAAUAAAGGAGAGCUGAUGUCCCGGCUGUUAAAAGGGAAGGUGGAGCAGAAGGGGGUGGGGGGUGAAGGCGAAAAUUGAAGAGGGAGAGAACACACAGGAGGAAGAAGGAGAAAAGUGGAGCAGAAGCACAUGGUCUGGAAAAACUGCAAGUUCGAAAGGUUCUCACAAGCUCAGAAAGAUGGUAAUGUAGUGGUAUAUCUGCCCAAUAUAGGUGCACUGCAUGUAAUCAUAUUGUAAUGUUGCUUACCGGGAUAUAUUUGGGUUGGAGAGAUUUACAGCAACACAGGUUUUAUUCUAGUCUACUUCCCUUUGAUUAUUAACACAAAAAAAAAGACAAAACUUUCAACAAAUCUCAGAAGGUCUUCCAAGUAUGAGGAGACAACAGGACUAAUGCUGUACAGAGUAGAAGAAAGUCACCAUGACAGUGAGGAGCAGAUGACAUGCAAUGAGAAAUGGUAGGGGCAGCCUAGAGGGUUACCCAGAACCAAGCCUUUCACUAAGUACUGAAUGCCUUAUGCAUUUCUUUCACUAAGUACUGAAUGCCUUAUGCAUUUCUAACUUUUGGCUCUGCUUACAGAUCAUCAUUCUCUGAAGAAUGGAAAGUCAGGGACAAGGCAUGACAUUCUUCAGUGGUAGUUAGAUAAAAAUUUUUUAUAAAAAUGCGUGUGUGUGUCUGAUAUAUGUAGUACACAUGAACAUUUUAACAUGGAGAGAUACAAACAUUAUAUGGGGUUGGCUAGAGUAGUGUAGUGAAGUGUAGUAUAAUGUAAUGCUUAAUGUUUAAUGUUUCCUGAGUGGGUAUUAGACUUCAAUGAUGAACAACCCAAAACAAAAUAACCUAAAACUGCCCCUGGGGUUUUCAUUUGAUAGUUUAUGCGAUUUAGGGGAGGCAUUGUCAGAGCAUAAGAGAUUAAUUCUAUUUAAUCAUCAUUUAUAUAGAUUUAUAUAUUUUAAUGGUUCUACAAUUGUUGGUUUCCAUGUAGCCUUUCAAAAGUCUUCAGUCAGUUAUCCCACCUCCAUACUACCUCCUUGUCUUAGUGUGGUUUUGCUUUUUUGCCAUGCAGUAAAGGUGUGGAAAAGCCACUGGGCAGACCAAAUGUAGAGAUGUUAGACUAUAUUUGCCACAAGCCCACUGUCUGGUAUUGACCUGGAUGGAAAUGCAGCUACACUACUUAGAUGGUAGGAAAAUGUAGCCUUGGAUGUGGGAGGUUGAAACUGGGCUUAUAUUUUCAAGUAAUUUUAAUUUUAAUUUAAUUUAAUUUUAAUUUUAUUACAUUUGUGUCUUGGCCAAAGCAUGGCAUCAUAUGGGCAGACAUGGUGCUGGGAGUUCUGUAUCUGGAAUUCCAGGAAGCAAGAAUACCUGUCCUGAGCUGGUGAAACUUUAAAGCUGUUUAAAAUAACAGGAAUUACAGAGGGCUACAGACAGAACAGAGUGUUUGCUCUUCUGACUAUCAUGAGCCUAAGGGGCUGUCUGAAGCAGCCCUGUUCUUACACUUCACCAUACUUAUGGCCCUUCGGCUUGGGACAGUCUCAACUCCAAAGAACUCAAUCUUUCAAAUCAUAACGCCCUGAACAAACUCCAAGGAAGGGAGACUGAGUGAAGCAUAGGCAAAGUUGGAAAGAAACUGGUAGCAGGCAAACAGAAAAACAAACUAGGAUGCCAAGAAGAUGCAAGAAGCCCCCUGGUCUUCCACUGUGCAGUCACUAUUCAUGAUGUGCAGAGAGGGAACACAAAGACUUAGCCAGCCUUUUUGACUCUCAGCCAAAUGGGUUUAACACAGCAGGCUCAUUGCUAAUUCCAGGUUCCACCUUCCUUUCUUUUCUUACAAAUGAUUUCAAUACAGAUAAGCACCUUUCCCUCUACAAAGCCUUCAAAAUCUGACUUUAUACCAUGUUUGUCUCCAUUUGUUCUAGUGAGCUUGGUGGGCAGGCAUGAUGAAGAACUGUUUCCCCAAUGCAAAAUGAACUGACAGAGUACUUUUCUCUUUUAAGUUGUCCUCUAUUAUAUCAUUUAAGGUGUUUGCUCACCAAGUGACUAUAUGAAUAUAUACAAACAAAUUCAUACAUAUGUGUACAGAGACACAUGAAUAAGUGCCUUCACAUAUACAUACACACAUACAUAAAAGAAAAGAAUACAUGAAUGAACAGUACUAUAUACUUGCACCUAAAGGAAGCAGCUACCAUUACACAAAUAUGACACAUAAACAUGCACACAAACACCUGGGUAAAAACACAUACACACACACACACACACACACACACACACACACACACACACACACAUACACACACACACACACACACACACACACACACAAGUUAAUAAUGUUAGCCAAAAAGAGGUUAGUGACUUAACAUGCCUUGAUUUUUCUUAAAUGAAGCACUCUGCAAAACAAUGAGAGGGAAUCUGUACAGAAGCAAAGUCAUGUCUAUGAUACACUCAGCAAAACAACGUCAGCAAAGGGAUGCAUUGUAGGAUUCCAUGAAUCCACUCGGUGAAGCCAGUAAGACACUCAUUAGAUUCCAGGGGUUUAUCUUUGUGCAACGAAGGCAAAGGAGUCUAAGUUUUAUUUUUAAAAUGCUUAACAUAUUUAACUUUUUAUUACUAAAGAGUUCAAUUAGAAAACAAUAAAGCUGGAGACUGUCCUUCUGUCCUAGGAGUGUAUUGGGCCUGAGAAGCUCUGCUCGGAGAUAGCUGCCAUAGAGAAGAUUGGAGGACCUGGUUCCUAGAUAAUUCCGGAAGUGACAUCCUGAGUCACUUCUCCAUACCAUAGAGCUGGAAGGAGUUGCUGUCAGGGUCCAGGAACUCCUCUGCCUCGAAAGCAAAGCUAGCAGUGACCAACUGGGAGGGGGACAAGAGCAUGUGGCUGGAUUGGAAGUGGCCACGAAGGUCACAUCUGGCUUGGUGUCCUCACCUCCUGACACAGGGGUCUGAGUAUCACCUGUGAUCCCUUCCAGCAUCCAAGAGACAGGCAAGAGAAAGAGUGCUUUGUGAAGGCCCUGCAGCAGAAGACAGACACAGAAGUGGAACUUCAAGAAGAAGCUUGAUCCCAGGGCCACUAGAGUCUGAGGACCAGUGGAUGGAGAGCCAUGAUACUCCAGGUAAGUUGGCUUCUGUGGUCCCUCAACCAACACCAAUGCUUUCCCACCAGGCCAGGGAACCAUCUUUUGUGACUCCGGGGUGCCUGGAAUCCUGCCCCCUGACCUCCAAGAGCCCCACACUCCCAUCUUAGAAGGAUAGGCUGUUGUUUUAGGUUCCUAAGUGUUCUUUCAAUAAGAACAUCGAAAUCCUUGGAGCCCCGUUUUCUCUCAUAUCUUCAGCUAGCUGUUUUUGAGCGCUCCUUUUGUGCCCCAAUAUCAUACUCGGAUUCUAAAGGUACCAUGCCUUCUUUGCGAUUUUUUCUCACAUGUGUGGGCCUCCAAACCCAGGGUCAGAAAGUGGUAAUGAAUGAGGGAAGGACUGGAAAGGGAAAUCUGAGGUCACAUGGUAAGAUUUGGAAAAGGUGGGUUGGACUAUCUAUGUUUUCAUUCACUUUUAAGUGUUGGCAACAUGGUUUCUCUUGGUUUAGAAAGGUAUUAAUUGUUGAAACACUCCACUGUGAAUAACAUGUAGCCCAGGUUUCUUGGGUAAGACCACCUCUGGUCUACCCCCUCCCUACUACCACUUUCUGAAGUUUUCAUCAUGAUGAGAUAAAACUCAUGAGAAGGCACAGUGAGUCAAGUUGUGUGUCUGGCACCUGAAGCAGACAGCAUUGUCUUCCUCCUUGUUAAUGAAUUGGCAUUAAAAAAAACAAACAAAUAAAAAAACCCCAAAACACUAAAAUGCCUGUAUAAAAUUAUAGAAAAUAACACCAUGAUCUUCCUAGCUAUGAGCAACUGAACCUCAUAACAAUUAAUUGAGACCAAACCAUACAAAGAUCUCUGCCUGGGAGGUGACAGAAGAUUCAAAGAUGCUGGUCAGACAGCUUAAACAAAACAGGAAGUCUCAGGUUCAGUGACAGACCGGGUUUCUAGGAAAUAUGUUACAGAAAGGCUGAAUAAAAAACAAACAAACAAAUGAUGCUGUCCCAAUAAACAAACAAACAAACAAACAAAUAAAACAAAAAAAGAAAAACUGAACAAAACCUUACAUAAAUAACUGGACUUUCAACACACCCACCAAUAUACAUAUUGGUACACACAUGCUUAUGCCACACAAACACAUUCUCUCUCUCUCUCUCUCUCUCUCUCUCUCUCUCUCUCUCUCUCUCUCUCUCUCUUUCUCUCUCUCUCUCUGUCUGUCUGUAUAUAUAUAUGUACCUAUCACUCUCUCUGUCCAAAAAUCAUAAGUGAGUAGAAAAUUAUGAGGAGAUAACAAUGGAUGGUAGACAAACAGUUGAAUGGGGACUAUGGAAGGCUUUGUUUAAUGUGAGACACUGGACUCUGCUAUCCAUCCCUUGGGCACUAACACUACUUAUGGGGCACAUUUCUUAGACUAGGUUGAGAGGGUUAGUGAAAUUUCAUUCUUGAAGCCUCACAUCUCUCACACCAACACUCAGGCUGAGAGAAGCCUUUCUCACAUCCCUGUUGAUCCAGUCAGCUCCAGAAUAUAAGCUCUAGGAAAGAACUCUAGCAACAAUGACAGAAAUAAGUCCUGACAAGUACGUGCUCAGGCUCUUUCAGUGUGAGCUAGGAUCUAGGCAGAGUGAUGAGACCAUCUUGCAAUGCAGGGAAAGGGGAGAGAAAGCAUACAAGCACCACCAAUACACAAACACACAAAAGGCAAUGAUUUCCUCUCAUAUGGCAAUUACACUGGGAUCUAAUAUUGCAAAUUUUGUACUGCCUGUGAUCUCACAUGACCCCUCAGAAGCAAAUGAGCUAAAGCUCUGACUUCAUCAAUCAACAUUCAGUGCUACUACAAUGGAGGCAAGCACAUGGAACUCAUUUAGCAUCCUGGCAUGUAUUUGUAUACUAUGUGUUCAACCUAUCUAUCCUAAGGAAAUGCAACUUUUAGUUGAGCAGGUUUGUUUACUUCCCAAAUAUGUAGUUUCUUGAAGGAGGAUAACUGCACAUAAAGUCUUGGAAAUGAUCACAGAAAUGAACAACUGGAUGAGACAUAGGAGAGAGCAUGGAUAAGGUACAGGAUGGUUGCUUAGGCUUGACUGUGUUUCAGGUUAGACAUGACUGCAACCUUCUCCUCAUGAUUUAUGCACCUUACCUGCUGCUGCUUGGUACAUAGGUCAUUGGUUUUCAGGCUGCCUUCUUUACACAGCCUCUUUGAUUCGUUGGAGCAUUUUCUAGUGCAAUCUGCUCCACUAGCAACUGUGUUCUCCUUCCACAACAUCCUGACUUUGUGCUGGAGAUGGUUAGAUUCGCUCUGGAGGUGGCAGUGCCGGAUUCCGAGUCACAAACAAACAAAUGAUUACACAAGUCAGCAUCUAUCUUCCUCCCACUCCUCCAAGGACCAUCCCUGCCACAAUGUGCCCUGGUGCCCAGUCAGCCCAGACAACUGUCCAGACUGGCAACGGAACAUCACAUUGAGAGAGGUCAAAUCCAGAGGACAGCCAUAUUUCAGAAGUCGAGGUACAUCUGUAAACUGUGACACUAACAGGGACUUAAGUAUCUCUCAAGAGGACCUGGAACACACGUGUGCUUCUAUGUCCAUGUUAUUUAAAAAUCACCUGUAGGUAGAAGGCAGACCAUCUCUAGGAGAAGAGAAGAGACCCAACCAACAUACAGUCUUUCUAGGUGUCCCAUGGAAACCUUAUCUAUGUAUCUACAUUCAAAUAUACUUUCUUGGAAAGGACAAUGAUUUGAGUUGCUCACAGACUCUUCACACUUGGCCAGAAUGACUUUAAGAGGUAAAAAUCUUAGAGCCUUGCUUUGAAGGAGCCAGGCUUCUGGUUUAGAGGCAAACAGUAUAUAAACUUAGCCCCUACUUUGGUUCAAAGACAAGGAUGGGCAGACAUAUCCUGUGCCUAGUGUUUGGAUCACGACCCUGUUAGUCACUUACCAGUAGAAUUGAUUUUCUUUAGUCAACUCCUUGUACUUGUACAAGGCCUCACUGAUGUCCUGAGGCAUUCUUUUCAGGUCAGUCAUCACCUGGUCAUGUUGCAUCUUUAGCAUGAAUGUCCUAAUUUUGAUUCUGUGGGAGGACAUGCCCCAAGGAACAAAUAAUCCCAUGAACUAAGGAUACAAGGAUCAUGUUAAUUCAAGCUGAAUCGUGGACUACCCCAACACAUAGAUGCCACGACAUUGCUCCAUGUUACCAGUUCCACUUGGAGCUUAUCAAACUUAUUACUCUUUGCCUGGGGUCAGUAGGGGCAGGGAAGUAAAGGCAGGGAUUUGACCUACUUUAUCUCCCAAAAGGGGCAUGAAAAAUAGACUAGCUCUCCAAGAAAUUUCCAGGAACCUGUGCCGUAGUCCUGGAUCCACCUAAAGCCUGUGAUGACACAUCUGUUUGUAGACAAGGAAUUGUCAAUCUUUGCUUUUGUUGCUACAUAAACUCCCAAAGGACAUAAUCAGUAUCUACAGGAUACUACAUUUCCAGUGUGCACCUAAGGUGAGCUCAGAGCUCAUAUGCUGUGCUCCUCAAAGUGAGGCUCCCUCUGUCUUCACUAUUUUUGACUGGAAACUGUGUCAAGCAAAAUCCCAGGCCCCAGCAUACUAUACAGACACUCCAGCUCUUAAGUGGAACACACAUACACACACACACACUGACACCCCCCUCAUAAUCAAACACAAGAGAAUGCCAAAUGAACACACAUUAUCUGAUAGUAUAGUGAAUAAGAUUUGAUAAAAGCAGUGAUGAACUAUGGCCAAUCAAGUUAUACUGAGAGACAGUAUGUGGGACCAGGCCCCUCCAGCUGUUGACAGGAACAGUUGAACCCAAGUUACUUCCAGGUCAACUGCAAACAUGAUUGGCAAUAAACACAGUGUACUUUGCAUCUCCCCAAAACUUAUACCUGUAUAGGAUUCUUACAAUGCAGGAUUAGGGCUCACACACUACAACCUUUAUGCCCAGAGUGUAAUUCGUACCACAGGCUCUGAUUUACCUUUUGAGAAAUCAAAUUUCCUGAGUCCCAUUUCACGACUAUCUGAACUUGAAGUUCUGUGUCGAAAAUCCAUUCAGCAAAAUGAAUUUGGAUGUGUGGACAGGCUGGUGUUGUAGCCUCCUGUGAUAUGAGGGAAUCUGAGGUUAACAGAGAGGGCCCAAGACAGUCAGCAAAGAACUGGGCAUAAUGACUCCCAGUUGUUCAAAUCCUUGUUAGUGUAAUUGGCUAGGAUUCCCUGGAGUUGUCUCUCCCAUUUUUGAUCUUCUGGAGAUCCCUUUUGAGUGUCUCCAUGCUCUUCUUUCUCUGAUCCUGCUUAUUGGUGGUGGAGGCUUGGGGUGAUGCCUUUCCAACAGACCAUGUAGGUUGACCAACACUAGUAAACUCGUAGAGGUAAUCGGGCAGGGAAUGGAGACAACAUGCUUUUCCCUUUCUUUGGGGUCUUGUGAGAUUAUUCAUUUGUUGUGUUUUCUUGGGUAUAAUUACACUCAAUCUGUUGGAAUUUUGCUUCUAGUAUCCUCUGUAGUGCUGAAUUAGUGGAAAGAUAUUGUUUGAAUUUGCUUUUGUCGCAGAAUAUCUUAGUUUCUCCAACUAUGGUCAUAAAGAGUUUUCUGAGUAUAGUAGCCAAGGCUAACUUUUGUGUUCUCUUAGAGUCUGAAAGACCUUUGUCCAAGAUCUUUUAGAUAUUACCAUUUCUGGUGACAAGUCUGAUGAAAUUCUCAUAGGUCUUUCUUUGUAUGUUACUUGACUUUCUUUCCUUAGAGCUUGUAAUAUUUUCUUUCUUUAUUCUAUACAUUUAUACUUUUGUUUAAUAUGUGAUAGGAUGAUUUUCUGUAUUGGUCCAAAUGAUUUGGUGUGUUGUAGGUUUCUUGUAAAUUUAAGGCCAUCUCUGUCUUUAGGUUAAGGACUUUUAAAAAUCAUAUUGUUGAAGAUGUUUUCUGGGUCUUUGAACUGUUAUCCCUCACCCACUUCUUUUUCCAUUAUUCUUAGUUUUGUUCUUUUUAUUGUUUCCUGCAUUUGCUAGAUGAUUUGAGUUAGGAAUUUUUUACUGUGUAUAUUCUUUGAGUGACUUUUUAAUAUCAUCUAUUAAUAUCAUCUAUAGUAUUUCCUUUGCCUGUGAUUCUCUUUUCUAUGUUCUGUUGGUGAGGCUUGAAUCUGUAGACCCUGAUGUUUUUUGUAAGUUGUCCUUCUCCACGGUUGCCCCAUUUGUGAUUUUUAUACCUUUAUUUUUACUUUUUCUUUAUUGAUUUUCUUAUGUAUUUCCAUCCCAAAUGUUAUCCUCCUUCUCAGUUCCCCCUCCAAAAACCUCAUCCCCUCUACUUCUAGCGUUGCCUCUAUGUAUGAGGGUGCUCCUAUACCCCCUCGUCAAAACCCUCCUGCCUCUGUGCCCUAGCAUUGCCCAAGCCUGGAUCAUCAUGCCUGUACCGGACCAAGGGCACUCCCUCCUAUUGAUGCCAGAUAAGGCAUUCCUCUGCUAGGUAUCCAGCUGGAACUCUGGAUAUCCCCAUCAUGUACUAUGUGCUUGGUGGUUUAGUGCAUGUGAGUUUUGCAAGGCUCUGUUUAUUUGAUUUUGUUGUUCUCCUUAUGGGGUUGCAAGAACCUCUGUUCCUUCGGUCCUUGUCCUAACUUCACAAUCUAGGUCCACUUGUUCGGUCUCAUGUUUGGCUGCAUGCAUAGCAUUUCAAGAGACACCAAAUACCAACAGUUACAUUUAUGAAGUAGCAUUGCAAUAAUUACAUGUUGGAGACUUAGAUGGCAAGGCUCUGUAGACAAAGGCUUUUUCUCCAUGUAACCCACAGUUGGUUUGACGAGAGAGACAGUCCUUGGUUCUAAAAUGUUUAUUGAUUGUUUUUCAUGGAAAUGAAAGCAUAACAUGUUUUAAGGUUAGACUAGAAGUUAGGUACCUUGUGAGGAAGGAAUGUCUAGGAAGGGAAGCUUAUUGACUGAAGCCUACCAUCUUCUAUUACCUCAUUAGCAGGGAGAACCCUAUUCUCUUCUAAAUAACCACAGGCCAUUUUCCUAUGUAGAGAUUUUGGUCCCAUGAAAAGGCCUGGUAGGAAGCAGGUGACACUUUUGCCAUCUACUGUGGGUCUGGGACUUCCAACCCACUCAACUUUACCAAAUUCUGGACAUGGUAGUCUACUGUCCCAGGUGUUAGUCUGAGAUUUAUAGAUGUGAGGAGACACCAGGACAUAUGUUUAGUAUGCGGGUCUCAAUGCCUACCCUCCACACUGACACACUGUUUCUAACAAGGCUACAACUCCUAAAAGUACCACUCCCAUAUUCAAGCCACCACACUCCUCUGCAAUCUCCCAAGACAUUUACCUCACUCUGUCCUACUGUUUUUCUUUUUCUCCUUCACAAAUUAUGUUUUCUAUUAUUUUCUUGAAAUAUCCUCCUAUAACCCAACACUAGUGCAUUGCCUUCUAUGGAUACUGCAGUUUAAAUGCACAUCUCUAGACAUUCAAUGUUACCAUCCACAUAAGACACAUGAUGUGGUAUUUGUCUUUUUGGGUCUGGGUUAUAUCAUUCAAAAAUAUUAUUCAUGUGUCCAUCCAUUAACCUGUAAAUUUCAUUUAUAUUGUCAUAGUUCAUUAACAUUGUGUAUAUGAACCAUGUACUCAUUUAUCCUUUCAUCAGUUAUAUUUAUGUCUGGGUUGUUUUGAUGUCCUGACUAUUGUGAAUAAAGCAGGAGGGAACAUGAGCACACCCAGGUCUCUGUCUUAGGAUAAUGCCUUUGGCUAUAUGCCCUGGAAUAGUGUCUGAGUCUGUGUUCUCUUGCUAGAAAGAGACAUCAGGACCAUGAUGGACCUUUUAAUGAGAGCAUUUAAAUGGGGGCCUGCUUACCAUUUCAGAACUUUAGUACAUUUUUGUCUUGACAGAAUCAUACAGAGGCAGACAUGGUGUUGGAGAAGUAGCUGAGAGUUCUAGAUCUGGAUCUGCAGGAAGCAGGGAUGCUGGCCCUGAGCUGGGCUUUUGAAACUUUAAAGCCCACCCCCACAACAAGGCCAUAGCUCUGAAUACCAUCAAAGAGUGCUAUAUCCUGUUGACUAAGUAUUCAAAUAUAUUCUCAUUCAAACCACCACAAAUAGUACAGCUGGUUCUUAUGGAAGAUCUAUCUCUAGCAAUGUUUUCCAGAACAUUUCUCCUGUUUUUCAUAAUGACUGUACAUGUGAAUAUAAACUCUCUUACCCCACAGUCAUGCCAAGAGUUGUGGUCAUUUAGUCUACUUGUAAUAGCCAUUCUGACUGCAGUAAGAUACAAGGUUAAAACUAUUUUAAUUUGCAUUUUUCUGAUGAAGAAGGAUAUUAAACAUUUAAAUACAUAUCUAUGAUCCAUUUCUUUCUCUUCUUUUGAAGAUUCUGUUCAGUUUGACAGAACAUAAGAAGGAAGUGUGUUUGAGACUGGGACUCUCUACUUAUCCCUGCUGUCCCAGAAUCUAGUACAUAGACCAGGCUGUCCGGAGGCUCAUGCAGUUCUUCUUGCCUCUGCCAUCUGACUGCUGGGAUUACAGGUGUGCUCUACCAUGGACAGCCAUAGAACAUUCUGAAAUGUUUAAAUUUAAAAUGUUUUAAUGUUUAACAGGCAGGUUUCCUGGUGUUUAGUUUUUCACACCAUCCGAUUGUCUAGAAAUGAACUCUCUGUCAUAUGUACACUUAGUUAAGUUCCUCUCCCAUCUCAUAGCUGAUCUUUCCAUUGAUUAAGAGUUUGUUUUGCUUUCUUAUUCACUGUUUUAUUGCUAGGACACACCUUGACCAGGAUAACUUAUAAAGAAAAUAUUCAAUUGGGUUAGGUCAACAAUAUAAAAAGGUGAUCCAGGAUUGUCAAGGUGGGGAACAUGUCAGGAGGCAGGCAGGCAUGCAUACAGACAUCAUGGCACUAGAGGAGUAUGUGAACUUACAUUGGAUACAUAUAGAGGAGGCAGAGGAAAGAGAUAGAUACAGACAGACAGACAGACAGACAGACAGAAACAGAGACAGACAACUGAGAGUGUAGACUGAGAUAUAGAGAAAAAGAGAGAAACAUUGUGAGAUCAACAGAGACAGAGAGAUAGUGACAAAGACAGGGACAAAGACAGAGGUAGGGACUGGCAUGAGCUUUUAAAACCGCAAUGCCAACCUCCAGUGCCAAAAUUCCUCCAGCAAGGCCAUAUCUACUAGUCCUUCCUAACACAUUUUUAUGAGGUAGGUAUCAAACAUUCAAUUAUGAAAUGACUUUUGAAGGUCAUUUUUAUCCAAAUUUAUAAUUCAGAAGAUUUUAAUUACUCAAUGUGAAUAUUUUUAUUUCCUGGGAUGUAUUAGAGAAAUACUGUUGUGUAUCUUAUUUGUUUGUCCGACGUGGUCAUGCACAGGAGAGUACAUCAUAACUGUAGCUAAAUUCAUGACUAUAGAGAUAGAGCAUGGAUACUUUUUUCAUCCUGACUUUGGGAUCCACAUAGUUUGACACAUUAUCCACAUGAAAAUCUCAAUUUUCUAUGGAGCUAUGGCUGGCUGGGUACUACUUAUGAAGCCUAAACAACAUGAUACUUGAAGAGUCCCAUUCUUGCCUGAAACUUCUAGUGUUACAAGACUAUGUAUGAACCACACAUAAAUGCAAAUUGUCCUUAUGAUAGAAAUAAUUAGAGAUGAUGUUUUAUCCAUAACAAUACACUAAUUUUAUUCAAUAACAACUUAAAGUGGGGAGUCAGUUUAUACAGUAUAUAGACUUAGCAAAAAAAGCAAAUUAAUUACAGUAACAAAAAGAUAGUGAAUAUAUAAUGAAACUUCAAAUGAAAACACAGGAAAACCAAAAACACAAAGAAAUCAAAACUCUAACCAAAACCAAACAAAAUAAUUAAGCUAAGCAUCAUUCUCUUGCUGCAGAUGUUCAGCACAGACCCACAGCCUGUUGCUGGCCUUGGUGAAAUAGUGCAAAGGCAGUCACUGAUGGUAAUAAUCUGUUCAAGAUGAAUAUAGGCAUGCUUCAUUGGAGUGGGUGUUUUGUUGAUGGACUAGUCCUUCGAAGGCUAACAUGAGAGAUGUUACAGAUGGUACCUCAAAGUUUUUCAAAUUCACUUGACUGAUCACCAUGAUAUAAUUCUAGAUGACCCAACAGGACCAGCCAAAAUUGGCAUUCUCAGAGCCCUCCUGGAUGCCGAGCAGAUCUUGAUGUAUCUCAGCACUUCUCUGAAGCCUUCCAAACAGGCAGUCUUGCUGGACCAGAGGCUAGACAAAAUAAAGGCCUCAUUACCCAUAGCAAACCAAAAAAGAAGAAAAUGCAGCCCAAGGUUGCCAUGGUUACAAGGGUCAAAUGCAAUGGUGGUUAAUUUGCUUUGCACACCCAGUGCUCCUGGUGAACAGCUGUGUCUGAGCAAGAUCUUGACCUGGUCUCUGAUCAGUUUGAGCUUCUGCAGAAUAUUUCAGACCUACAGGAGGAAGUGAAAAAAAGCCCAGUGAGAUCUUGCCAUGUCAGUGAUCCAGCAAAUACCAGCUUUACUCAGCAGGACAAUCCAGUAUCACUUUUCAUCUGAGAUCUUUCCUGUAUCCCCAUAGGAGAAGGGGAAGAGAGCACCUGGGCCUGGAUGUUUUUCUCAAAUGUAAAAAAUUGCUUGACAAUGGAUUGUGAACUACACACUGUGCUGGACUUAUAGUAAAACACCACAUUUCUCCAAUAGUCUAAAUACUUGAUAUUGAAAAAUAAGUGUGUAUCAGUGUCUGAAUCUAACAUUAAACAGAGGCCUUCUAGGGAGCCUAGCAAACUUUGAAGUGAAGGCUCUUAUUAUUUCUGGAGUGCUGAAUCCUUCCUUGGCUCUCCUUGGGAACCCCUACAUCUGGGAAUCCUCAGAGAAACCAUCUCAGAGGAAAUUCAUGCACACUGAAAGGAUACUGUAAUCAGCAAGAGUGUGCUUCAUGCAAAUCUUCCCAAGGGUAAGCAUUGAACUCUAAAGUGGAUAUUCAUGAAGGAAAACAAAAACAAAAAUAAAAGCAAAAACCAAUAGCCCUGCUAUGCUUAUGGCUCCUUAGGUACUGCAAUCCUGUGCUAAUACCUCAUCUUGGAGACAGUGAAAGGAUGCUGCAUCUUUUCAGCCAAGCCAUGACACACACACACACACACACACACAUACACACACACACACACACACGUACAAAAUAAAAUUGGAGCCUGCCCUUCUCUCCUUCUGAGGGGCAGGCCCAAGCUCCUCAGGAUGAGUUGCCAUAGAGCAGAACAGAGGACCUGGUUCCUAGAUAAUUCAGGAAGUGGCAUCCUGAGGCACCUCUCCAUACCAUAGAGCCUCAAGGAAUUGCCUUCAGGGGUCCAGUAUCUCCUCUGCCUAGAGUGGCAAGCUAGAGGUGGCCGACUAGGAUGGGGAGGAGAGGGCAUGGCAGAAAUCCAAUUUCUUCAAAAGAGGGUAAGUCCACAGAAAGUCUUGGAAAUGAUCACAGAAGUGUAAAACUGGAUGAGACAUAGGAGAGAGCCUGGAUAAGGUGCAGGAUGGUUACAUAGGCUUGACUGUGUUUAUGAUCACACAUUAGGGCAUUCUGCCCCUGAUGCUUCAUUCAUCCUACCUGCUGCUGCUUAGUAUAGUGGUCUUUGAUCUUCUGACUGCCUUCCUUACAUAGUAUUUUUGUUUCUAUGUUGCAUUCUUCCAAUGCAAUCUGCUCCCUUAGCAGCUGUCUGUUCUCCUUCCUCAACAUCCUGACUUUGUGCUGGAUGAGGUUAGUUUCAAUCAGGAGGUGGCAGUUCCUGAAGCUGAGCCACAAACAAAACAUGGUGAAUCCAGGAAGCAUCCAUCUUCCUCCCAUUCCUCCAAGGACCAUUCCUUCAUCAUUGGCCCUGAUCCCCAGGCAGCCCCAAACAAGUAUACAGAUUGGCCAAAGAGGGAGAUCACAUCCAGAGGACUGCCACUUUCCAGAAAACCCAAGGUACUUUUGAAAACCCUGACACCAACAGGGACUCAUGUAUCUCUCAGAAAAGAACAUGGGGUCUAUAUGGGCUUAUAAGUCUGUGGUAUAAAAAAAACCCACCUGGGGCAAAAUUCUCUAGGAGUCAAGAGACCCAAGCAUCACAGAAUCUUUCUAUGUUUCUCCUGGAAACCACAUCUAUAAAUCAACUUUCAGAGCCCAAGAGGCCCAAGGAUGAUUGAUAUCUCCAUCAUGGUGGAAACCUAUUCGAUCUUGAGGAUACUUAGUUGGAAAGGACAGUGGCUUGAGGGGCUCCUAGUCUCUUCACACUUGGUCAGAAUGAUCCAACAUGUUAAAAUCUUAGUGACUUGUUUGAAGGAGUCUUGCUUCCUGUUUAGAGACUAACAGUAUAGAACCUGAGUCCCCACUUUAGUUCAAAGACAAGGAUUGGCAGAAAUAUCCUGUGCCUAGGUCUUGGGUCAUGACCCUGUUAGUCACUCACCAGUAGAACUGAUUUUCUUUAGUCAACUGCUUGCACUUGGACAAGGCCUCACUGAUGUCCUGGGGCAUUCUCUUCAGGUCAGUCAUCACCUGGUCAUGUUGCAUCUCAAGCAUGAAUGUCUCAAAGUUGAUCCUGUGGGAGGGCAUGGACAAAGAACAAAUUGUCCCGUGAACUAAGGAUACAAGGAUCAUUUCAAUUCAAGCUGAAUCAUGCACUACCCCACCCCAUAUAUGCCACUUGACCUAGCUCCUUGUUACCGGUUCCACUUGGUGCUUAUUAAACUUAUUACUCUUCAGCUUGGGCCAGUAAGCCCAGGGAAGUAAAGGCAGGGUGCUGAUCUUCCUCAGCUCCCUGUAGGGGUUUUAAAGAAUAGACUAGUUCUCCCAGAACUUUCCAGGAAUCUGUGUCACAGGCCUGGGUCCACGUUAAAUCUGUAUGAUUCUCCUCCUGGUUUUAGACACGGAAUUGACAAUGCUUGGCUCUAUUGCUACAUCAAUUCCCAAAGGACAUAAUCAUAUCCACAGGGAAAAGCCUCUAUAACCUACCAGGAGGUUCCAAUGUGCAUCCACACUGAGCACAGAGGUUAAGUGCUGUGCUACUAAAAAUGAACCUCCCUGGCUUCUUCACUAUUAUUGCCUGGAAAUGGAGUCAGGCACAACCUCAGGAUAUAUCACAUGACACAGACUCUCUAGAUCGUAAGCUGCACACACAGGAACACACACACACAGGAACACACACAUCCACAAAUGCCCACAGAAGCUCACAUGCACCUAGUAUCUCUCUCAUUCUCUGUCUCUGUCUAGCUCUCUCUUUUAUACACACACAACCAAACACACACAGAGACACAGAUACACACACACACACACACACACACACACACACACACACAGUCAAUCAGAAUGCCAAAUAAAUACAUUGAUUUCGGUUUAUCUGAGAGUAUAAUGAACAAAAUUUGAGAAAAGCAAUUAUGAACUGCAGCCAAUCCAGUCAUGCUGAAAGGCAGUAUGUGUGACAGGCCCUUCCAGCUGUUGACAGGACCACUUGGACCCAAAUUACCACCUGGUCAAUUAUGGAAAGGAUUGGCUAUAAACAAACAUUACCUAGCAACUCCCACCAACCAACACCUGUGUAAGCUUCUUAAAUGGCAGGAGGGGAGCUCACACAUUACUACCUUCAUCCUCAGACUGUGAUUCAUGCCACAGGCUCUGAAUUACUUUUGGAGGAAUCAAAAGUGCCUGUGACCCCAUCUCACUCCUAUCUGAACUUGAAGUUCUGUAUUGAAAUUCCAAUCAGCAAAAUUGAUUUGGGUAUACAGACAGCCUGGAGUUGUAGCCACCUGUGGUAUGAGGGAAUCUGGGCUUAAGAGGGAUGGCCCAAGAUAGUCAGCAAAGAACUGGGCAUAAUGACUACCUGUCAUUUAAAUCCUUGUUAGUGUAGUUGGCCAGGAUUCCCUGAAGUUCGUCUCUGGCAUUUUUUAUGUUCUGGAGCUCUCUUUUGAGCUUCUCCAACCUCUCGUGUCUCUUCUCCUGCUCAUUGAUGGUGGGGGCUUGGGGUGAUGCCUCCCCAGCAGACCCUGUAGGUAGAAAAACACUAGUAACCUUGUAGAGAUAAUAGGGCAGGGAAAGGGAAAACAUGCUUUGUUCCACAAAGAAGCCUGAGGAAGAGGAAAAUCUAGAGACACUGAGAAUCCCUGAUAGUGCAUCAUAGCUGUCUUCAAGCUGGGCUCCUCAGCUAGGUCCCUGUUCACAACCACCAUCACUAAACCUAUGCCUGACUUCCUAUUGUAAUCGCCCUAGCCCUGAAAUGCAUAUGCUGGGCCAGGCAAGAAUAAAUGGAGGGCAGUGUCGGCUCAUAUCUGACAACCAAAUCCGUACCUCUCAGCAUACUAGCCAACACUUUUCUAGUCUUCUUCAAAUGCAUGAUGAGAGCUCGUACACUGCUACAGGAACCCAGACUGUGUAUCAGUCCACAUCAUGUGUGUUCAAUACCAAACUGUCUGAGACCUUGAUUCAUAGGCAGGGGAAUAGCCCUCUCUGUUCUUGGCAUCACAUGCUCAUGUAACCUAGAGGAAACUAUAUUAAGAUGAAGUACAUGGGGCUGGUGAGAUGGCUCAGUGGGUAAGAGCACCCGACUGCUCUUCCGAAGGUCCGGAGUUCAAAUCCCAGCAACCACAUGGUGGCUCACAACCAUCUGGAACAAGAUCUGACUCCCUCUUCUGGAGUGUCUGAAGACAGCUACAGUGUACUUAUAUAUAAUAAAUGAAUAGAGCUUGAAAAAAAAAGAUGAAGUACAUGAACACUCUAUCCUGAGGACAACACUUUUCUAUUCUCACAGAGCUUGGUCUCUGCAUGAUUUGCCAUUCAGUGGGAAAUUAAGAUCUCUCAGCAAAGCCCCUGCAGGCUUGUCAAUACCAGGCUGUUUGUAAAACUAAUCAUCAAACACUGUUGACUCUGGUUCUACCAUUGAGGAAUGUGAAGGAUCGAGAUCAUAAUCCCUAUUCCUGGAAGGACCAGCUGAAGCCCACAUCCUCCAGGUAGCUCCCCAAACCUUGCCCAGGACUCACUGUGCAUUCUCCAUGACCAGUUGUUUCUUGCCCUUUCCCACCAUGAUGGGCGGCCGGCCUCCUUCUGCCUUGGUCUGGUGUCUGUGUGUAUUCUAUUAUCUCUCUGAAAUACCCUGAGGAGCAUGGACAACAUGCCUGCUUGGGAACCCAUGAGGAUCUGAAGGAAUACCCCACAAGCUGCACUGGUUACCACAACACUGGCGACAUCACAGAAGAUUCUAGUGUUCUCUUGGAUACAAGAGAUUGUCCAGGGAAGUGACUACUGAUGAUGUCACCUGGAACUUCCAUGGCCUACCAGCUUACCAGCUUGCCCCAUCUGACCAGUUUCUGAGGAGCCCUUUCCUGGAGUCUCUCUUUUGCCCCUGGGGAUACCUCUUGGCAACUUCUCCUUCCAAAGCUAGAGAUUUCUCUCUGCUUCACUACAAGUUCAGUGCUUUGAAUGGGGAGAGUUUGUUAGUGCCAUGGCAUGGCUAGCUCAUCUUCAUUAGGAUCCUUAUAUGAGGGAGAUUCUUCUCCAAUAUAAAUCUACUACUGGGGUCCAUUCAUGUAACAAACAGUCGAUUUACCCAUGUGUCUCUGUUUCCCAGAGGACAGAAACCUACUCCUGCACCUUUACCUUUACACAAGUUGGAGUAUAUGUGUUAGUGUGCAACUGCCUUGAGAGGAGACAUUGUUUCAAUAAAGUGAGCAAUGGGUUUUCAUGAAAUCUCUGAUUUACAACCCCCUUUCUUUGCAAUGAAAACUGCCUUGUACUUGGCAAUAGAAGAAGUCAGGGACAGGGGCAACAUCAAAUUGUAAAGUUUAUGUCCCUUCUUCAAAAGCUAAAAUCCCACAUUCUCUCUAUCUCCAAAACAACCAGACAAAAUAGGCAUCUGUGAACAAAGGCCAACAGGGACAUUGGAUUGCUUCUUCGUAGUCCCAUUAGCUCUCACUUCUCCAGUUUCUACAUUUUUGAGUUCCCAGUUCUAGGCCUGAGUCUGUUGGAGAUUGGAAUAUGAUCCUGUAUUCAUAAGAUACCUAAGACUCAAUUGGAUGGAUAGAGGAUGAACAGGCCUCGGGUCCAGUGAAACCUCAAUUAUAAUGGAUCCAUAAUUUCAGGAGGGGCUCUGGCAUUGACAUCUGUUCCUUCUGCCUUCUUGACCUGGGUGUGCUGAAUGCAUGCUAAAAUGCUACCUAAACUCUCCAGUAAAAUAGUGGAAAAAUCAUGUAAAGCCUUACCAAAUUGAUUGUGUUGUCUUUGUCUACCAUCUUGAGCUAUGCAAUAUCACUAUGACAAAGGUCCAAGGUGUCUGGGGGGAUGGUGGGGUAGUCAGAAGCCCACUCUGUCUCUCAGGUAGUCAGAUGAAUAACCUUUAUGGAGAACUGGAGAAAAUAGGUAAUGAAAAAGUAAUAGUUAUAGUUUGGGUAGCUGAUUAUCUCUGAGCCGGGAAAGCAAUGCAUCAGGCAUUCCAAUCAAAUAGUAUAGGCAUGAAUCCCUCCCUGUAUUUGGGUACAAUAGGCCCAAAGUAAGGAGGAGGCACAUCCACCUUUUCCUGCCCUCUACUGAGAGUUUUGUAGUGUUUCCAUUCAAGAAAAAUUCUUUACUUCCUGAGACCAGAACUCUAAAUUCUGCAUACACCAUGAAGUUUCCGAUCUAUUCAUAAAUCAUUCACUGUUUAUUGACAAGGUUUGGCUAUGAAAUAUUUGCUAUGGUUUGACACAAUUCAAAGGGACUGGUAAAACUGUUGGUCCAGUACCUUCAAGAGCUUUUUAGCUACUCCUAGAGAAGUUUCCUCUUCUUUAUUUUAUUUUAUUAUUUUAUUUUAUUAAAUAUUUUCUUCAUUUACAUUUAAAAUGCUAUCCCUAAAGUUCCCUAUACCCUCCCACUGUCUGCCCUGCACCCCUACCCACUCCCUCCCACUUCUUGGCCUUAAAUCAGGGCAGCUGUUCUCAAGAUAGGAUAUUGUUCCCAACCCCUGUGGCUAGUCAGGUACCUCAGCACAUACUGCAGUCCUACUGGCUCUGGAUGGCAUAAGCUAGCCAGCCAUGCUGUGCUUGGAGGGCAAUGUCAGCUAGUAUCUGAUGUGAUGCAAGUAGGUCCUGGAUUCCCUAGUGCUUAGCACCUCCAAGCUGUGAUUGCCUGUGUCUAAGAUGAAAGUAGUAAAUGUCUCAGAACUUGAAAUAUGUCCAGGGGUAUAUUCUUUUCUUGAUUUUUGCUAUCAGACAUCCAUGGAACUUAAAGAAAUACACCAAGGAUGCAGUGUAGCAAAAGCCUACAGACAUGGACUCCUCAUAGAGGACCAAUUGUGUGUGUGUGCCUGUGUGUGUGUCUGUGUGUGUUUGUGUCUGUGUGUGUGUAUGUACUUGUGACCCCCAUGGGUCUAUGCAUCCUUGGAAUCUGGCGACUACAGUGGGGCCUGUUGCAAGGUGAUGCUGUCUCCAUGUGCAGGGAGCCCCACCUCAGUCAGCACUGCUCUUUGUCUAUAUGUUCACCUUGAUGACACAUUGAAAUCCCGUGAGGAUUAUAUAUAGCUAUCCUGAUAUUGAGUCUCCUCCCAGCAAAUACUGAUUUUUUUGCUCUGGGUAGCUGUGUAGAAAUAAGAACCUACAACUGAGAAUCUGUGUUCUGAAGAUAUAUAUAUUUUUUAAAAAGUGGUAACAGGGUUGAGGUGGGCGAGAUCCUGUGGCACAGACUUCCUCGGAACUUUUUAGAAGGGUUUCCUUCCAGGCCCAUGAGGGAGGUCUUGAAGUCCUUGAUCACUUACUAAGGAACCCCAACCUGUGUUGUCCUGGAAUCAGGAUACUGAGUUUAAUAAGCACCAGAAUGUCUCAGUAUAUAGGAGGCAGACUGUGGCAGCCACUGCAUGAGGGUGUCCAGGACAUAGCCUGAAUUCACAUGAUCCUUGAGGCCUGUGUCAUGGAGUAGCUUCAGUGACUGGAAGAAUGUGUUAGAUUUAUUUCCUAUACUCAAAGCAGGCAGAAAAGGAUGAAAGUCCUCCAUGUAAUAUCAAAUAUAUCCAGACAAGGGUGGUAGAUCCUCAGUACCCAAAGUAUUCAGAAGAUGGGAUAAGACAGAUUGCCAUCCAGUACCAAAGUCAUCCAGAGAGCAUCUUAAGAUCAAAGUCAGCUUGUGGUGUAGCCCUAGGAGCAAGGAGGAGGAAUCUGCCUCCUGAUGCCUUCUUCUGACAGUCAGAAUUAAAUUGAGGAACUCUUGCAGAGCAGCUGCAGCCUUGCCAAGUCCUGCUCUCUGUCACACAAAUGCUUCCCAGAAGCUCCAAGCUCCUGAUUCCCAUUACUGGAAGUCCAAGCUCAAGCCCACCUUCUCUAGGAAGCUCCCUCUUUCAUGCCCAGGAUUCACAGUGACUUCCCCUGGACCAUUAAUUCUUGCUCUUUAACACUAAGACCAAUGGCCAUCUUGUGGCUGCCUCUUUCUGGUCUCUGUAUGUUCAUUGUUCUCUCCUCCAAGAGGCCUGCUCAGUUUUGUCAGCAUGACUAAGGGGGAACCAUAAAGGUAGUUAAUGAAUGCUCCAAGAGCAGUUGGAGUCACCACAACAUUAGUAACAUCACAGAAAAUGCCAGGGCUCUCCAGGUUACAACACAACAUCUAGGGAAGGGACUUCUGAUGUCUCACAGGACAGCUCUUACCUUCCUCCUAAGUACCUCACCCAAAUUGACCUGAAGUCAAAGUGCCUUUUCCAGAGUGUGGGAUAGAUUGCCUUUUGGUACUCAAAAUAUUAAAAGGUGGCUAUCAAUCACCUUCCAAUGACAAACGUAUCCAGAAGAGAUCCUUUGGAUCCCCAUGCAAAUCCACAUGAAAUACCCAGACUCCAGAAUAAGACACUAGACAAUACACAACACAUCUAGAUAAAGUGUGAUAGAUCCCCUUGCAGUACUGAAACUAUCCAAAAGAGGUUAAUACACGUCCAUCCAGUUUCUAUGCUGUGAGGACUGACCUGGACAGAAUGGAAAAUGUCACCACUAAUGUCCAAAGUAUGGUUAUGUUGGCCAGGUGUUCUGGAAGAUUUUAUGUGAGAAUUGCAGCCCAGCUUGUUAUUGCAGGAAAACAAAAACUGGAGCAAGGAUUUGGUUCAUGUCCUGAAUCUUAUUCUACAGAAAAAAAUUAACAACACUAAUACAUAUUAGCAAUGACCAAUAGCUAAAAGGGAUGUAAUAUUAUACUCUAAGCAUACAUCAGUGAAAUAUAAUAGGGUGUUAGCUUUUUAAAUAUGGAAAAGAAAAUGCAGAUGAAGGGGGAAUUGUGUAGAAUUGAAGAGAUGAAAAUAAGGCAUCUAUUUUGAGGCGUUUUCUAGAGAAGCCUGAAGUAGCUGAGAUUGGGAGUUCUCAUACUACACUGAUUAGUGCAUCAUAUCUAAUUGUGAAAGAGAUUGGAGAGGGUUUUUUACAUAAAUAUUUUAACAUAACUCUGUACAUGCCCUACUGAAUGUCAUGCUCUAUGUAAUCUUUCGAGUCUGAUAUCUUUUACUUAGCAUUCAUUUUUAAAAUAAUAUUCAUGUUAGUGAAAUAUCAAAACCCUGCAGACUACGUAGUAUGAAAUCUGCUGUGAAAAAGUGAUCAACACUCUUACCUAACCAAGAAGCCUGUGAACCCUCAGAUUAUAUUCUGUACCUCUACUUCAAAAUAGAACCAUACUAUAGUAGAUGUAGAUGGAUUUCACACUCAGGUAUAUGUAAAUGGUAACAUAUUUAUGUAUAUUUAUAUGUAUUAAACAGAAAUUUUAUAUAUUUAUAAUCAUCAUAUAAUGAAAUAAAUAUUUAUGUAAUAUAAUAUAAAGUAUAUAAUUAAAUAUAUUUAUAAUAUAAUGUAUAAGUAGUAUUUAUUUAUUUAUUUUUUAAUUUUUUGUUAGGUAUUUAGCUCAUUUACAUUUCCAGUGCUAUACCAAAAGUCCCCCAUAUCCCCCCCCACUCCCCUACACACCUACUCCCCCUUUUUGGCACUGGCAUUCCCCUGUACUGGGGCAUAUAAUUUUUGCAAGUCCAAUAGGCCUCUCUUUGCAGUGAUGGCCGACUAGGCCAUCUUUUGAUACAUAUGCAGCUAGAGAUAAGAGCUCCGGGGUACUGCUUAGUUCAUAUUGUUGUUCCACCUAUAGGGUUGCAGUUCCCUUUAGUUCCUUGGGUGCUUUCUCUAGUUCCUCCAUUCUGGGCCCUGUGGUCCAUUCAAUAGCUGACUGUGAGCAUCCACUUCUGUGUUUGCUAGGCCCUGGCAUAGUCUCACAAGAGACAGCUAUAUCUGGGUCCUUUCAGCAAAAUCUUGCUAGUGUAUACAAUGGUGUCAGCGUUUGGAAGCUGAUCAUGGGAUGGAUCUCUGGAUAUGGCAAUCACUAGAUGGUCCAUCCUUUCGUCACACUUCCAGAUUUUGUCUCUGUAAUUCCUUCCAUGGGUGUUUUGUUUCCUAUUCUAAGAAGGGGCAAAGUGUCCACACUUUCGUCUUCGUUCUCUUGAGUUUAAUGUUUUUAGCAAAUUAUAUCUUAUAUCUUGGGUAUCCUAAGUUUCUGGGCUAAUAUCCACUUAUCAGUGAGUACAUAUUGUGAGAGUUCCUUUGUGAUUGGGUUACCUCACUCAGGAUGAUGCCCUCCAGGUCCAUCCAUUUGGCUAGGAAUUUCAAAAAUUCAUUCUUUUUAAUAGCUGAGUAGUACUCCAUUGUGUAAAUGUACCACAUUUUCUGUAUCCAUUCCUCUGUUGAGGGGCAUCUGGGUUCUUUCCAGCUUCUGGCUAUUAUAAAUAAGGCUGCUAUGAACAUAGUGGAACAUGUGUUCUUCUUAUAGGUGGGGCAUCUCCUGGAUAUAUGCCCAGAAGAGGUAUUGCUGGAUCUUCCGGUAGGACUAUGUCAAUUUUCUGAGGAACCGCCAGACUGAUUUCCAGAGUGGUUUUACAAGCUUGCAAUCCCACCAACAAUGAGGAGUGUUCCCCUUUCUCCACAUCCUCACCAGCAUCUGCUGUCAGCUGAAUUUUUCAUCUUAGCCAUUCUGACUGGUGUGAGGUGGAAUCUCAGGGUUGUUUUGAUUUGCAUUUCCCUGAUGAUUAAAGAUGUUGAACAUUUUUUAAGGUGCUUCUCUGCCAUUCGGUAUUCCUCGGGUGAGAAAUCUUUGUUCAGUUCUGAGCCCCAUUUUUUAAUGGGGUUAUUUGAUUUUAUGGAGUCUACCUUCUUGAGUUCUUUAUAUAUAUUUGAUAUUAGUCCCCUGUCCGUUUUGGGAUAGGUAAAGAUCCUUUCCCAAUCUUUUGGUGGUCUUUUUGUCUUAUUGACGGUGUCUUUUGCCUUGCAGAAGCUUUGCAAUUUUAUGAGGUCCCACUUAUGGAUUCUCGAUCUUACAGCACAAGCCAUUGCUGUUCUAUUCAGGAAUUUUUCCCCUGUACCCAUAUCUUCGAGGCUUUUCCCUACUUUCUCCUCUAUAAGUUUCAGUGUCUCUGGUUUUAUGUGGAGAUCCUUAAUCCACUUAGAUUUGACCUUAGUACAAGGAGAUAGUACUGGAUCAAUUUGAAAUCUUCUACAUGAUAACAGCCAGUUGUGCCAGCACCAUUUGUUGAAAAUGCUGUCUUUUUUCCACUGGAUGGUUUUAGCUCCCUUGUCAAAGAUCAAGUGACCAUAGGUGUGUGGGUUCAUCUCUAGGUCUUCAAUUCUGUUCCAUUGGUCUACUUGUCUGUCAUUAUACCAGUACCAUGCAGUUUUUAUCACAAUUGCUCUGUAGUACAUCUUUAGGUCGGGCAUGGUGAUUCCACCAGAGGUUCUUUUAUCCUUGAGAAGAGUUUUUGCUAUCCUAGGUUUUUUGUUAUUCCAGAUGAAUCUGCCGAUUGGCCUUUCUAAUUCGUUGAAGAAUUGAGUUGGAAUUUUGAUGGGGAUUGCAUUGAAUUUGUAGAUUGCUUUUGGCAAGAUAGCCAUUUUUACUAUAUUGAUCCUGCCGAUCCAUGAGCAUGGGAGAUCUUUCCAUCUUCUGAGAUCUUCUUUAAUUUCUUUCUUCAGAGACUUGAAGUUCUUAUCAUAGAGAUCUUUCACUUCCUUAGUUAGAGUCACGCCUAGGUAUUUUAUAUUAUUUGUCUCUAUUGAGAAGGGUGUUGUUUCCCUAAUUUCUUUCUCAGCCUGUUUGUCCUUUGUGUAUAGAAAGGCCAUUGACUUGGUUGAGUUAAUUUUAUAUCCAGCUACUUCACUGAAGCUGUUUAUCAGGCUUAGGUGUUCUCUGGUGGAAUUUUUAGGGUCACUUAUAUAUACUAUCAUAUCAUCUGCAAAAAGUGAUAAUUUGACUUCUUCCUUUCCAAUUUGUAUCCCCUUGAUCUCUUUUUGUUGUCUAAUUGCUCUGGCUAGGACUUCAAGUACAGUGUUGAAUAGGUAGGGAGAGAGUGGACAGCCUUGUCUGGUCCCUGAUUUUAGUGGGAUUGCUUCAAGCUUCUCACCAUUUACUUUGAUGCUGGCUACUGGUUUGCUGUAGAUUGCUUUUAUCAUGUUUAGGUAUUGGCCUUGAAUUCCUGAUCUUUCCAAGACUUUUAUCAUGAAUGGGUGUUGGAUUUUGUCAAAUGCUUUCUCAGCAUCUAACCAGAUGAUCAUGUGGUUUUUGUCUUUGAGUUUGUUUAUAUACUGGAUUACGUUGAUGGAUUUCCAUACAUUGAACCAUCCCUGCAUCCCUGGGAUGAAAACUACUUGGUCAGGAUGGAUGAUUGUUUUGAUGUGUUCUUGGAUUCGGUUAGCAAGAAAUUUAUUGAGGAUUUUUGCAUCAAUAUUCAUAAGGGAUAUUGGUCUGAAGUUCUCUAUCUUUGUGGGGUCUUUUUUUGGUUUAGGUAUCAGAGUAAUUGUGGCUUCAUAGAAUGAGUUGGGUAGAGUACCUUCUGUUUCUAGUUUGUGGAAUAGUUUUUGAAGAACUGGGAUUAGAUCUUCUUUGAAGGUCUGAUAGAACUCUGCACUAAACCCAUCUGGUCCUGGGCUUUUUUUGGUUGGGAGACUAUUAAUGACUGCUUCUAUUUCUUUGGGGGAUAUCGGGCUAUUUAGAUCAUUACCCUGAUCUUGAUUCAACUUUGGUACCUGGUAUCUGUCUAGAAACUUCUCCAUUUAAUCCAGGUUCUCCAAUUUUGUUGAGUAUAGCCUUUUGUAGAAGGAUCUGAUGGUGUUUUGGAUUUCUUCAGGAUCUGUUGUUAUGUCUCCCUUUUCAUUUCUGAUUUUGUUAAUUAGAAUGCUUUCCCUGUGCCCUCUAGUGAGUCUGGCUAAUGGUUUGUCUAUCUUGUUGAUUUUCUCAAAGAACCAGCUCCUCAAUUGGUUGAUUCUCUGAAUAGUUCUUCUUGUUUCCACUUGGUUGAUUUCGCCCCUGAGUUUGAUUAUUUCCUGCCGUCUACUCCUCUUGGGUGAAUAUGCUUCCUUUUCUUCUAGAGCUUUUAGGUGUGUUGUCAAGCUGCUAAUGUAUGCUCUCUCUAGUUUCUUUUUGGAGGCACUCAGAGCUAAGAGUGUUCCUCUUAUAAAUGCUUUCAUUGUGUCCCAUAAGUUUGGAUAUGAAGUGGCUUCAUUUUCAUUGAACUCUAAGAAGUCCUUAAUUUCUUUCUUUAUUCAUUCCUUGACCAAGGUAUCAUUGAGAAGAGUGUUGUUCAGUUUCCACGUGAAUGUUGGCUUUCUGUUAUUUAUUUUGUUAUUGAAGAUCAGCCUUAGUGCAUGGUGAUCUGAUAGGAUACAUGGGACAAUUUCAAUAUUUUUGAAUCUGUUGAGGCCUGUUUUGUGACCAAUUAUGUGGUCAAUUUUGGAGAAGGUACCAUGAGGUCCUGAGAAGAAGUUAUAUCCUUUUGUUUUAGGAUAAAAUGUUCUGUAGAUAUCUGUCAGAUCCAUUUGUUUCAUCACUUCUGUUAGUUUAAGUGUGUCCCUGUUUAGUUUCUGUUUCCAUGAUCUGUCCAUUGGUGAAAGUGGUGUGUUGAAGUCUCCCACUAUUAUUGUGUGAGGUGCAAUAUGUGCUUUGAGCUUUACUAAAGUGUCUUUAAUGAAUGUGGCUGCCCUUGUAUUUGGAGCAUAGAUAUUCAGAAUUGAGUGUUCCUCUUGGAGGAUUUUACCUUUGAUGAGAAUGAAGUGCCCCUCCUUGUCUUUUUUGAUGACUUUGUGUUGGAAGUCAAUCUUAUCAGAUAUUAGGAUGGCUACUCCAGCUUGUUUCUUCAUACCAUUUGCUUGGAAAAUUGUUUUCCAGCCUUUCAUUCUGAGGUAGUGUCUAUCUUUUUCUCUGAGAUGAGUUUCCUGUAAGCAGCAAAAUGUUGGGUCUUGUUUGUGUAGCCAGUUUGUUAGUCUAUGUCUUUUUAUUGGGGAGUUGUGACCAUUGAUGUUAAGAGAUAUUAAGGAAAAGUAAUUGAUGCUUCCUGUUAUUUUUGUUGUUAAAGUUGGCAUUCUGUUCUUGUGGCUGUCUUCUUUUAGGUUUGUUGAGGGAUUACCUUCUUAUUUUUUCUAGGGCGUUGUUCCCAUUCUUGUAUUGUUUUUUUUUUCUGUUAUCCUUUGAAGGGCUGGAUUUGUGGAGAGAUAAUGGGUGAAUUUGGUUUUGUCCUGGAAUACUUUGGUUUCUCCAUCUAUGGUAAUUGAGAGUUUGGCUGGGUAUAGUAGCCUGUGCUGGAAUUUGUGUUCUCUUAGUGUCUGUAUAACAUCUUUCCAGGCUCUUCUGGCUUUCAUAGUCUCUGGUGAAAAAUCUGGUGUAAUUCUGAUAGGCUUGCCUUUAUAUGUUACUUGACCUUUUUCCCUUACUGCUUUUAGUAUUCUAUCUUUAUUUAGUGCAUUUGUUGUUCUGAUUAUUAUGUGUUGGGAGGAAUUUCUUUUCUGGUCCAGUCUAUUUGGAGUUCUGUAGGCUUCUUGUAUGUUCAUAGGCAUCUCAUUCUUUAGACUUUGGAAGUUUUCUUCAAUAAUUUUGUUGAAGAUGUUUGCUGGUCCUUUGAGUUGAAAAUCUUUAUUCUCAUCCACUCCUAUUAUCGGUAGGUUUAGUCUUCUUAUUGUGUCCUGGAUUUCCUGGAUAUUUUGAGUUAGGAUCUUUUGCAUUUUCCAUUUUCUUUGAUUGUUGUGCCAAUGUUUUCUAUAGAAUCUUCUGCCCCUGAGAUUCUCUCUUCCAUCUCUUGUAUUCUGUUGCUGAUGCUCAAAUCUAUGGUUCCAGAUUUCUUUCCUAGGGUUUCUAUCUCCAGUGUUGCCACACUUUGAGUUUUCUUUAUUGUGUCUACUUCCCUUUUUAGGUCUAGUAUGGUUUUGUUCAUUUCCAUCACCCGUUUGUAUGUUUUUUCCUCUUUUUCUAUAAGGACUUCUACCUGUUUGAUUGUGUUUUCCUGUUUUUCUUUAAGGACUUGUAACUCUUUAGCAGUGUUCUCCUGUAUUUCUUUAAGUGAGUUAUUAAAGUCCUUCUUGAUGUCCUCUACCAUCAUCAUGAGAUAUGCUUUUAAAUCUGGGUCUAGGUUUUCAGGUGUGUUGGCGUGCCCUGGACUGGGCAAACUAGGAGUGCUGGGUUCUGAUGAUGGUGAGUGGUCUUGGUUCCUGUUAGUAAGAUUCCUACGUUUACCUUUCGCCAUCUGGUAAUCUCUGGAGUUAGUAGUUAUAGUUGACUCUGUUUAGAGAUUGUUCUUCUGGUGAUUCUGUUACCGUCUAUCAGCAGACCUGGGAGACAGAUUCUCUCCUCUGAGUUUCAGUGCUCAGAGCACUCUCUGCUGGCAAGCUCUCUUACAGGGAAGGUGCACAGAUAUCUUGUAUUUGGACCUCCUCCUGGCCGAAGAAGAAGGCCCAAAACAGGACCUUUCUCAGAAGCUGUGUUGCUUUGGCAGUUCCCAGAAGCUGUCAGCUUCUGUGGUGCAGACUCUCACCUGUGCAGACUAAAUUCCUAAGUUCCUUGGAGUCCCAGAACCAAGAUGGCGACCGCUGCUGCUGAGGCUGAAGCCGCCUCUUGAGCCAGGCAGACACCUGUCCUCUGGUCCGGACUGUGGCCAGCUGUCUGUGGCCCGCAAAGGGUGCUGCCUCAUUGGCUCUGUGCCAACACCUGUCCCAGAAGCUGUCCGGUUCUCUGGCGCACCCUCUCACCUGUUCAGACUAAUUUCCUAAGUUCUGCAGAGUCCCGGAACCAAGAUAGCGACCGCUGCUGCUGAGGCUGAGGCUGUCUCCUGAGCCAGGCGGACACCUGUCCUCUGGUCCGGACGGUGGCUGGCUGUCUGCGGCCCGCAAAGGGUGAUGCCUCAGCGGCUCUGUGCCAACGCCGGUCCCUGAAGCUGUCCGGUUUUCUGGCGCACCUUCUCACCUGUGCAGACUAAAUUCCUAAGUUCUGCAGAGUCCCGGAACCAAGCAUAAUAUUUAAAAUUAUAUAUAUAUAUGUGUGUGUGUGUGUGUGUGUAUAUGUAUAUAUAUGUAUACAUGUGUGUGUGUCUAUGUGUGUCUGUGUGUGUCUGUGUGUGUGUACUUCAAUGUUGUUACUCUAUAACAGAGUGCAGGUUCUAUGCCACACAAAACAGUCUACUAAAAAGUGCAAUGCUAGGCAUAUGUUAUCCUUCUUUUGAGUCAAUAUUUAUAUAUUUAUACAUAUUUUUCCAUACCACCAGAAUGGUUUAUUGCUCUGGAGCUGGUUACCACAUAAAACUUAAUGGUAAAUUCCUUUCACUCAAGACAUUGUAUGCUUGAGUCUUAGGACAUGGUGAAAUCAAUUUCGUGCUUAUCUGUAAUCCCUUUCUGUUAGUAUUCCUGUUAUUAGAAUAUGGCUUACAUGCUAACAUGGGAGAAAAUAAUCAACAUUCUUACCCAACUCUGAACCCUGAGAUAUACAAUGAUUGUCAGCCUGGCAAGACAUGCUCCCAGGGGAAACAGUGGUAUGAUGGUGUGAGCACAACCAACCACUUUCUCACUGGAUAUAAAGUCUGACAAGACUCAUGACUGGCACUAUUGAUUGAACCAAAUACCCAUGAAUGCUCAGAGCACAGGACCUAAAGGAGUUCUUACUAGUAAUAUCCUGCUAUAUGGAAAUGGCAUAAAACUGUCUCUUAGUUUUACCUUUAGAUAUAAAGAGGAGUACACCUUUCACAUCAUCAGAGAAAAUUCCCUUUACAGUAGACAAUGAUUAUUAGAGACCCAUAGCACCAGUUUGUAAUUGUACAUGGAAUAAGAGACAGUUGAGUGCUCAGCUCUCCAUGACACGGCUAUGCAUCAACCAUAAAUCCCAGGCCUAGGAAACGCAUCAGAAGAAAAAGAAGAAAAUAUUGUAAGAUCUACACAUAGUGGGUAGGUAUAAUAAAACUUUUUUUCCUGGCUAUGAAAGGGAUGUUGCACACAUGAAAGCACAGUAACUGUAACUGUAUGCAUAAGACAUACACAAGAUUUUUUCCAAGUAACACAGGCAUUAAUGAGAGAGGGACUCAUGAAGUCCUAUUCUUAAGUGAGGUGCUAGUGGUUACUGACUGCUGCUGAGGAGAGGAGAGUCUGUUUUCUUCAGGGAUGAACAAAUAGGCUCUGUUUUAUUUUUCAACAGCACAUGAAUUUGGUCAGAAAGAGUGGUGUGGGCAGAUAUGGAUGAUUGGGAGGGGAGUAAAGUGUCAAUCUGAUCAACAUAUAUGUGUGAGUAAUAUUUUCAAACAGUAAAAUAAAUAAAUUAAAAAUAAAUAUGUUCUCCCUAUCAAUAGAGACAGGGUACAAAUACAGAGAUUUAUGACUGGGCUAUGAAGAGUAAAUGUUGACAUGCAACCACCCAUCAGUAUUUCUAUACAGUUUACCAGCUGAUAUUAACUAUGAUGCAAACAGCAGCUGACAGAAUAGAAUAGUAGCCAGACAAGUAUCAGGGAAUUAUCUUCAGCUUGUCAUGUGGAAUGUGAGGCUCCAGGUAGUAUCAGAAGAAACAACUAACUUAACAGAAUAAGUUGAGGUUGCCUAAUUGGGAAAAAUAUAUGGAUUCAAGAAAGUGAACAUUUACAAAGAACACUUCAAAAUGUAAUCCUACACAGAAUUAUGAAAUAUUUCAUUGACAACACCAGAGGCAGAAGAAGAGUCAGUGGAUCAAGUUAUCCCAUAAUGUAAGGCUUUUCAAUAUAACCACAUGCUGUUUUAUAAUCACAUGAUUUACUUAUUUGAAUUAUGGGAACCACUGCUCUUCCAGUUUAUUAGACUGAGGUACACAUGAAAUAUAGCUUUUCUGGUUAAUUUAGUUUUGGUUUAAAAUGUCUGAUUUGCAUAUUAAACAUAGUAGUUUGUUUCAUUUCAAUGUAUCUUUUAAAAAACUUAACAUCAUCCCCAUUAUUAUUAGUAGUAGUAGUAUUACUUUAAGAAUUGUCAUUUGUGUAAACAGCUUGCUAAUUUCUGGUUUAUUGUAUUCAUAGUCUAAUUUAUAUACCUUAGAGCUUUAAUGAUCAAUGAGAAGGAUAUAGAUGGAACUGAGGGUGUGAAGAAGAUGCAGGACAUGUACAGAGCCGAGAUCCUGUAGUCUAGACAUUCUUAAGCAAUGCAGAUGUGAGCUCACAGAUGCAUCUUUGCACUCAAAUGACAUAUACUGUUAUUAAAAUUAGAAUUACCUUUAAUCUUGCUUUUUCCUUAGAGAAAUGACGUUGGUUUUCUUCCUUGGGGAAACAAUAUUUCCAUGUUUUUUUUGGUUUUUUUUUUUUGUUGUUUUUUUUUUGCGGGGGGGAGGAAAGGGUUUAUUCAGCUUAUACUUCCAUACUGCUGUUCAUCACUAAAGGAAGUCAGGACUGGAACUCAAGCAGGUCAGGAAGCAGGAGCUGAUGCAGCAGAGGCCAUGGAGGAGUGUUCUUUACUGGCUUGCUUCCCCUGGCUUGCUCAGCCUGCUCUCUUAUAGAAUCCAAGACUUCCAGCCCACAGAUGGCACCACCCACAAGGGGCCCUCCCCCCUUGAUCACUAAUUAAGAAAAUGCCUUGCAGCUGAAUCUCAUGGAGGCAUUUCCUCACUUGAAGCUCCUUUCUCUGUGAUAACUUCAGCCUGUGUCAAGUUGACACAAAACUAGCCAGUACAAUUGACCCCUUGUCAACUUGACACACAAACACAUCACUUAUUAAUCCUCAACCCUUAGUUUCUUAUUCAUCCCCAAGAUCUUAAUAACUUUAAAAGUCCCAGAGUCCUUGCAAAUUCUUAAAAUUUCAAUCUCUCUUAAAAUCCAAAGUCUUUACAAUUAAAAGUCUCUUAACUGUGGGAUCCACUAAAAACUUUCUUCCUUCAAGAGGGAAAAGUAUCAGGACACAGUCACAAUCAAAAGCAAAAAUCAAUCUCUAUCCAUUCAUUGUCUGGGAUCCAACUCAUGAUCUUCUGGGCUCCUCCAAGGGCUUGGGUCACUUCUCCAGCCCUGUCCUUUGUGGCACACAGGUUGUCUUCUAGGCUUCAGCUGCCUGUACUCCACUGCUCCUGCUGUUCUUGGUGGUCAUCUCAUGGUACUGGCAUCUCCAAAAAGCUGCUGUCUUCCACUGUAACUUGGCUUCACCAAUAGCCUCUCAUAGGCUCUCUUCAUAGUGCCAAGCCUCAACUCCUUUGCAUGACCCCUUCAGUCCUGGGCCAUCAAUUGCAACUGAGGCCUUCCCUGGCCUCUCACAGUGCCGAGCCUCAGCUGCUCUGUGUGACCCCUUUAUGCCUUCAAAACCAGCACCAUCUGGGUAACUUACACAUUACCAAGUCCAGCCACAGCCCAAGGUACAACCCUGGCUAUCUCUGGAACACAGCCUCUGUGCUCUCAGAAAACACUUCCCAGAAGAUGUCACCUCAAUGAUGCUGGUCUCUCUCUCUUUUUUUUUUUUUUUUUUUUUGGUUUUUCGAGAAAGGGUUUCUCUGUGUUGCCCUGGCUGUCCUGGAACUCACUUUGUAGACCAGGCUGGCCUCGACUCAGAAAUCUGCCUGCCUCUGCCUCCCAAGUGCUGGGAUUAAAGCGUGUGCCACCAUGCCAGGCCUGAAAAGAGUCUUUAAUCUUCCCUCUAAAAUUUCACAAGCCAGGACUCCAUCUCCUGCACUGUUCUCAUCAUUAUCUUCCAAGCUCCUUCACAACAUCCCACAGAGCUCUUAACACCGAAUAGAUCUUCUAGCCCAAAGUUCCAAAGUCCUUCCACAGUCCUCCCCAAAACAUGAUCAGGCUGUCACAGGAAUACCCCACUCCUCGUACCAAUUGUCUUAGGGUUUCUAUUCCUGCACAAACAUCAUAACCAAGAAGCAAGUUGGGGAGGAAAGGGUUUAUUCAGCUUACACUUCCAUACUGCUGUUCAUCACUAAAGGAAGUCAGGACUGGAACUCAAGCAGGUCAGGAAGCAGGAGCUGAUGCAGAGGCCAUGGAGGGAUGUUCUUUACUGGCUUGCUUCCCCUGGCUUCCUCAGCCUGCUCUCUUAUAGAAUCCAAGACUUCCAGCCCACAGAUGGUACCACCUACAAGGGGGCGUCCCCCCUUGAUCACUAAUUGAGAAAAUGCCUUUCAGCUGAAUCUCAUGGAGGCAUUUUCUCAACUGAAGCUCCUUUCUCUGUGAUAACUCCAGCCUGUGUCAAGUUAACAUAAAACUAGCCAGUACAGCGAUCUAAUUUCUUACAAAAAUACUUUACUGAAGCAAGAAAACACCUAUUGACUAUUACAUCCUGUAGGAUCUUGAUCCAAAUGAAAGGGAUAUAGGCUAUGUCUAGUAAUUAAGUAAAUAUAAACAAAAGACUGUUAAAAUGUCACUUUUAUUUUAGCACACCUGAGUUAAGUGUGGGACUGAAACAAAUACAACAGGAUAUAUACAGCAUGUCAAGGAGGCAGGCUUUAAAACCAUGCUAUAGAAAAGAGAAGACUGGGAGGACACCCGAUUUAAGAAGCUUUGGAUAGUGAUUAAUGGAUAUGCAAAUAUAGUAUUCUCCAAUGGAUUUGGCAAAGAUUUUGUUUUUCAUUUCCAGUCUUUUAAAGUAGACAGCUGAUUUUCAGAGCACAUAAGAUUUAAAUACAAACAGGAGAAUUCAGCAGAGUGAUAAAGGUGCCUGCAACAAAACUGACCACCCAAGGUAAUGGUGGACAGCAAGGCGAGAAUCCUCACCCUGCAAAGCAGGACGAGGGGGAACUGCAAAGUGGGGUUCGUGGGUAACCUUAGCUUCUACUUGCUACUCAGUUCACAAAGUUAGAGGCCUUUACAGAUAACCCGCACGCACCCUUUAAUUUUCUGCUAUAUAAUAGGAUUAUAAGGCCACAAUAUUCCUUUGGGGAAAACCCUUUAAUGAUUUAAAUAUCACUUACUUGUUCUUUUGAAGUGUAAAGUGUCUUAACUGGAUUAUGAUUACAGAUCAGUUUUAAAUACACCAUUGCUACUAUAUUAAAAUUAUUUAUACUAUUUAUAUCUAAUAUUCAAAGAAAUUUACUAGUAAAUGCUACAAUAGGCAUCAGUCUGACAUGCUUAUUAAUUGAUCCCAUAGUUAAAUUAUAGGUCAUGACAAGAGUCUAUUCUGUCUCACUAAAUCAGGAACACCGCAUUUACAGAACAAAUUAACACACAUAGUGCAAACGCCCAAGGACCAUGCUAGCUCUUCAAUUAGCUGUCACAGCUCAGACAUGAAUCCUCACUGUGUGAACAGAAGUCAGAUCCAAAUCUUCAUCAGAAGGUGCUAGUGGAAGUUGUCAGACGCCUUCCAAUGUAGAUCCCCAAGCCAAUGGCCAGCAGAUGAGACAGUAACAGAGAUGGAAGGAAAACCUUCAGAAAGUCUGCUGAGAAAAUUCCCCCUUUCUUCAUAACGCUUGUGUUUCUCAUGCUGAAAGUAGCUGUGCGCUUCGGGUGUUUAAAAAGGAACUCCUUGGGGGGAAUAUUUUCUGGCCGACUUGACCAAUCCCAUAUCCAAUCUGAGUUUUUCUUCAGGAUACUUUCAACUUCUCUUCUUCUCUCAAUAUAAUCUUCCUCAGACAGAGUGCUGUUUUUCUCGCCAAAGCUGUGGCUGUCUCUUUCAGCUCUGUUGGUAUCUUGUGGUGUCUGGGAGCGAGGUGGGCUGUCACAGUGAGAACUCUUGGAGCUACUUCGUCCAGAUUCAUGCUGGGCAUCCAACAGUAUUUUUUCCAUGUCACCAUUAUAAAUAAAGAUGGAGGCUGGAACGCUGCUCCCAUUGCCAUUGCUGAAGUGCAGUUCUACCCAGGAGCCCUGCAGGUUCUCCUCCCCGCUCUGUGACAUGGUGGUUCGGCCUAUUUCCAUGUUUUAAGCACUUCACUUUUACUUUGAAAUCUUUUAAAAUGAUGUCCUUAAGAUGCACCAACUGUGAUUCACUAGGCUCAUGCUGAAUCUCCUUCGAAGCCUUGGCAUCAGGUUGAUCUAAGAGUAGGGACCUGCUGUCAUAUUCCUGUUUAGUUUUGCUGUUUAGACAGUUGCUGAAGAUGUGCAGGUAGAAUGUUUUAUUUUGGGGGAGGUGCUUGUUGUCAAAAUAACUCUGUGUUUAUGUAUUACAGUGUAUAAAUGAAGAAACAGGAGCAACCACUUUCUAUUUUUCAGUUAAAUAUCUAUGUAUGUGCUCGGCUCCUCACCCUGUUAAAAUCAUUUAUAAAAACAUGAACCAGUACACUUAAUUUACUACUGAUUACUGUGCUGACUACAAUAAACACAGCUUACUUGUUAAAUCUUCCAAAAUGAAUUACAUGACAUUUAACAUCGCAACGGAUGCUUCAUGUAAAAAAUAUUGCCUUACCCUGUCUAAAAAUCUUCAGAUUUAAGAUACGUUAAAGCCCAUUUAUCAGUAAAUAGUUGGAAAGCUUACCUUCAUAAAAGGCACCUCUGCAAACACCAUCCUAGAUUACAAGUGCUACCAUUCUGCUCUUUCAGGUAAUUUAAAGGUCCAUAAUUUUUAUAUCUCCGGAGCUCAAAGAUCUUCAUUUUGCUGUCAGGCUAAGAAAGUGACCUCCCACUCACAUUAUUAGAACCACAGCUGCCAGGGGCAGCAGGUACAUAGGUGCAUGAUCUCCAAUUCAAAUCCAACUCUGCAGAGAAAUCAGCGUAAAUGCCCUGUGGCUGAGGAAUAUCAGGUUGUGGAAGUAUUUAGGCAAGUGUCAGCCAGUAUUCUGUUAAGAGUAGAAAAGUCACUCAGAAAUAUAAAUUCACACCUGAAUGGCCUCCUGAACCUAGCUUUAUUGAUUGUUAUCCCAUCAGUUUGCCAGCUCCCCUCCCUAACCUAAUUGAGUAUAGAUUUCAAAUACCCACGUGCUUCAAUUACUUCUGUUACCUUUCUUCUCUGUAAAAGGUAAUGGGACUCUUCAGAUUACAGAACAAUUACUCACUAUAAAAAGAAUUCACAAUAUCCCCAGCCUUCUACCUUCCUAUUUUUGAGUCUAUUUUUGGACCACCUGAUGACCCUUGAAGAGAUACAUGCUGGCAAGUGCUAAUUUAGGGUAGUAUUUAUGGAGAUUCUUUGCAAUGUCCCUUUGCGCUACACCAGUUCAAGUCCUUCCCAUACCAUUUAAUACUCACAAAUCUCAGAUACAAACAGAAUGAUAACCCAUGAUAAUGUCUUCUAAGCAAUAAAAAACCAAAAAAAAAACAGUUACACAAUCAUAUUUUGCCACAGAUCUUUCAAGGAGAGCAAAUGUUUGUAUGAGUCAGAAAUGGAAGAAAAACUAUCAGACUCCACAAAAUCAUAGUUGCCUCCCACUCUUAUAAACUGGAUAACAGUACGACACCAUCACCGCAGUUCACAACAACUGCAAUACCUAUAUCCCUGAAAGUUAUAUAAGCUUAACAAGCAGUUGAAAAUUGAAUUCCAGAACAAAUUUAAAUGCAUGGUGUUGUGCUGGGCAUGGUGGUAUAUGCCUGUGAUCUCAGCACUCAGGAGGCAGAGGCAGGUGAAUUUUUGCAUUCAGUUCAAGGUAAUCCUGGUCUACAAAGUGACCUCCAGGACAGCCAGAACUAUACAGAGAAACCCUAUCUCAAAAAAAAACAAACAAAGAAAUGCCUGGUGUAGUAGCAUAAGAAUACUUUAAUCUCUGCACUUGAAUGGCAGCACUUGCUGGCAGAUAUCUGUGAGUUUGAGGCCACUAUGGUCCCAUGAGUCCCAAAACUGGCAGGGCUUCAUAGAGAGACCCUAUCUCAAAGAAUGAAUAAAUUUAAAAAUAAAAUUCUAUACACACAAUGAAAAUGUGAUAUAGUUAUGCAAGGAUAACACAAAGGAUGUAAAUCAAAUAAAUGUAUCUCAGCACAAAAAUAGUCUCAAAAAUUAAUAGUUGAAUUGUCAUCUCAGUACCUACAGAAAAUGCAUUGGACAUGUCCAUCAUCACCUCAUGUUAAAAUUCCUGAAAAUACUAGGAAUAGGAGAAACAUGCCUCACCCGAUUAAAUCUUCUAUUCAACAAACAUUGUCAACAUUAUAGUAAUGGGAGAGAGAAAAAGUCUGUAUAAAAUAAGAAACAAGACCAGGGUAUACAUUCUCUCUACCUUAUGCAAUAUAAUACCUGAGACUUAGAAGCAAUGAGCAAGUAUAAAGAAACGAGAUGGAAAGAGAAAAUGAACGUGUAUAUCCCUGCAAACUCUACUUUCAUUAGGGAAGUGCUCUUGGUGAGGUAAGAAGAAAAGUAAGGUCAGUUCAAAUUAGUCAGCAAGGCUGGUUCAAACUUCUGGAGCUUGAUGCCUAGUGGAUGAAUUUUUACAAAUCUGAACUCAGUAAAACUUUGGAAAAUGUUUCCUGUUGACAGGUACUACAAGAAAACUUUAGGCAUGACUAGGCCAGAACUCCUCUUCACAGUAUGUGACUUCAACCAAGCACCCAUGACCUUUUCACCCAGAAUGAGUUGUCCUGACAGAGAAAAGGCAUGUGAGUUCUAGUAAGGAAGUCAAACUUACAUUGAAGAAAGGAUACCCUUACCAAAUGGUGCCUGGCCAUGUGGGUCCUCAUAUGUGUGAACAGAAAUCAGAUUCCAGUAUUGUGGGCAUUCCAUGCAUUUUUUGACCAAUUUCCACUUAUCAAUAACUACAUACCAUGUGUAUCCUUUUGUGACUAGGAUACCACACUCAGGAUGAUAUUUCAACUUCCAAACAUUGGCCUUUGAAUUUCAUGAAGUAAUGUUUUUAAAAGCUGAGUAGUACUUCUGUACACUGUAUAAUAUUUUCUGUAUCCAUUCUUCUGUUGAGGGACAUCUGGGUUGUUUUCAGAGUCUGGUCAUUAAAAUAAGGCUUCUAUGAACAAAGAAGUGCAUGUGUCCUUUUAAUAUAUUGGAGAAUCUUUUGGGUAUAUGAACCAUGGUGGUAUACCUGUAUUUGAGGUAGAACCAUUUCCAACUUACUCAGGAAUUGCCAGAUUGAUCUCCAAAGUGGUUUUUCCAACUUGCAGUCCCAGCAGGAAUGGAGGAAUGUUCUUCUUUCUUCACAUUCUUGACAGAAUCACCUGUAAGCUGAGUUUUGUUCUUGGCCCAUCUGAGUGCUGUGAAGUGGAAACUUAGUGUCAUUUUGAUUUGCAUUUCCCUGAUGACUAAAGAUGUUGAACAUUUCUUAAGUACAUCUCAGCCAUUCAAGAUUCCUGAAACGUGACUUUCUGAUUCCUCCAAUGCAUUUAUCUUGAAGUUAUAUUGUAUUUUGUCAAACACUGUUUCAGCAUCUGAUGAGAUUAUACAAUAUAUUUUAAGUUAUUUUAUAUAGUGGAUUACAUUGAUGGAUGUUCAUAUAUUGAAUCAUUCCUGCAUCCCUGGGAUGAUACAGUAUCUAAUGAGAUGAUCAAAUAAUAAUUUCUUAAAUUUAUUACAUAGUAUAUUACUUUGAUGAAUUCCAAAACAUUGAAUCGUUCUUACAUCCUAUACAUGAUGCAUAUUGGAUCAUGGUGAGUGAUCAUUUGCAUGUGUUAUUAGAAACAGUUUCCAAGACGUUAUUGAGUAUUUUUGCAUCAAUAUUUGUUAUGGUUUUUAUAUGCUCAACCCACUGAGUGGCAAGAUAAGAAGGAGAGGCCAAGUUAGAGUAUAUGGGACACUGUGUGUGUGGUCAAAACCCACGCCAUAGCUGCCUGGACAUUAAAGUUCUAUUAGCAGCCUUCACAUGAACAUGUAGGACUCUCAGCUUCUCCUGUACCAUGCCUUUCUGGAUGCGUCCAUGUGGCCACCUUGUUGGCACUUGACUGAUCCUCUUAACCUGUAAGGCAUCCACAUGGAAUUGUAGGAGAAGCUGCAGUGCAGCCAGAUUUGGAGGAGUCCCAAAACCCUCCUGGGACAACUAGUCAUGGAGUUUGUUCAGCAUCCAUCCAUCUGCAGCAGUUAGGGUGUUCUUCAGAGUCACAUCUCUUAUCUAAAGCUUCGAAGAACCACCUGUCUGAGGGCCAGAAGCUCUUGUGAGUAUCUGCUGAUGCAGAGUUAGAAGCAGGUCUACUAAGAACUCAGCCUGAUGCACAGAGUCCUAAGGGGAAUCACAGCAAAUACAGAGGUCUGAAGGAAAGGACAAAGUACCCAAAAUCUGAGUAUCCAAGGCUGUAUCCUCAGAUUAGAAAGACAACAGAAAAAAUGGAGAGGGAACCCAGUAAGUGACAAUGGGGAGAAGGGAGGCCAGGUGUUCCUGGUCAUCAUGAACUCUGCACAGAGUUCACAGUAAAUUUCAAUGUGGAUUAUGAAAGUAGAAAAUGUUCACUUUCUUUUAUUACAUUCACCUUGUUUGGGCAGAUAAUCCAUGCAGGAAGGCUGAGAAAUGGCUAAGAAAGAAAAUUGAUCUCAGAGAAACAGGAGGACUGGGGCUUCUCUAGUGUAGUAUACUGUAGUGUGGUGUGGUGCAGUGUGUUGUGGUGAAGUACAGUGUAUUCUCCUGUACUGUUUGCUGCUUGGUAUACAUGAGGCCCUGGGCUCCCUCUUCAGUUUAGCCCACUUAGAGAAGCUGAAAUUAGAAUAACAGUUGCCAGAUCUUAAGACAGAUGUUGGGAGGGUGAUGGGGGACAGGGAGUUGCAAUCUCGGCUACCAAGGGAUUACCACGUCUAUAGAAAUUUGGUGGGUUGUAAUGGGCCAAAUAUCUCCAAGUAACUGCACAAGAGUGAUAAAUAUGUUCUCAACACACAGAAAAGAAUGAGAUAGAUGCCUGAAUUGAUGCCUGUGCCAGAUACCAUCUUCUUCAGCAAUAUGUUCUUAUCAUUAUCUUCCAGAAAAGAAGGAAGGAAAUGGCAGUAGUCUUUAAUGAUUGGGGAGAGUGUUUGAGACUCAAUGAUGGGCAACCGAAAACAAGAUAAUCCAAACUUGGCCCUGGGCUUUUCAUUGGGUAGUAUAUUGUUCUGAACUCCACGGACCUAUGUUUAGGAAUCUGGGGACAGGGACCCACAAAAACCUGGACAUCCAGACAGUGCUGGGUUGCAGAGAGUUCACAGCAGGUUUGACCCUACUGGCCUGCAAGGAUAACUGGGCAAGGGGUUCUCAGAAUCUUGGACAUGUAGGCACUGCUAGAAGUCUCAGAGGAGCUGAGCAUGGAGGAGGCCAGCAGGCUAAGAACUAGCCCUGAAAUCAGGGAAUGGGGAAUUCUGGAUUAACUCAGAGGUGACUAGCCCUGGAGUAUUGAGGGGCCUUCUGUUGGAGACUUAGAUGGCAAUGCUCUGUAGGCAAAGGCUUUUUCUCCAUGUAACCCACAGUUGGUUUGAUGAGAGAGACAGUCCUUGGUUGUAAACUGUUUAUUGAUUGUUUUUCAUAGAAAUGAAAGCAUAACAUGUCUUAAGGUUAGACUAGAAGUUAAGUAACUUCUGAGGAAGGAAUGUCCAGGAAGGGAAGCUUAUUGACUGAACCCUACCAUCUUCUAUUACCUCAUUAGCAGGGAGAACCCUAUUCUCUUCUAAAUAACCACAGGCCAUGUUCCUAUGUAGAGAUUUUGGUCCUAUGAAAGAGGCCUGGUAGGAAGCAGGUGACACUUUUGCCAUCUACUGUGGGUCUGGGACUUCCAACCCACUCAACUUUACCAAAUUCUGGACAUGGUAGUCUACUGUCCCAGGUGUUAGUCUGAGAUUUAUUGAUGUGAGGAGACACCAGGACAUAUGUUUAGUAUGCGGGUCUCAAUGCCUACCCUCCACACUGACACACUGUUUCUAACAAGGCCACAACUCCUAAAAGUACCACUCCCAUAUUCAAGCCACCACACUCCUCUGCAAUCUCCCAAGACAUUUACCUCACUCUGUCCUACUGUUUUCCUUUUUCUUCUUCACAAAUUGUGUUCUAUUAUUUUCUUGAAAUAUCCUUCUAUAACCCAACACUAGUGCAUUACCUUCUAUGGAUACUGCAGUUUAAAUGCACAUCUCUAGACAUUCAAUGUUACCAUCCACAUAAGACACAUCAUGUGGUUUUGUCUUUUUGGUUCUGGGUUAUAUCACUCAGAAAGAUUAUUCAUGUGUCCAUCCAUUAACCUGUAAAUUUCAUUUAUAUUGUCAUAGUUCAUUACCAUUGUGUAUAUGAACCAUGUACUCAUUAUCCUUUCAUCAGUUAUAUUUAUGUCUGGGUUGUUUUGAUGUCUUGACUAUUGUGAAUAAAGCAGGAGGGAACAUGAACACACCCAGGUCUCUGUCUUAGGAUAAUGCCUUUGGCUAUAUGCCCUGGAAUAGUGUCUGAGUCUGUGUUCUCUUGCUAGAAAGAGACAUCAGGACCAUGAUGGACCUUUUAAUGAGAGCAUUUAAAUGGGGGCCUGCUUACCAUUUCAGAACUUUAGUACAUUUUUAUCUUGACAGAAUCAUGCAGAGGCAGACAUGGUGUUGGAGAAGUAGCUGAGAGUUCUAGAUCUGGAUCUGCAGGAAGCAGGGAUGCUGGCCCUGAGCUGGGCUUUUGAAACUUUAGAGCCCACCCCCACAACAAGGCCAUAGCUCUGAAUACCAUCAAAGAGUUCUAUACCCUGUUGACCAAGUAUUCAAAUAUAUUCUCAUUCAAACCACCACAAAUAGUACAGCUGGUUCUUAUGGAAGAUCUAUCUCUAGCAAUGUUUUCCAGAACAUUUCUCCUGUUUUUCAUAAUGAGUGUACAUGUGAAUAUAUACUCUCUUACCCCACACUCACGCCAAGUGUUGUGGUCAUUUAGUCUACUUGUAAUAGCCAUUCUGACUGCAGUAAGAUACAGGGUUAAAACUAUUUUAAUUUGCAUUUUUCUGAUGAAGAAGUACAUUAAACAUUUAAAUACAUAUCUAUGAUCCAUUUCUUUCUCUUCUUUUGAAGAUUCUGUUCAGUUUGACUGAACAUAAGAAGGGAGUGUGUUUGAGACUGGGACUCUCUACUUAUCCCUGCUGUCCCAGAAUCUAGUACAUAGACCAGGAUGUCCAGAGGCUCAUGCAGUUCUUCUUGCUUCUGCCAUUUGACUGCUGGGAUUACAGGUGUGCUCUACCAUGGACAGCCAUAGAACGUUUUGAAAUGUUUAAAUUUAAAAUGUUUUAAUGUUUAACAGGCAGGUUUCCUGGUGUUUAGUUUUUAACACCAUCCGAUUGUCUAGAAAUGAACUCUCUGUCAUAUGUACACUUAGUGAAGUUCCUCUCCCGUCUCGUAGCUGAUCUUUCCAUUGAUUAAGAGUUUGUUUUGCUUUCUUAUUUACUGUUUUAUUGCUAGGACACACCUUGACCAGGAUAACGUGUAAAGAAAAUAUUCAAUUGGGCUUGGCCAACAAUAUAAAAGAGUGAUCCAGGAUUGUCAAGGUGGGGAACAUGUCAGGAUGUAGGCAGGCAUGCAUACAGACAUCAUGGCACUAGAGGAGUAGGUGAACUUACAUUGGAUACAUAUAGAGGAGGCAGAGGAAAGACAUAGAUAAAGACAGACAGACAGACAGACAGACAGACAGACAGACAGAAGACAGACAAACAGACAGAAGCAGAGCCAGAGACAGUGAGAGUGUAGACUGAGAUAUAGAGAAAGAGAGUGAAACAUUGUGAGAUCAACAGAGACAGAGAGAUAGUAACAAAGACAGGGACAAAGACAGAGGCAGGGACUGGCAUGAACUUUUAAACCUCAAUGCCAACCUCCAGUGCCAAAAUUACUCCAGCAAGGCCAUAUCUACUAGUUUUUCCUAAAACAUUUUUAUGAGGUAGGUAUCAAACAUUCAAUUAUGAAAUGACUUUUGAAGGUCAUUUUUUUACAAAUUACUUUAUAAUUCAGAAGAUUUUAAUUACUCAAUGUGAAUAUUUUUAUUUCCUGGGACGUAUUAGAGAAAUACUGUUGUGUAUCUUAUUUGUUUUGUCCGACGUGGUCAUGCACAGGAGAGUACAUCAUAACUGUAGCUAAAUUUAUGACUAUAGAGAUAGAGCAUGGAUACUUUUUUCAUCCUGACUUUGGGAUCCACAUAGUUUGACACAUUAUCCACAUCAAAAUCUCAAUUUUCUGUGGAGCUCUGGCUGGCUGGGUACGACUUAUGAAGCCUAAACAACAUGAUAAUUGAAGAGUCCCAUUCUUGCCUGAAACUUCUAGUGUUACAGGACUAUGUAUGAACCACACAUAAAUGCAGAUUGUCCUUAUGAUAGAAAUAAUUAGAGAUGAUGUUUUAUCCAUAACAAUACACUAAUUUUAUUCAAUAACAACUUAAAGUGGGGAGUCAGUUUAUACAGUAUAUAGACUUAGCAAAAAAAGCAAAUUAAUUACAGUAACAAAAAGAUAGUGAAUAUAUAAUGAAACUUCAAAUGAAAACACAGGAAAACCAAAGACACAAAGAAAUCAAAACUCUAACCAAAACCAAACAAAAUAAUUAAGCUAAGCAUCAUUCUCUUGCUGCAGAUGUUCAGCACAGACCUACAGCCUGUUGCUGGCCUUGGUGAAAUAGUGCAAAGGCAGUCACUGAUGGUAAUAAUCUGUUCAGGAUGAAUAUAGGCAUGCCUCAUUGGGGUGGGUGUUCUGCUGAUGGACUAGGUCUUCCAAGUAUAAGCAUGAGAGAUGUUACAGAUGAUACCUCAAAGUUUUUCAAAUUCACUUGAAUGAUCACCAUGAUAUAAUUCUAGAUGACCCAACAGGACCAGCCAAAAUUGGCAUUCUCAGAGCCCUCCUGGAUGCCGAGCAGAUCUUGAUGUAUCUCAGCACUUCUCUGAAGCCUUCCAAACAGGCAGUCUUGCUGGACCAGAGACUAGACAAAAUAAAGGCCUCAUUACCCAUAGCAAACCAAAAAAAGAAGAAAAUGCAGCCCAAGAUUGCCAUGGUUACAAGGAUCAGAUGCAAUGGUGGUUAAUUUGCUUUGCACACCCAGUGGUCCUGGUGAACAGUUGUGUCUGAGCAAGAUCUUGACCUGGUCUCUGAUCUGUUUUAGCUUCUGCAGAAUAUUUCAGACCUACGGGAGGAAGAGAAAAAAAGCCCGGUGAGAUCUUGCCAUGUCAGCGAUCCAGCAAAUACCAGCUUUACUCAACAGGACAAUCCAGUAUGACCUUUCAUCUGAGAUCUUUCCUGUAUCCCCAUAGGAGAAGGGGAAGAGAGCACCUGGGCCUGGAUGUUUUUCUCAAAUGUAAAAAAUUGCUUGACAAUGGAUUGUGAACUACACACUGUGCUGGACUUAUAGUAAAACACCACAUUUCUCCAGUAGUCUAAAUACUUGAUAUUGAAAAAUAAGUGUGUAUCAGUGUCUGAAUCUAACAUUAAACAGAGGCCUUCUAGGGAGCCUAGCAAACUUUGAAGUGAAGGCUCUUAUUAUUUCUGGAGUGCUGAAUCCUUCCUUGGCUCUCCUUGGGAACCCCUACAUCUGGGAAUCCUCAGAGAAACCAUCUCAGAGGAAAUUCAUGCACACUGAAAGGAUACUGUAAUCAGCAAGAGUGUGCUUCAUGCAAAUCUUCCCAAGGGUAAGCAUUGAACUCUAAAGUGGAUAUUCAUGAAGGAAAACAAAAACAAAAAUAAAAGCAAAAACCAAUAGCCCUGCUAUGCUUAUGGCUCCUUAGGUACUGCAAUCCUGUGCUAAUACCUCAUCUUGGAGACAGUGAAAGGAUACUGCAUCUUUUCAGCCAAGCCAUGACACACACACACACACACACACACACACACACACACACACCUACACGUACAAAAUAAAAUUGGAGCCUGCCCUUCUCUCCUUCUGAGGGGCAGGCCCAAGCUCCUCAGGAUGAGUUGCCAUAGAGCAGAACAGAGGACCUGGUUCCUAGAUAAUUCAGGAAGUGGCAUCCUGAGGCACCUCUUCAUACCAUAGAGCCUCAAGGAAUUGCCUUCAGGGGUCCAGUAUCUCCUCUGCCUAGAGUGGCAAGCUAGAGGUGGCCGACUAGGAUGGGGAGGAGAGGGCAUGGCAGAAAUCCAAUUUCUUCAAAAGAGGGUAAGUCCACAGAAAGUCUUGGAAAUGAUCACAGAAGUGUAAAACUGGAUGAGACAUAGGAGAGAGCCUGGAUAAGGUGCAGGAUGGUUACAUAGGCUUGACUGUGUUUAUGAUCACACAUUAGGGCAUUCUGCCCCUGAUGCUUCAUUCAUCCUACCUGCUGCUGCUUAGUAUAGUGGUCUUUGAUCUUCUGGCUGCCUUCAUUACAUAGUAUUUUUGUAUCUAUGUUGCAUUCUUCCAAUGCAAUCUGCUCCCUUAGCAGCUGUCUGUUCUCCUUCCUCAACAUCCUGACUUUGUGCUGGAUGAGGUUAGAUUCAAUCAGGUGGUGGCAGUUCCUGAAGCUGAGCCACAAACAAAACAUGGUGAAUCCAGGAAGCAUCCAUCUUCCUCCCAUCCCUCCAAAGACCAUUCCUUCAUCAUUGGCCCUGAUCCCCAGGCAGCCCCAAACAAGUAUCCAGAUUGGCCAAAGAGGGAGAUCACAUCCAGAGGACUGCCACUUUCCAGAAAACCCAAGGUACUUUUGAAAACCCUGACACCAACAGGGACUCAUGUAUCUCUCAGAAAAGAACAUGGGGUCUAUAUGGGCUUAUAAGUCUGUGGUAUAAAAAAAACCCACCUGGGGCAAAAUUCUCUAGGAGUCAAGAGACCCAAGCAUCACAGAAUCUUUCUAUGUUUCUCCUGCAAACCCCAUCUAUAAAUCUACUUUCAGAGCCCAAGAGGCCCAAGGCUGAUUGAUAUCUCCAUCAUGGUGGACACCUUUUCGAUCUUGAGGAUACUUAGUUGGAAAUGACAGUGGCUUGAGAGGCUCCCAGUCUCUUCACACUUGGUCAAAAUGAUCCAAGAUGUUAAAAUCUUAGUGCCUUGUUUGAAGGAGGCAGGCUUCCUGUUUAGAGACUAACAGUAUAGAACCUGAGUCCCCACUUUCGUUCAAAGGCAAGGAUUGGCAGACAUAUCCUGUGCCUAGGUCUUGGGUCAUGACCCUGUUAGUCACUCACCAGUAGAACUGAUUUUCUUUAGUCAACUGCUUGCACUUGGACAAGGCCUCACUCAUGUCCUGGGGCAUUCUCUUCAGGUCAGUCAUCACCUGGUCAUGUUGCAUCUCAAGCAUGAAUGUCUCAAAGUUGAUCCUGUGGGAGGCCAUGGACAAGGAACAAAUUGUCCCGUGAACUAAGGAUACAAGGAUCAUUUCUAUUCAAGCCGAAUCAUGCACUACCCCACCCCAUAUAUGUCACUCGACCUAGCUCCUUGUUACUGGUUCCACUUGGUGCUUAUUAAACUUAUUACUCUUCAGCUUGGGCCAGUAAGCCCAGGGAAGUAAAGGCAGGGUGCUGAUCUGCUUCAGCUCCCUGAAAGGGUUUGAAAGAAUAGACUAGUUCUCUCAGAACUUUCCAGUAAUCUGUGUCACAGGCCUGGGUCCACGUUAAAUCUGUAUGAUUCUCCUCCUGGUUUUAGACACGUAAUUGCCAAUCCUUUGCUCUAUUGCUAAAUCAAUUCCCAAAGGACAUAAUCAUAUCUACAGGGAAAAGCCUUUAUAACACACCAGGAGAUUCCAAUGUGCAUACACAGUGAGCAGAGAGGUCAAUUCCUGUGCUACUCAAAAUGACCUCCCUGGCUUCCUCACUGUUAUUGCCUGGAAAUGGAGUCAGGCACAACCUAAGAAUAUAUCACAUGACACAGACUCUCUAGAUCUUAAGCUGCACACACAGGAACACACAGGAAUACACAUAUCCACAAAUGCACACACAAGCUCAAAUGCACCCAGUAUCUCUCCCAUUGUCUGUCUCUGUCUAUCUCUCUUUUAUACACACACAGACACACACACACACACACACACACACACACACACACACACACACUUACACUCAAUCAGAAUGCCAAAUAAAUAAAUUGAUUUGGCUUUAUCUGAGAGUAUAAUGAAAAAAAUUUGAGAAAAGCCGUUAUGAACUGCAGCCAAUCCAGUCAUACUGAGAGGCAGUAUGUGUGAUAGGCCCCUCUAGCUGUUGACAGGACCAAUUGGAACCAAAUUACCGCCUGGUCAAUUAUGGAAAGGAUUGGCUAUAAACAAACAUUACCUAGCAACUCCCACCAGCCAACACCUGUGUAAACUUCUUAAAUGACAGGAGGGGAGUUCACACAUUACUACCUUCAUCCUCAGACUGUGAUUCAUGCCACAGGCUCUGAAAUACUUUUGGAGGAAUCAAAAGUGCCUGUGACCCCAUCUCACUCGUAUCUGAACUUGAAGUUCUGCAUUGAAAUUCCAAUCAGCAAAAUUGAUUUGGGUAUACAGACAGCCUGGAGUUGUAGCCACCUGUGGUAUGAGGGAAUCUGGGCUUAAGAGGGAUGGCCCAAGAUAGUCAGCAAAGAACUGGGCAUAAUGACUACCUGUCAUUUAAAUCCUUGUUAGUGUAGUUGGCCAGGAUUCCCUGAAGUUCGUCUCUGGCAUUUUUUAUGUUCUGGAGCUCUCUUUUGAGCUUCUCCAACCUCUCGUGUCUCUUCUCCUGCUCAUUGAUGGUGGGGGCUUGGGGUGAUGCCUCCCCAGCAGACCCUGUAGGUAGAAAAACACUAGUAACCUUGUAGAGAUAAUAGGGCAGGGAAAGGGAAAACAUGCUUUGUUCCACACAGAAGCCUGAGGAAGAGGAAAAUCUAGAGACACUGAGAAUCCCUGAUAGUGCAUCAUAGCUGUCUUCAAGCUGGGCUCCUCAGCUAGGUCCCUGUUUGCAACCACCAUCACUAAACAUAUGCCUGACUUCCUAUUGUAAUUGCCCUAGCCCUGAAAUGCAUAAGCUGGGUCAGGCAAGAGUAAAUGGAGGGCAUUGUCAGCUCAUAUGUGACAACCAAAUCCGUACCUCUCAGCAUACUAGGCAACACUUUUCUAGUCUUCUUCAAAUGCAUAAUGAGAGCUCAUACACUGCUAUAGGAACCCAGACUGUGUAUCAGUCCACAUCAUGUGCGUUCAAUACCAAACUGUCUGAGACCUUGAUUCAUAGGCAGGGGAAUAGCCCUCUCUGUUCUUGGCAUCACAUGCUCAUGUAACCUAGAGGAAACUAUAUUAAGAUGAAGUGCAUGAACACUCUAUCCUGAGAACAACACUUUUCUAUUCUCACAGAGCUUGGUCUUUGCAUAAUUUGCCAUUCAGGGGGAAAUUAAGAUCUCUCAACAGAGCCCCUGCAGGCUUGUCAAUACCAGGCUUUGUGUAAAACUAAUCAUCAGACACUCUUGACUCUGGUUCUACCAUUGAGGAAUCUGAAGGAUUAGGAUCAUAACCCCUAUUCCUGGAAGGACCAGCUGAAGCCCACAUCCUCCAGGUAGCUCCCCAAACCUUGCCCAGGACUCACUGUGCCUUCUCCAUGACCAGUUGUUUCUUGCCCUUUCCCACCAUGAUGGGCGGCCGACCUCCUUCUGCCUUGGUCUGGUGUCUGUGUGUAUUCUAUUCUCUCUCCGAAAUACCCUGAGGAGCAUGGACAACAUGCCUGCUUGGGAACCCAUGAGGAUCUGAAGGAAUACCCUACAAGCCGCUCUGGUUACCACAACACUGGCGACAUCACAGCAGAUUCUAGGGUUCUCUUGGAUACAAGAGAUUGUCCAGGGAAGUGACUUCUGAUGAUGUCACCUGGAACUUCCAUGGCCUACCGGCUUACCAGCUUGCCCCAUCUGACCAGUUUCUGAGAUGCCCUUUCCUGGAGUCUCUCUUUUGCCCCUGGGGAUACCUCUUGGCAACUUCUCCUUCCUAAGCUAGAGAUUUCUCUCUGCUUCACUACAAGUCCAGUGCUUUGAAUGGGGAGAGUUUGUUAGUGCCGUGGCAUGGCUAGCUCAUCUUCAUUAGGAUCCUUAUAUGAGGGAGAUUCUUCUCCAAUAUAAAUCUACUACUGGGGCCCAUUCAUGUAACAGUCGAUUUACCCAGGUGUCUCUGUUUCCCAGAGGACAGAAACCUACUCCUGCACCUUUACCUUUACACAAGUUGGAGUAUAUGUGUUAGUGUGCAACUGCCUUGAGAGGAGACAUUGUUUCAAUAAAGUGAGCAAUGGGUUUUCAUGAAAUCUCUGAUUUACAACCCCAUUUCUUUGCAAUGAAAACUCCCUUGUACUUGGCAAUAGAAGAAGUCAGGGACAGGGGCAACAUCAAAUUGUAAAGUUUAUGUCCCUUCUUCAAAAGCUAAAAUCCCACAUUCUCUCUAUCUCCAAAACAACCAGACAAAAUAGGCAUCUGUGAACAAAGGCCAACAGGGACAUUGGAUUGCUUCUUCGUAGUCCCAUUAGCUCUCACUUCUCCAGUUUCUACCUUUUUGAGUUCCCAGUUCUAGGCCUGAGUCUGUUGGAGAUUGGAAUAUGAUCCUGUAUUCAUAAGAUACCUAAGACUCAAUUGGAUGGAUAGAGGAUGAACAGGCCUCGGGUCCAGUGAAACCUCAAUUUUAAUGGAUCCAUAAUUUCAGGAGAGGCUCUGGCAUUGACAUCUGUUCCUUCUGCCUUCUUGACCUGGGUGUGCUGAAUGCAUGCUAAAAUGCUACCUAAACUCUCCAGUAAAAUAGUGGAAAAAUCAUGUAAAGCCUUUCCAAAUUGAUUGUGUUGUCUUUGUUUACCAUCUUGAGCUAUGCAAUAUCACUAUGACAAAGGUCCAAGGUGUCUGGGGGAAUGGUGGGGUAGUCAGAAGCCCACUCUGUCUCUCAGGUAGUCAGAUGAAUAACCUUUAUGGAGAACUGGAGAAAAUAGGUAAUGAAAAUUAAUAGUUAUAGUUUGGGUAAUUGAUUAUCUCUGAGCCUGGAAAGCAAUGUAGCAGGCAUUCCAAUCAAAUAGUAUAGGCAUGAAUCCCUCCCUGGAUACAAUAGGCCCAAAGUAAGAAGGAGGCCCAUCCACCUUUCCCUGCACUCUACUGAGAGUUUUUGUAGUGUUUCCAUUCAAGAAAAAUUCUUUACUUCCUGAGACCAGAACUCUGAAGUCUGCAUGCACCAUGAACUGUCCCAUCUAUUCAUAAAUCAUUCACUGUUUAUUGACAAGGUUUGGCUAUGAAUUCUUUGCUAUGGUUUGACACAAUUCAAAGGGACUGGUAAAACUGUUGGUCCAGUACCUUCAAGAGCUUUUUAGCUAUUCUUUGAGAAGUUUCCUCUUCUUUAUUUUAUUUUAUUUUAUUUCAUUUUGGUUUUUUUAGAUAUUUUCUUCAUUUACAUUUAAAAUUCUAUCCCUAAAGUUCCCUAUACCCCCCACCCCCCCGCCGCCCUGCUCCCCUACCCACUCCCUCCUACUUCUUGGCCUAAAAUCAGGGCAGCUGUUCUCAAGAUAGGAUAUCGUUCCCAACCACUGUGACUCAUCAGGUACCUCAGCACAUACUGCAGUCCUACUGGCUCUGGAUGGCAUAAGCUAGCCAGCCAUGCUGUGCUUGGAGGGUAAUGUCAGCCAGUAUCUGAUGUGAUGCAAGUAGGUCCUGGAUUCCCUAGAGCUUAGCACCACCAAGCUGUGAUUGCCUGUGUCUAAGAUGAAAGUAGUAAAUGUCUGAGAACUUGAAAUAUAUCCAGGGGUAUAUUCUUUUCUUGAUUUUUGCUAUCAGACAUCCAUGGAACUUAAAGAAAUACACCAAGGAUGCAGUGUAGCAAAAGCCUAUAGACAUGGACUCCUCAUAGAGGACCAAUUGUGUGUUUGUGGCAGUGUGUGUGUCUGUGUGUGUGUAUAUGUCUGUGUGUGUGUGUAUGUCUGUGUGUGUGUGUAUGUGCUUGUGUCCCCCAUGGGUCUAUGCAUCCUUGGAAUCUGGAGUCUACAGUGGGGCCUGUUGCAAGGUGAUGCUGUCUCCAUGCGCAGGGAGCCCCACCUUAGUCAGCACUGCUCUUUGUCUAUAUGUUCACCUUGGUGGCACAUUGAAAUCCCGUGAGGAUUAUAUAUAGCCAUCCUGAUAUUGAGUCUUCUCCCAGCACAUACUGAUUUUUUUGCUCUGGGUAGCUGUGUAGCAAUAGGAACCUACAACUGAUAAUCUGAGUUCUGAAGAUAUAUUUUUUAAAAAAGUGGUAACAGUGUUGAGGUGGGCCAGACCCUGUGGCACAGACUUCCUGGGAACUUUUUAGAAGGGUUUCCUCCAGGCCCAUGAGGGAGGUCUUGAAGCCCUUGAUCCCUUACUAAGGAACCCCAACCUGUGUUGUCAUGGCAUCAGGAUACUGAGUUUAAUAAGCACAAGAAGGUCUCAGUAUAUAGGAGGCAGAAUGUGGCAGCCACUGCAUGUGGGUGUCCAGGACAUAGUCUGAAUUCACAUGAUCCUUUAGGCCUGUGUCAUGGAAUAGCUUCAGUGACUAGAAGAAUGUGUUAGAUUUAUUUCCUAUACUCAAAGCAGGCAGAAAAGGAUGAAAGUCCUCCAUGUAAUAUCAAAUAUAUCAAGAAGAGGGUGGUAGAUCCUCAGUACCCAAAGUAUCCAGAAGAUGGGAUAAGACAGAUUGCCAUCCAGUACAAAGUCAUUCAGAGAGCAUCUUAAGAUCAAAGUCAGCUUGUGGUGUAGCCCUAGGAGCAAGGAGGAGGAGUCUGCAUCCUGAUGCCUUCUUCUGACAGUCAGAAUGAAAUUGAGGAAGUCUUGCAGAGCAGCUGCAGCCUUGACAAUUCCUGCUCUCUGUCACACAAAUGCUUCCCAGAAGCUCCAAGCUCCUGAUUCCCAUUACUGGAAGUCCAAGUUCAAGCCCACCUUCUCUAGGAAGCUCCCUCUUUCAUGCCCAGGAUUCACAGUGACUUCCCCUGGACCAUUAAUUCUUGCUCUUUAACACUAAGACCAAAGGCCAUCUUGUGGCUGCCUCUUUCUGGUCUCUGUAUGUUCAUUGUUCUCUCCUCCAAGAGGCCUGCUCAGUUUUGUCAGCAUGACUAAGAGUGAACCAUAAAGGUAGUUAAUGGAUGCUCCAAGAGCAGUUGGAGUCACCACAACAUUAGUAACAUCACAGAAAAUGCCAGGGCUCUCCAGGUUACAACACAACAUCUAGGGAAGGGACUUCUGAUGUCUCACAGGACAGCUCUUACCUUCCUGCUCAGUACCUCACCCAAAUUGACCUGAAGUCAAAGUGCCUUUUCCAGAGAGUGGGAUAGGUUGCCUUUUGGUACUCAAAAUAUUAAAAGGUGGCUAUCAAUCACCUUCCAAUGACAAAUGUAUCCAGAAGAGAUCCUUUGGAUCCCCAUGCAAAUACACAUGAAAUACCCAGCCUCCAGAAUAAGACACUAGGCAAUACACAACACAUCUAGAUAAAGUGUGAUAGAUCCCCUUGCAGUACUGAAACUAUCCAGAAGAGGUUAAUACACGUCCAGCCAGUUUCUAUGCUGUGACGACUGAACUGGACAGAAUGGAAAAUGUUUCCACUAAUGACCAAAGUAUGGUUAUGUUGGCCAGGUGUUCUGGAAGAUUUUACGUGAGAAUUGCAGCCCAGCUUGAUAUUGCAGGAAAACAAAAACUGGAGCAAGGAUUUGGUUCAUGUCCUGAAUCUUAUUCUACAGAAAAAAUUUAACAACACCAAUACAUAUUAGCAAUGACCAAUAUUUAUAAGGGAAGUAGUAUUAUACUCUAAGCAUACAUCAGUGAAAUAUAAUAGUGUGUUAGCUUUAUAAAUGUGGAAAAGAAAAUGCAGAUGAAGGGGGAAUUAUGUAGAAUUGGAGAGGCAUCUAUUUUGAGGCAUUUUCUAGAGAUGCCUGAAGUAGCUGAGAUCUGGGAGUUCUCAUACUAUACUGAUUAGUGAAUCAUAUCUAAUUGUGUCAGAGAUUGGAGAGGGUUUGUACAUAAAUAUUUUAGCAUAACUAUGUGCAUGCCCUACUUAAUGUCAUGCUCUAUUUAAUCUUUAGAGGCUGGUAUCUUUUACUUAGCUUUCUUUUUUAUAUUAUAUUCAUGUUAAUGAAAUACCAAAACCCUGCAGACUACAUACUAUGAAAUCUGCUGGGAAAAAGGUGAUCAACAGUCUUACCUAACCAAGAAGUCUGUGAACCAUCAGAUUAUAUUCUAUACCUCUACUUCAAAACAGAACCAUACUAUAGUAGAUGGUUCACACUCAGGUGUAUGUAAAUGGUAACAUAUUUAUGUAUAUUUAUAUGUAUUAAACAUAUAUUUUAUAUAUUUAUAAUCAUCAUAUAAUAAAUUAAAUAUUUAUGUAAUAUAAUAUAAAUUAUAUGCUUAAAAUAUAUUUAUAAUACAAUGUAUAAGUAAUAUUUAAAAUUAAUUAUACAUAUAUAUAUAUAUACACACACACAUGUGUGUGUGUCUAUGUAUGUGUGUGUGUGUGUCUGUCCGUGUGUGUGUACUUCAAUAUUGUUACUCGAUAACAGAGUGCAGGUUCUAUGCCACACAAAACAGUCUACUAAAAAGUGCAGUGCUAGGCAUAUGUUAUCCUUCUUUUGAGUCAAUAUUUAUAUAUUUAUACAUAUUUUUUCCGUACCACCAGAAUAGUUUAUUGCUCUGGAGCUGGUUACCACAUAAAACUUAAUGGUAAAUUCCUUUCACUCAAGACAUUGUAUGCUUGUGUCUUAGGACAUGGAGAAAUCAAUUUUGUGCUAAUCUGUAAUCCCUUCCUGUUAGUAUUCCUGUUAUUAGAAUAUGGCUUACAUGCUAACAUGGGAGAAAGUCAUCAACAUUCUUACCCAACUCUGAACCCUGAGAUAUACAAUGAUUGUCAGCCUGGCAAGACAUGCUCCCAGCUGAGACAGUGGUAUGAUGGUGUGAGCACAACCAACCACUUUCUCACUGGAUAUAAAGUCUGACAAGACUCAUGACUGGCACUAUUGAUUAAACCAAAUACCCAUGAAUGCUCAGAGCACAGGACCUAAAGGAGUUCUUACUAGUAAUAUCCUGCUAUAUGGAAAUAGCAUAAAACUGCCUCUUAGUUUUACCUUUAGAUAUAAAGAGGAGUACACCUUUCACAUCAUCAGAGAAAAUUCUCUUUACAGUAGACAAUGAUUAUUAGAGACCCAUAGCACCAGUUCGUAAUUGUACAUGGAAUAAGAGAGAGUUGAGUGUUCAGAGCUCCAUGACACGGCUAUAUAUCAACCAUAAAUCCCAGGCCUAGGGAAGAAAUCUGAUCAACAUAUAUGUGUGUGUGUAAUAUUUUCAAACAGUAAAAUAAAUAAAUUAAAAAUAAAUAUGUUCUCCCUAUCAAUAGAGUCAGGGUACAAACACAGAGUUUUAUGACUGUGCUAUGAAGAGUAAAUGUUGACAUGCAACUACCCAUCAGUAUUUCUAUAUGGUUUUUCAGCUGAUAUUAACUAUGAUGCAAACAGCAGCUGACAGAAUAGAAUAGUAGCCAGAUAAGUAUCAGGGAAUUGUCUUCAGCUUGUCAUGUGGAAUGUGAGGCUCCAGGUAGUAUCAGAAGAAACAACUAACUUAAUGGAAUAAGUUGAGGUUGACUAAUUGGAAAAAGUAUAUGGAUUCAAGAAAGUGAACAUUUAUAAAGAACACUUUAAAAUGUAAUCCUACACAGAAUUAUGAAAUAUUUCAUUGACAACACCAGAGGCAGAAGAAAAGUCAGUGGAUCAAGUUAUCCCAUAAUGUAAGGCUUUUCAAUAUAACCACAUGCUGUUUUAUAAUCACAUGAUUUACUUAUUGGAAUUAUGGGAACCACUGCUCUUCCAGUUUAUUAGACUGAGGCACUCGUGUAAUAUAGCAUUUCUAGCUAAUUAAGUUUUGAUUUAAAAUGUCUUAUUUGCAUAUUACACAUACUAGUUUGUUUCAUUUCACUGUAUCUUUUAAAAAAACUUUUAACAUCAUUCCUAUUAUUAUUAUUAUUACUUUAAGAAUUGUCAUUUGUGUAAACAGCUUGCUAAUUUCUGGUUUAUUGUAUUCAUAGUCUAAUUUAUAUACCUUAGAGCUUUAAUGAUCAAUGAGAAGGAUAUAGAAGGAACUGAGGGUGUGAAGAAGAUGCAGGACAUGUACAGAGCUGAGAUCCUGUUGUCUAAACAUUCUUAAGCACUGCAGAUGUGGGUUCAGAGAUGCAUCUUUGCACUCAAAUGACAUACACUGUUAUUAAAAUUAGAAUUACCUUUAAUCUUGUUUUUUCCUUAGAGAAAUGAGGUUGGUUUUCUUCCUUGGGGAAACAAUAUUUCCAUGUUUUAAGCACUUAACUUUUACUUUGAAAUCUUUUACAAUGAUGUCCUUAAGAUGCACCAACUGUGAUUCACUAGGCUCAUGCUGAAUCUCCUUCGAAGCCGUGGCAGCAGGUUGAUCUAAGAGUAGGGACCUGCUGUCGUAUUUCUGUUUAGUUUUGCUGUUUAGACAGUUGCUGAAGAUGUGCAGGUAGAAUGUUUUAUUUGGAGGGGGGGGGGCUUGUUGUCAAAAUAACUCUGUGUUUAUGUAUUACAGUGUAUGAAUGAAGAAACAGGAGCAACCACUUUCUAUUUUUCAGUUAAAUAUCUAUGUAUGCGCUCGGCUCCUCACCCUGUUAAAAUCAUUUAUAAAAACAUGAACCAGUACACUUAAUUUACUAGUUAUUACUGUGCUGACUACAAUAAACACAGCUUACUUGUUAAAUCUUCCAAAAUGAAUUACAUGACAUUUAACAUUGCAACGGAUGCUUCAUGUAAAAAAUAUUGCCUAAAACUGUCUAAAAAUCUUCAGAUUUAAGAUAUGUUAAAGCCCAUUUAUCAGUAAAUAGUUGGAAAGCUUACCUUCAUGAAAGGUGCCUCUGCAAAUACCAUCCUAGGUUACCAUUGCUACCAUUCUGCUCUUUCAGGUCAUUUAAAGGUCCAUAGGUUUUUAUAUCUCCAGAGCUCAAAGAUCUUCAUUUUGCUGUCAGUCUAAUGAAGUGACCUCCCCCUCACAUUAUAAGAACCACGGCUGCCAGGGGCAGCAGGUACAUAGGUGCAUGCUCUACAAUUCAAAUCCAACUCUGCAGAGAAAUCAGCUUAAAUGCCCUGUGGUUGAGGAAUAUCAGUUGGUGGAAGUAUUUAGUCAAGUGUCAGCCAGUAUUCUGUUAAGAGUAGAAAAGUCACUCUGAAAUAUAAAUUCACACCUGAAUGGCCUCCUGACCCUAGCUUUAUUGAUUGUUAUCCCAUCAGUUUGCCAGCUCCCAUCCCUAACCUAAUUGAGUAUAGAUUUCAAAUACCCACGUGCUUCAAUUACUUCUGUUACCUUUCUUCUCUGUAAAAGGUAAUGGGACUCUUCAGAUUACAGAACAAUUACUCACUAUAAAAAGAAUUCACAAUAUCCCCAGCCUUCUACCGUUCUAUUUUUGAGUCUAUUUUUGGACCACCUGAUGCUCCUUGAAGAGAGACAUGCUGGCAAGUGCUAAUUUUGGGUAGUAUUUAUGGAGAUUCUUUGCAAUGUCCCUUUGCCCUACAUCAGUUCAAGUCCUUCCCAUACCAUUUAAUACUCACAAAUCUCAGAUACAAACAGAAUGAUAAGCCAUGAUGAUGUCUUCCGAGCAAUAAAAGCCCAAAACAAAACAGUUACACAAUCAUAUUUUGCCACAGAUCUUUCAAGGAGAGCAAAUGUUUGUAUGAGUCAGAAAUGGAAGAAACACUAUCAGAUUCCACAAAAUCAUGGUUGCCUCCCCCUCUUAUAAACUGGAUAACAGUACAACACCAUCACCACAGUUCGCAACAACUGCAAUACCUAUAUACCUGAAAGUUAUAUAAGCUUAACAAGCAGUUGAAAAUUGAAUUCCAGAACAAAUUUAAAAGCAUGAUGUUGUGCUGGGUAUGGUGGUGUAUGCCUGAAAUCUCAGCACUCAGGAGGCAGAGGCAGGUGGAUUUCUGCAUUCAGAUCAAGGUAAUCCUGGUCUAAAAAGUGACCUCCAGGACAGCCAGAGCUAUACAGAGAAACCCUAUCUCAAAAAACAAACAAACAAAGAAAUGCCUGGUGUAGUAGCAUAAGAAUACUUUAAUCUCUGCACUUGAAUGGCAGCACUUACGGGCAGAUAUCUGUGAGUUUGAGGUCAUUAUGGUCCCAUGAGUCCCAAAACUGGCAGGCUUCAUAGAGAGACCCUAUCUCAAAGAAUGAAUAAAUUUAAAAAUAAAAUUCUAUACACACAAUGAAAAUGUGAUAUAGUUAUGCAAGGAUAACACAAAGGAUGUAAAUCAAAUAAAUGUAUCUCAGCACAAAAAUAGUCUCAAAAAUUAAUAGUUGAAUUGUCAUCUCAGUACCUACAGAAAAUACAUUGGAAAUAUCCAUCAUCACCUCAUGAUAAAAUUCCUGAAGAAACUAGGAAUAGGAGAAACAUGCCUCACCCGAAUAAAUCUUCUAUUCAACAGACAUAAUCAACAUUAUAGUAAUGGGAGAGAGAAAAAGUCUGUAUAAAAUAAGAAACAAGACCAGGGUAUACAUUCUCUCUACCUUAUUCAACAUAAUACCCGAGACUUUGAAGCAGUGAGCAAGUAUAAAGAAACAAGGUGGAAAGAGAAAAUAAACGUGUGGAUCCCUGCAAACUCUACUUUCAUUAGGGAAGUGCUCUUGGUGAGGUAAGAAGAAAAGUAAGGUCAGUUCAAAUUAGUCAGCAAGGCUGGUUCAAACUUCUGGAGCUUGAUGCCUAGUGGAUGAAUUUUUACAAAUCUGAACUCAGUAAAACUUUGGAAAAUGUUUCCUGUUGACAGGUACUACAAGAAAACUUUAGGCAUGACUAGGCUAGAACUCCUCUUCACAGUAUGUGACUUCAACCAAGCACCCAUGACCUUUUCACCAAGAAUGAGUUGUCCUGACAGAGAAAAGGCAUGUGAGUUCUAUUAAGGAAGUCAAACUUACAUUGAAGAAAGGAUACCCUUACCAAAUGGUGCCUGGCCAUGUGGGUCCUCGUAUGUGUGAACAGAAAUCAGAUUCCAAGAUGUGACACUGAACUAACGCCAUAUCACUAUUAAUUAAAGAUCUUAUUAUAAUAGGUAGAAAUUCCUAAGAGAAGCCACACCAAGAUGUAGGUAAGGACCAGGGGUUUCUGGGUAGAAUUCUAGUAAUACAGGGGUUCACAGUAAAUGAGAUAAACAGAUGAUUCCAAAAAGGAGUGAAAUGGUGAAUAAAUAAUGAACCCCAUUAAAAAUUUUCAGGCAUAAAUGGAAUGAAAAUUUAAAGAAAACCACACCAACAUGCAAUCUCAUUCCAGACAGCAUGUGCACAAUUAAGGGACCAAACAACAAAUGGUGUGGAGGAUGUGAGGAAAGGAGCACUGUUCACUAAGACUGGAAACUAGCAAAGCCGCUGGAGAAAACCUUGGUUUAGAGGAUGCUCAAAGUCCUAAAAUAGAACUGCCAUACUAUGCUGUACUACUCAGCUAUUAAAAAGAAUGAAUCUAUGAAAUUCCUAGGCAAAUGGAUGGAACUGGAGGGCAUCAUCCUGAGUGAGGUAACCCAAUCACAAAGGAACUAACUCAAUAUGUACUCACUGAUAAGUGGAUAUUAGCCCAGAAACUUAGGAUACACCAGAUAUAAGAAACAAUUUGCUAAAAGCGUGAAACUCAAGAAGAAUGAAGACCAAAGUGUGGACACUUUGCCCCUUCCAGAAUUGGGAACAAAACACUCAUGGAAGGUGUUACAGAGACAAAAUUUGGAGCUGUGACAAAAGGAUGGACCAUCUAGUGAUUGCCAUAUGCAGGGAUCCAUCCCAUAAUCAGCUUCCAAACGCUGACACCAUUGCAUACACUAGCAAGAUGUUGCUGAAAGGACCCAGAUAUAGCUGUCUCUUGUGAGACUAUGGCGGGGCCUAGAAAACACAGAAGUGGAUGCUCACAGUCAGCUAUUGGAUGGGUCACAUAGUCCCCAAUGGAGGAGCUAGAGAAAGUACCCAAAGAGCUAAAGGGAACUGCAACCCUAUAUGUGGAACAACAAUAUGAACUAACCAGUAUCCCAGAGCUCUUGUCUCUACCUGCAUAUGUAUCAAAAGAUGGGCUAGUCAGCCAUCAUUGGAAAGAGAGGCCCUUUGACUUGCAAACUUUAUAUGCCCCAGUACAGGGGAACGCCUGGGCCUAAAAGGGGGAGUAGGUGGGUAGGAGAUUGUGGGUGGGUUGGUAUGGGGGACUAUUGGUAUAGCAUUGGAAAUGUAAAUGAGGAAAAUACCUAAUAAAAAAACACAUUAUAGACUCUGCCUGGAACCACAUUACUAGACCUAAAUAUUGGAAAAUGGGAAAUGUUAUUCAGAAUGCACGUAUGUCAUCUGGUGAAGAUGGAGGGAAUGGAAGACAGUCAAAGAGAUGAAAUGAACCAAAAUCAAAAGGACAAAUGCCGCACAUUUUCUAUCAUCAUGCUGAAUCUAAACUUAAAUUAAGAUGAUAUCAAAGGUUUACUGGGAAUAUUCUGAGAAAUGGUCAGUAUAAAGGAUAUAGUGUGACAGGAGAUGAUGAACAGAGAGAAUUCUAUGAAAUGUAUUGUUUGCAUUUGUGACAAUGUUGCAAUGUGCACAUAAUAGAUGCUAUAACAGCCUAUGUAAUAUUACAUGGCAGUACAUAAUAUUAUACAAAAGCUUGAGGCCUGAGUUCAGACUCCUAUCACCCCUAUCUAAAGCUUCUCAUGGAGUCAUGCACCUGUAAUAACAGCAGUGGGGGGACACCUAGGCAAAUCCCUGAGUACACUGGGGAGUGUAGCCAAUUGCUGAGGUCCCUUAUCAGUGAGAGAUCUAUUCUUCAAAAUUACAAUGUUACUGUGUUUGAGGCAGAUUCCCAGUAGCGACCUCUGACCUCAACUUGUAUGCACAAUCCCAACCCCCCUAAAAGAACAUUGUCAUGAAGCACUACUGACUAAUGUAUUGAUGUCAUCCCUUGUAAACUUAGUAUGCUUCAUUAUGUCUUUGGCUUCCACUCUGUUCAAACAACUUUUUGACAUUUCACUGCUUGGUGUCUUCUCUCCAAAAGUUGGUUUCUGCAGAGUAAAUUGAAUUAUUUCUAUUUUUUAAAUCAUCUUCUUACACUCCAGGUUUUAUCCUCCUCCAGGUCUACUAUCUGACUCUUCCCCACCCCAUACCUGCAUCCAGACCCCGUCUCCACCUGGAUGUUCCCACGCCAUCCACAACUGUCACCACACUAGCCCUACCCUCCCUUGGGCCUCCAGUCUUUUAAGGGUUAGGUGCAUCUUCUCUGACUGAACUUAGACCUGGUAGUCCUUUGCUGUAUAUGUGUUUUGGGCCUCAUAAACGCUCAUGUAUGCUGCCUGGUUGGUGGUUCAGGGUCUGAGAGGUCUCUGGGAUCCAGGUUAAUUGUGUCUGCUGGUCCUGCUACAGGGUAGCCCUGCCCCUCAGCAUACAUGUUCUUUUUGGUCCGAGUUACCUCAUGGCCCGAGUAGUUUCACCCAUGUACAUGCAAAUCUCAGGAUAUCCUUUUACUUCUUAGAUUAGUAGUAUUCCAUUGGGUAAAUGAACCAUAUUUGCUAUAUCCAUUCUAUAUGUGGGACAUCUGGGUUUUCUCCAGCAUCUUGGUAUCACAAACAAGGCUUCUAUGAACAUAGUGGAAUAUGUAGCCCCUUGGUAUGGUGGGGCAUCUUUUGGGUUUAUACCCAAGAGUGGUAAAGCUGGAUCUUCAGGCAGAUAUAUUUUCAAUUUUCUGAGGAAUCUCCAAAUUGAUUUCCUGAGUGGUUUUUACAAGUUUCCAAUCCCACCAGCAAUGGAGGAAUGUUCCUUUUUCUCCACAUCCUUGCCAACAUGUACUGUCAGUUUAGGUUUAGAUCUUAGCAUGUCAGAUGGAUGUAAUCUGGAAUCUCAGGGUCAUUUUGAUUUGCACUUCUCUGAUCACUAAGGACUUUGAAUGAUUUCUAUAGUAAUGCUUUUUCAUUUUGUUCACCCUUGUCAGGAUUUUCUUUUUUCUUCUUUCAAAAUUAUUAUGGAUGUAAAAGAAAAGCAGGAAAAAUAUAAAAGUAGACAUAUAUGUGUACAUGCUUCAACUCACUUUCUCCAGAGGUCAACUGCUUACAGUCAUAGCAAAGUGGUCCACGCCAGGAAGUACAGACUGGCAUGACACUUUUAGUCAACCUCUUCUCACCCGAUUCAUUGUUCCACUCACCUUCUCUUUUGUCCUGUGUCUGCAUCUAAGCCCUGUCUUACAUCAUGUUGCUUCCUCCUGUUUUCCUCCCAUCUGUGAAUGCUCUAGACUUCUUCAUCUUUCUGACCUUAACUUUUGAAGAAGAUUGAGAAAGUAAUAAAUAACUUCAACCACAAAUUAGACAGAAGUGGGGAGCAGACAAAGAAAAGUAAUUUUUUUCAAUAAUUUGUAAGCCUGGAUACAUAAACUAAUACUAUGAAAAUGAAAGCCAAGUAGUGAUCCAAAGAGAAAAAUCUUACGAGGCAUUUUGUCCCUUAUCUAUAAUUCUACCAAUUGGAAAUCUUAGGCAUAAUUUUAUUAUGAGAUUUAUGCCAACUUGAGCCAUAGUGUUAGAAGCAGUCUCAAAAUUUUUCACAAAUUUAAUUAGAGGAGGAAAUAAUGAAAUAAACAGAGAUAUAAAAAGAAACAAGAGCAAAUGAAGAAGGAAAUUAAUAAACGUGGAUGAAAGGAAGGAAGGAUGUAAGGAAGGUAGGUACGAAAGAAGGAAGAAAGUAUGGCAGGAGAGAGGGAACAUGGGAGGGAUAAUUAAAAGAAAGAAGAAACUCAGAAAAGGAGGAGGGACAGGAUAAUCUCUUUUAACUCUGGAGAUUCCAAAGAGCUUAAAUUCUAAUCUCACUAUCUAGAUUAAAUGAACAAAGGCUCCAGUCACUGUUACAAUGAACUUCCACUAUACUUUAAGGUAUAUAUGAUUUCUUAGAGUCAGGCAGUAGGCAUUUGUGGUGCAUGAUUUUACCUGAAUCUCCCAAGGACAGCCUGGUGUAUGGAGUGAGGUACAGACCAGCUAGGAAUAAACACAGAAACACUGUCUCAAAAACACCAUGAGAGAGAGACAGAGACAUGUCUUGUCUCUAGCUGCAUAUGUAUCAAAAGAUGGCCUAGUCGGCCAUCACUGCAAAGAGAGGCCCAUUUGACUGGCAAACUUUAUAUAUCCCCAGUACAGGGGAACACCAGGGCCAAAAAGGGGGAGAGGAUUGGGAGGGGUUUGGGGGACCUUUGGGAUAGCAUUGUAAAUGUAAACAAGGAAAAUACCUAAUUAAAAAAAUAACAGCUAGGAAUAAACACAGAAACACUGUCUCAAAACCACCAUGAGAGAGAGAGUGACAGAGACAGAGAGACAGAGAUAGACAGAAACAGAGAGACAGACUCAAACAGAAACAUAAUUAAGGGACAGAGAGAGAGACAAAAGAGAGACAUAAUCUCACUCUGGUCUAGACUAUUCCCAUGAGGAGAACACAGGAGGUAUUCACCUACCUUGCAUUACUAAUAAGAUCAUAAAUUAUUUGAACAUAAACUGAGUCAUGGACUGAGUUGGGAAAGGCACAGCAGAUAUCUGCUUUGCACACAGAAGCUUCAGUCUUGACUAUAUCACUGUGAAAAAAAAAACGUUGUUCUCCUCACACUCAGAAGAAACUUUUGAUACAAGAUGGCACCCAUUUAUGGGUUUCUAAAAGGGAAGUCUAGUUUAGUUCCUUAACUUGAUAAGAGGCCUCAACCAGAAACACACACCACACUCUGUUCCUUAGUCAGGAAUCAAAAGAAUUUUCUUUAGAGAGGGAACUUUGACAGAAGAUUUCCAUCAUUGGUUCCAUUUAACCAUUUAGGUCCAAGAAAAAGAAAGCAACAUUAUAUUUCUUGGUGUGAAAAAUUAAAUCAUUGUUACACAACGAUACCAUUAUUUACAUACUAAAUUAAGAGAAGGUAAAGGUAAACUAUUUUAGACUUGAAACUCUAAUUUUAGAAAUGAAGAAGUGGUUCUUAAAUAUUGAUACUCAAAUAUUUAGCGUGGCUUUUGGGAUCCAAAGUCAACCUUGACCACAUUAGUGGGUUUUGUACAAGACCAGCCCUGGCUACUUAAGACUAUCUAAAAUCAGCAGCCAGUCUCCCACACCAUAUUGCAAUUACAUAAGCAGCAUGCUGUCUUGCUCUCUGGUUGGGAAACUAUCCUAGGGAACCAUUUGUUUAGAAGGGUUUUGCAAAAGGCAAGAAUUUACUCUGAUGACAUUAUCUAACCCACAUUCCCUUCAAAGGUCUCAUCUGUACUGGCAUAGAUUGUUUCCACUCUCUUGCUACCUCACAAUGAGGCUCAAAUUUCAAGAAGAGAUUUUCUGGCUGGUGAGGGGAGACUUUGUUGAGACCAUAACAGGUGAGAGGAAAAGCCUGCCAGUGUCCUGACAGCUCAGAAGAGAAAACCCUGAGAAAACCCUCCACCAUGACAGAUAGUAGCAGAGAGGGAAGCGCUGGGUGUAAAGGUCAUGUAAGCAUCUUAAUCAAGUGCAGUUGUUCUUACUGAACAAUGGAGAGUUCAUGAAUGCCAGCUCAGUGUGGCCUCUCAGGACCUUUAGUGGCUGAGUCAUCUCCUUUCCUGUAUGAAUGCACCGACUGUGAAAAAUUGAUUUUUUUACUCAUUUUUAGCAAAGUCUAACUUCAAGACCUGUCCAAGUACCUCUCCUCCCUGCUCCUUUCCUUUCAAGUAGGAAAGGAGCAGGGAGGCCAUUGUUCAGAGCCAAUGUUCUCUGAAUUGUUAAUUGACUCCCCAGCAUCAGUUGGACUCAAUAUAUUUUGUCCUAUCUGUCUUCUAAGCUUUUUCAAUAUUUGAUUUAUGUGUCCAUAGACCUUGUACUAAGUCUCACUUCAUAAUCCAAUUCCUAGGGAUUUCCACAGUCUUUCACUAUCAUAGAAGUUUGCAAAGAAUUCAUUCACUGGUUUUUAAGCUUUUCCCAUGUUAUUUUAUUUCUGGAUUAUCAAAUAGACUCUGUUUCUUUGUUUUCUGGAAAUCAUGUGCAGAUUUUGAAAUGAUAAUCCCACUCAAUCUUAUAUAAAAGCACUAAGAUUAGUGGUCCUAAAUAUACUUAAGUUGUUGCUCAACAUCCUGUAGGAAGAAAAAACACAAAAUUAAGUACAUAUAAUGGGGGACAAUUUACUCCAAAAGAGAGAGCAGAGUUUGUAGAGAACAGCAAAUAGCCAAUAAGGCUCAGAAACCAGUGGGGCUCUGCAGUCUGGAAAUGGGACAACAAUGUAUGGUUCGGUGCCAUUCCUGACAGACCAGGUCAGAAUUCAUCCUCAUCCUUAGGGAAUAAGCCACCUCUAGAUGAAAAUUAAAAUUGUUUCCUUCAACUACCUUCCCAGCACACAAAGAAACCUAUCUUGAUUUAUACAAUGACACACAGGUUAGGAAGAUUAGCCAAGAUCUUCUCAAGUCUCAUAAUCUCUGGAUAAUUUAGAAGUUCAGUUUAUUUAUUAUUUUUAAAAUAUUUUUAUUAAAUUAUUUUCUUUAUUUACAUUUCAAAUGUUUUCCCAUUUCCUGGUUUCUCAUAUGAAAAAUCCCUAUCCCCUACCCACUUCCCCUGCUCACUGACCAAUCUACUCCAGCUCCCUGGUCCUGGCAUUCCCCUACAUUAGGGUAUUGAGCCUUCACAGGAUUAAGGUCAUCUUCUCUCAUUGAUGACCAACAAAGCCAUCCUCUGCUAAAUAUACAGCUAGAGAAAUGGUUCCCUCCAUGUGUACUCUUGGGCUAGUGCUUUAGUCUCUAGGAUCACUGGGGUACUGGUUGGUUCAUAUUGUUCCUCAUAUGGGGCUUCAAAACCCUUCAGUACCUUGGGUCCUUUCUCUAUCUCCUCCAUUGUGGUCCCUGUGAUCAGUCCAAUGGUUGGCUGAGAGCAUCCUCCUCAGUAUUUGACAAGCACUGACAGAGUGUCUCAGGAGAUAGCUGUACCAGGCUCUGGUCAGCAAGCUCUUGUUGGCAUCCACAAUAGCACCUGGGUGUAGUGACACUAUAGGGGAUGGUUAGUCAGAUGGGGCAGCCUCUCAAUGACCUUUCAUUCAGUCUCUGCUCCACACUUUGUCUCUUAGACUCCACCCAUGGGUAUUUUGUUCCCCCUUCUAAGAAGGACCAAUGUAUCCCCACUUUGGUUUUCCUGGUUUUUGAGUUUCAUGUGAUCUGCUAAUUGUAUCUUAGGUGUUCCAAACUUCAGGGCUAAUAUCCACUUAUAAGUGAGUGCAUACCAGGUGUGUUCUUUUGUGAUUGAGUUACCUCACUCAGGAUGAUAUUUUCUAGUUCUAUCCAUUUGCCUAACAAGUUUUUUAAUCCAUUGUUUUUAAUAGCUGACCAGUACUCCAUUGUGUAAUUGCAUCACAUUUUUUGCAUCCAUUCUUUAGUUGAGGGACAUUUGGGUUCUUUCCAGCUACUGGCUAUUAUAAUAAGGCUGCUAUGAACAUAGUGGUGCAUGUGUCAUUAUUAUAUGUUGAAGCAGCUUCUCAGUACAUGCCCAGGAGUGGUAUUGCUGGGUCCUCAGGUAGUACUAUGUUCACUCUUCUAAGGAACCACCAAACUGAUUUCCAGAGUGUUUUUCAAUCAUCAGUGGACUCAGUUCCCAAAUAAAGUGACAUAGAGUAAAAGAGUGGAAAAAUAAACAGGACCCAACAUUUUACUGCAUACAGGAUAUGCAGCUCACUGACAAAGACAGAUACUACCUCAGAAUUAAAAUCUGGAAAACAAUUUUCCAAACAAAAUUUCCCAAGAAAUAAGCUGAAGUAGGCAUUCUAAUAUCAGAUAAAAUCGACUUUCAGCCUAAAGUUUUCAAAAAAAUAAGGAAGGACACCUCAUAUUCAUCAAAGGAAAAAUCUUCCAAGAUAAACUCUCAAUUCUGAACAUCUAUGCUCCAAUUUCAAAGGAAAUCAAAGUCAUAAAAGAAAUUUAACUAAAGUUCUAAUCAUAUAUUGUAACUCACACAAUACUGGAGGGAGACUUCAAGUACCCCACUCUUAUCAAUGGUCAGAUCAUGGAUACAGAAUCUAAACAGAGACACAGUGAAACUAGCAGAAGUUAUGAUCAAAAUCGAUUUAACAGAUAUCUAUAGAACAUUUCAUCCUAAAUGCAAAGAAUAUACCGUCUUCUCAACACUUCAUGGCACCUUUUACAAAAUUGACCAUAUAAUCAUUCACAAAACAGGCCACAACAGAUACAAAAAAUUGAAGUAAUCUCAUGCAACCUAUUAGGUUACCACAGACUAAGGCUGGUCUUUAAUAACAACCAAAACAACAGAAAGCCCACAUACACAUGGAAGCUGAACAAUUCUCUCCUCAAUUAUAACUAGGCCAAGGAAGAAUUAAAGAAAGAAAUUAAAGACUUUUUAAAAUUCAGUGAAAACAAAGUUACAACACACCCAAACUUAUGGGACACAAUGAAAACCAUGUUAAGUGGAAAACUCAUAGCUCUGAGUACCUCCUAAAAGAAACUGGAGAGAGUAUACACUAGCAGCUUGACAGAACAUCUGAAAAUUCUAGAACAAAAAGAAGCAAAUAUACCCAAGAAGAGUAGAUGGCAGGAAGUAAUCAAACUCGGGGCUGAAAUCAACCAAAGAAAAAAAAAGAACUAUACAAUGAAUCAACAAAACCAAGAGAUGAUUCUUUGAGAAAAUCUACAAGAUAGAAAAUCCCUUAGCCAGACUAACCUAAUGGCACAGAGACAGUAUCCAAAUUAACAAAAUCAGAAAUGAAAAGGGAGACAUAAUGACAGAAAUCAAGUUAAUAAAAAAAAAAGGAAGAAAGAAAGGAAGAAAUGAAGGAAGGAAGAAAGAAAGAAAGAAAGAAAGAAAGAAGAAAGAAAGGAAAGAAAGAAAGAAAGAAAGAAAGAAAGAAAGAAAGAAAGAAAGAAAGAAAGAAAGAAAGAAAGAAAGAUCCUCAAAUCCUACUACAAAACUGUACUCAAAACUGGAAAAUCUGGAUGCAACAGACAAUUUUCUUGACAGAUUCCAGGUACAAUAAUAAAAUCAGGAUCAGAUAAACCAUGUGAACUGUCUCAUAACCCCUAAAGAAUUAGAAGCAAUGGGUAAAAUCUCCUAACCAACAAAAGCUCGGGACCAGAUGGGUUUAGUGCAGAAUUCUUUCAAACCUUCAAAGAAGACCUAAUACCUAUUCCCUUCAAACAAUUCCACAGAAUAGAAACAAAAGGAAUAAUACCCAAUGUGCUCUAUGUAGCCACAGUUACACUGAUACCAAAGCCACACAAAGACCCACCAAAGAAAGAACUUCUGAAUUUCACUUAUGAUUACCAGUGCAAAAUUAUGCAAUUCACUUCUCAUGAUGAGUUUGUUACAUGAGACCAUACAAGGUAACUAAUGUCUCUGUGACUGUUUUCCUUAUUUGAAAGUGAGUAAUGAGAUUAUCUGAGGAGUAACCACUCCUGACUAACAUGAAUGAAAGGACUGUACAGAGCAUGGGAUUAACGUUCUUGGUACAGUGAAAAUAACUGGGGCAGUUAACAACAAAACCAAAGGAAACAAUAGUAAUACUAGCAACAACAUUUUUAAAAAUACUUUAUGAGUGCUGGAAUUAAAGGCAUGUACCAACUCUGGCUAGAUUUAUAUGUAUUUAUAAUAAAAAAAACAACAAAAUACCCUAUUACAGUUCUAGCAGUUGCAGUAGAGGGAGCUGUGUGAUUCUGUGUGCUGCUUCCUUUCCCCAGAUACCUCAGGACUUCAGUCCUGUACCAGGUGAGCUGGACCUAAGAGCAGCCUAGUUGACCUUCCUUCUGCCUGGCAUGAUUCUGUAACAAUCCUUUUCUUGAUAAAAAAGAGCAUGUAUGGAGUAGGCCUCUUGUUGGUGGAUCCAGAAUCUUUAGGGCAGGAAACAACCAAGCCACCGUUAGUGAAAAACCAAAGGAAAAAUCACAUUGGCACAAUAUGGGCCCCAUUUUGGAAGAAAAUGCCCUCAAAUUCUAAGGCAUCAAUAAUUCCCCCCCCCCAAUUUUGAGCUCUGCAUAUUGGUAUUGUGUGGCUCCACAGAUGGUAGUCAAAGGCAGAUGUCUUACCGUAAAAGACAUAUAUGGUUUUUCAUCUUACAUCUGUGAGGACAGGUUGCAUUAUAGCACAGAUUCAGCACACCCAGCAUAAGAACACAGAAGCCUCAGAUGACAGAGCCUGAACUUAUGGACCCAUUAAAAUUGAGAUUUAACCUGAUCUCAGGCCAUUCCCUUCCCUGCCCUACCUCCUGAGUAGGGAGUAACUCAUGUUUGCUAUGAGUAAAGUAUUAUGGUACAACCCUCAGCAUCCUCAUGCCUGCACUUGGGAAUUCAGGAAGACAGAUAUUAGAGAAGUGAUGGCUAGGAGGCUACAAUGCAGUAAUUUGUACAGUCCAGGUUGACCUUUGCUCACUGAUGCCCACUUUAAUAGUCUGGUUGUAUUUGAGAAAGGGAGGAUGUGCAAGUUAAUAUUUUGAAGAUGGGACAGAACGAUUACCAUUUUAUAUUUGUCCUAUCAUUGAGCCCCUAUGUUCCAAAGAAAGGGGAGUUUUCCUUGCAAAAGAUGGGAUUGUAAACAUGAGAUUUUGUGAAACACAUGGAUAUGUAUGUGGGAACAAUGCCCACUAUCAAGAUAAGCACAGUAAGAAAAUAUUAUCCAGGUUUUAUACAAUUAAAGGUAUAGGAGAAAGAUAUUGACCUUUGUGAAACAGGGAAAACCAGGGGAAGUAGACUGUAUGUCAAAUGAAUUUACUCAGGUGGUAUAUUUCUUAUUGAGAAAUAGCUAUUAUAUUCACUGUCCCUAGAGAUUUGGGUGCUAACAAAAACCUCUUAUGCAUUUCAGUGUCCUAAUCAAUGUUUUUCAUAGAAAGCACUUCUCUUCUAAUGAAGCAGAUGAGAAAUCUCUUAAAUUUGGAAGGAGAGGUGGCCAAAGGGUAUUUCCCAAGUCACAGGAGAGGCUCCAGGAAAUGCACAACAGAAACUGGUCAAUUUGGGGAGAACUAGUUAUCAAAUAGGCCUUAGCCUUUCCCAGUGACAUCAUAAGUAAUGCCUUCCUUGGACCAUCUGUUGUAUCUAUGAGAGAACUAGAAUCUUCUGUGACUUCACCUGUGUUGUGGUUACAAAAGCUGCUUGUGGGAUAUUCCUUCAGUGCCUUUUUUAUUCUCUAUCAGGCAUGUUUUCCCGGCUGCUCAGGCUAUUUCACAGGGAGAAUGGCAAUCAAGGGAGGCCAGACCAAGGCAGAAGGAAUCUGGCAUCCUUUCUUGUAAAAAAGGAAGAAUGAAAUCAUUCUGGGGAAGACACAGUGAGUCCUUGGCAGAGUUGGGGAAAUUCUGGAACAGGUAGGCUUGAGCUGGGCCUUUGCUGAUAAGAUCUAACAAGCUGGAGCCUUAGACUUUCUUAAUUACAGACCAAGAGUCUAGAAUUUCUGAUAAUUGAUUUGACAGACCCAGGAAUUGACAAGCCUGCAGCUACUUUUCUGGGAGCUAUUUAAUUUCAUUUAGCGUGUCAAAGAAUGCCCUGAGAAGGCACUAUGAGAAUAAGAAUGUGUCCCUUAUUGGUAGGGAGUUGAAGCACUUCACCUUCUAGAUUAUUGUAGGAUACAUGAGUCUCUGAUGCAGAGAACAGAGAAGGAUUCUAACCUGGUCAUGUGUUGAGGUCUCAGACACUUUGAGUUUGAACACACAUGAUUAGGUAUUGAUGGUGCUAAGCACUAUGAACUUCAGGUUUUCUUGGCAUAACAUAUGACAUGAGCUGAAAAUGUUCCCCAAAUCAUUAUGUCUGAGGCAGCUUUUGGAUUUCAGGGCAAGGGGGAAUGCUAUAAGGAGUGUAGUGGUAGUUGUGACCAACAGUGGUGGUUGGGAAGAGGAAUAUAGAUUAGCAGACCAGCUCAAAUAUAGCCUUUCUGCUUUUUCAGUGAUUAAUCCUGUCUCUAGCUUUUCUCUUCCUCAACCUUCUCUUUGGGACUCAGAAUGGUCUCCCCUGCCCUGGGCCAUCAACUAUGCAAAUGCAUUUGUGUUUAUCUAUCUUCAGUGUCUGCUGGGAGAACAUCAUCCCAAAGUUGCAACAUCACUAAUCAUAUGAAGAAUAUGAAUAAACUAGACGAUAUGAAAUUUUAUAUCAGGAAGAUAAAUGCUGAGAAGGAAGAACUUUUUCGAAUCUUGGACAUUGACAUGAAUACUGAUUUGAACUACAGGUAAAAUUAUGCCCAGUUUCUUGUUGACUGUAUUGUGCCCUCUCUGUUGACCCACAUUUUCUCCUAUGAAUGGAGUGUGUCAUCUCUCACAUUCAUUAUAAGAAGUCUUGACAGUUGUUAAAUUGUUGGAUGAGAUAAGUGCUGUGGGUUCUAUGGUCAUCCUCCUUUGUACUUGGCCUUGAGGUGCUUAGAGUCUGAUUGGUUUUGUCAACAGCUGGAAGGACCUGGUCACAAUAGCUGCCUUACUGUGUAAGAAUCCAAUGUCUGCAGGCCAUUACUGCUUUACUCUUGUUUUAUUCAUUGUACUCUGAGACUAUGGAGCCUACCUGGAUUUAUUUGGCAUUUUAAUUUUUUUUCUGUGUGUGAAGUUAGUUGUGUGUGUUUUGUUCAGGAUCUGGGGUUGUGGGACCUUUGAUGGGGUCUUAGGAUGUGUGUGAUGCACAGUUUGUAGGGCAUGAUAGUGCUGAGCCCUUAGAGGCCCAAAUUGAUCAUCAGGGUUCUUUAUUCCCUGUGUUUUCCUUGGUGUCACAUAGGAUUCUCCUGGAGUAGGAAGUGUUAUAAAGCCUUUUCCGUUAUAUACUAGUUAUGCCCUCUGAGAAUUCAUGUAGCAAUAAGAACAAAGGAUUAUCCCUGCCUUAAAACUAAGAGGGAAAAAAGCCUUAAAACUAAGGACCAAAGCCUGUGGGACAGUCUAGUAGAAACAUUUCACAGAACUAGUGUAUUCCUUCAGGCUCACCUAAGAGUUCAUGAGGGUCAGCUAUCUCCAUUUGGUCUCCUGGCUCUCUGUUCUCUGCCCAAGAUAAUAAGUUUAAUCAGUACCAAUAGGACGAGUUGGAAGGAGCAAGGAUGUGGCAUACAAUUUUCUUGGGAAUUCCAGAUACAGCCUUUUUGCAUGAUACUUGAUUGCUUAGUUCAGAGGAUGUUUGCUCUUUGAGCCAUGCUCUACCACAGGAUGAACACUCAAUUCUCCAUCAUUAAAUCACAACAUGAGAAGACAAUGUUGGAUCUGGAAAAAAUGAAGCAGUCAAUAAGUGAUUCCAUUGACAUGUACAAGGAAUUCAUAGAAGAUAAUGAUUCCUACAGGUGAGUCCCAGACACAGCUGAGACCCAGCACUAGGCAGGGAAUGCUUGUGGCCUUCUAGGACUUUGUACAAAAGUAAGAGCUCUAGUUCUAUACUCUCUGUUUCUUAAUAGGAGCCCUCCCUUGAGGCAUGGGUCUUGGAUUUGUACCUCUUAGACUCAGGUUACCGAAGUGUGAAUAUUGUCCAAGACCCUUCAGUCUUUAUUCUUCCAAAUUCAGGAUCUUCUGCAUCAAAACCAUUUCCACCAUGCUGGGAAUCUCAAGCAACCCUGAAUUUCUAGGGUUCUGACAGCAGAUUACAAGAUCUGGGAUCCAUGACAAUAAAAUGGAAAGAGUUCAUACCUUUUGGGUCUUCUCUCCUCCCUAAGAGGGCAUUGCCCUCUCCCUACUAAUGGUUUUCUGGUACUACACACAUAUAAGCAACCAUGAGGAAGUUUUCCUCUUCUGUGAUGUAUAUGGAACACUCUUGGUGUCACGGUUUUCAGAAAUAUUUUGAGUCUUAUUGCAUGUGGCUGGUCUCUGGAUUUGACCUGCCUCUAUUUGGUACUGAUGGACAUACAGUGGUCUCUAGUCUCAGGCUGUCUGGGGAUCAGAGCCCUUGCAGGCAUCAUAAUAUUUGGAAGAGUGGCAGGCAAAUCAAAGCUAGCUGGGGAUCAACAUUUAUGUUUUGUAUGUUUGUGGUUCAGCAUCAGGCACACCCACCUCCUGAAAGAAUGCAAUCAAUUGAAGGAAAAAGUAAGGAUGUUGCUGAAUGAGAACAGAAAGCUGCUGGUAGAGCAGGCUGACCAGGAAGCAUCCUUUGGUGAAGAAAAGAGGUUCUGUGAUGAGACCAGCAAGAACAUACAUCCCAAGUGCUAAGCAGUAGCAGGUAGGAUGAUGUGUAUCAGAGGCAGAUUGCCCUCAUGCCUAACCAUAAACAUAGACAAUCCAAUGUAACAGUCCACCAACUUAUGCAGGCACUCACCUCUGUCUCCUCCAAGUGUUUAUUUAGGUGAUCAUCUACAAGGGUUUCUGUGGAGGUAGCCUUUUACAAGAAACUGCAUAUCAGGUGGCUUACUGUGUCUUCUCAGCAUCCCAGAUUCUUUUCCUCAUUGCCUGCUACCAUUGAUUUUCCACCUACCUCUACUCGGGAAAAUUUUGCCUUAUAGUUUGUCUUGGAUUCUAAUUAUUGAGAGAUUGAGUUGCAUGUAGCUGUACCUGCAUCCAGCAAAAUUUCGGUAGCUGUGGUGCAAAAGAGGGCUGUUUCAGGAGCCCCUUGAGGGUCAUGAUAAACUAAAGAACUCACACUAUGUUAUCUGUGUAGCAUUCUGCAAUUGCUGUUAUUCAAAAUCAUUUUCUCAGAGUUAGAUUGGCCUAAAUGGGGGUUGGGAGAAAUGAGGACUUUCAGACAGGUCUGGUAGUAUAAAAUCAGGUAGGUGUUUGAGAAGCAAGGUUCAGAAAGUAGAAAAGAAAUCCCCUUUGAUCCAGAGAUUCCAGAACAAUGAGUAGAUAUCUACAGAAUCUCUAGGGAACAUGAGGGCUGUAGUGGUCCUCAGAGUAGUCCAGAAGAUGAUGAUAUCCUGAUGUCCAUCUGCUAAAGAGUGAAAAUAUACUGUGUGAUACAGCCCUUUCAUGAAAUAUUGCUCAGUGUUAGAUAGUCCAUGCAAGCAUUUGACCUUCAACUAGUUAGCUUCAUCUUACUCAAAAUAUUCCUAACAAAGUCACAUUAUUGGGACAAAAUUGUUCCAUUGGAUCUUAUUUAUAGUGACUUCCUAUUUUUCUGGGAUUAUACCUUUGGACACCAAGUAAGUCAGGCAAAAGGAGCCUCUAAUGGAAGAACUGUUUACUUUGGAACAAAACUGAAACAGUGAAGGUGAGGCUAGUCCACCACCACCAUGUGAUCCUUUGCUGGCAGAAAAGCCUACUCUAAACAGCUUUUGGAACUUGCUAUGACGGAUUGGAUAAUAUGCCAAGAACCCUGAUUCUGAGUCUGGUUUAUGAGAGGAAAGCUUAUCACUGAGUGAGCUGUGUACAUGCUUAGCCCAUUACCUACCUAUCACAUUCAAGAUUUGAUUUUUAUUACUCCAAAAUAUCCUGGGAAAUUUUUAUAAUAGCAUUAACUAGGAUACUAAACUAAACAUGUUACUGAGGUAUACUGUCCUUCUGUUGUGUGAACACAAGUAAUUUGCAUAAAUGACAGAGUGCUAUACAACAGUCUUAGAUUUACAGGUGUGUUGUUAUGUUCCUUCAUGACCAUCGCUUUUAAAAUUCAGUUCCUAGCCUUGGGAAUAUUUUCAGUUAGCACAUUUUUUUCUGAUUUUAGGAACCAUGCAGAAGCCUGUGGAUUUCAUGUGAUAUGUUUUCUCUGAUUAUUUCAAGAUAUAGGGGUUGAAGAGUGGAACCCUGUCAGGUUCAUGCACUAGAGAAAUAAUCAUAGCCUUCACUUCAAUUCUAGGCAGGUUCCCCAUAAGGCAUCCACAUGGUUUUCUAGGUUGUUCACAUCUCUCUUGAACUCAGAUUCAGACAUCGCUACAAUGUUAUUAUUCAAUAUAUUAUACCUGGACUAUUGGAGUAAUAUAGUGUUUUUCUUUUAAACUCUAGUACAGUGUGUAGUUCACAGUUAAGUUUCUAGCACUUUUUAAAAGCUGAGAAAAAAAUUCCAAGCCCAGGUGCUCUAUGACACUUGGGUAUGCAGGGAAUGACCUCAGGCUAUGAUAGGUCAUAAUAGAUUAUCCAGCUGAAUAAAUCUCAUGUGGGACGGAGAGCUGAAUUGACAAAUCCUAAUCAGGCCUUUCUUCUUUCCUUCCCUAGGUAUGAAAUACUCCAGCAGAAACUGGAACAUGGAAGAGACCAGGACAAGGUCUCCUUUGAAGAGAACUUCUAUAGUGGGAUCCCUGCAUGUGCAAAGCAAAUAUUUCAUCUCAUCCCCAGUACUCAUGGCUAUCAUCUGUUGCAUUUUCUUCCUUUACUUUUUUUUUUCUUGCAAUGAAUAGCCCUUAAUUUCAUCUGUGCUCUGGCUCAGCAAGAGUGAACAUGUAGAGGAAUUCAGACAUGGGCUGAGGCACAUCAAGAGCUACUGGGGAAACAGGAAGAUUCUGAGAGUAAAUUUUUCUUGUCCUGAUAGGUCAUCAAGGAAAAUUACAAAAUCAUUCUACAAAAUUGCAAAGGCUUUGAGCCAAAGUCUGUAACAUGUUUUCUGCUUAGUCUUGGGUGUCCAUAUUCUUCAAACCCAUACUCUAAAAAAGGAGACCUACUUUAAUUUCUCUUGUAAAGAUUGUUACCAGAAGUAACUUAUUUUCUACUGUGUUGCUAAGGACAGUAAUGGGCUGUAAGUCUGUGCUGCUAAAUGACAGCCAAAGAAGGCUCUUUAGCACAAUUCUUGCUUUUAGAUUUUGGUUUGAACUUGGAUUACUUUUGUUAUUUGGUUUUCUUUAGUUUCAUUAGAAGUUUUUUGUUUGUUUCUUUGCUGUUGUUUGGUUUUGUAAUUGAUUUAAUGUUUUGAUAAGGCUAUACACUGUACAUAUGGACUGCCCACUUUUAGUAACUAUUGAGUAAACUGGAUGUAUUCUAAGAAUAAAACAGUGAUCUCCAACUCUUCACUCUAAGAAACUUCUUUAUUCAGCUGUGGUAUCACUCUAUUGAAAUCCCAAACCUAUCAGAGAAAGAUGGAUCUCUGUAUGGGGCUUGGGUUCCAUAAUUACUUCCCAGCCAGCCUGAGCUUCGAAAGCAAUUGAUUGUACAUUCAGUGUGGAUAGUGUGUCCAACUAUGUGGAUAACGACUUCAUGAUGGAAAAGUUAUCCAUGCUGUAUCCUUGCACGUCAAAUAUUUAGCUGCUGCUAAAAUACUGUGAAUUAUAGUGUUGAACAAAUUAAUGGGAAAUAUAUCAGUAUUUCUGAAAUGUCUUUCAGGAAAUAAAAACAAAUUCUAAAGGAAUAUAAAAGCUGGUAGAAAACACAGACAUGUAUGCUAUUGCUUUCCUUCAAAUGUUCUAUCAGUGGUAAAUACUACUACAGAUAUUCAAUUUUAGGACCUUUUGAGAUAGGGAUGUAUUAUUUUUUUUGUUGUUUUGUUGUUUUUCUUUAUUCUGAGAGUGAAUUUUGUGCUUGACAAUACAUUUGGUUCCUUUUUGGGGUUUGAACACAAGCACAGUGUGUAGUUCAGUAUUCAGUAUCCAGAUGAUUUUAAAAGCAGAGACAAAAUCCAGGCCCAUUAUGUUCUAUGAGUUUUCGCCCUCAUUUCCCCCCCACCCAGUGGCGAUUCUGUUUGUUAUUUGGAUUUAUUUUAUAUUUAUGCAUGAUUUGCCUUCUGUAGGUCUGUGCAACACUUGCAUGCCAUUCCCCAAAGGCCAGAAGAAGUUAUUGGGUUUCACCUGGAACUAAAAUGACAGAGGACUGUUAGAUGCCAUGUGGAUCUUUGAGAAAAAUAUUCUCAAAUGAAGAGCUAUUUCUCCAUCCCCUAAUAUGGACUUUUGUCCUUCUUUGUGUGCUAUAUUAGUGGAAUGGAUCAUACCUAUAGGAAGUGUUUCUUGAGGUAUUUUUAGUUUGUUGUAAAAAAGUAGAAGCACCCAUUUCCUUUCAGAGCCAAAGCAGUUAAGAAUGUGAUUUGAAGUUUCUCUUUGGAUCAGAGAAGCAUGUUUUGGGAGAAGCAACACCAGGUAACAGGGACAAAUCAUAGUGCAGAGCUCAGCACUGACACUACCACAGGAAAGUGGGCAAUGCAGAGAAUCCUGGCAUAAGACAAUGGAGCUGGUGCUAAGUUAAAAUCCUGCAAUUGAAGUGGCUCUGAAAAUGAGAUAGAGCCUUCCCAGAUGGUGGCUGAAUGGACUCUUCCAUUUCUUUACAAAAGGAAACAUGGUAUCCAUUUGAGUAGCUGGUGUGUACUAGAGAUGCAACCCCCUCCUUUGCAGGGUAGGGCUCUGUUGGGAAAACCUCUACAAAAGCACUGAAUGGGUCAGAGGUACUUAACCCUUAACUCAGUACUUCUGCUAGCUUUCUGAUUCUGUACAUUGCACACAAUAACCCUUGUAAGAGACCCAGCGUUUUGACUUAGUUUGAAUGGCAUACGGUAUGACAUAUUCUAGACUUUACUAUUCAGGACUAUUCUCAAAUGUUGUGUGAAACUAAUUUUAGAACUUCAAUAACUUUUACAUUUCUCGGUUCCCAAUGUUAUCUCUCUUUCAUUUUCUAAUAAUUUCUUCAAACUUUCCUUGAAAGUUAUGCAUUAAUCUGGGACUACAAUUACACAGUUAUCAUUACAUUGUUUCCAAGAUGAGAACACACAGCAUACACCUGGAACAUUUUAAGCUGUGCUGUACUGAGCCCUUAUAUCUCAAUUUUUCGUAGUUUAAGAAUCAUUACAUCAAGAAACAUUGAGGUUCACAGACUCCACCAGAGCAGAAGAAGAAAGAAAUAGGAAAUUCAGAUAUAAUAGAAUAAUUAUACAUAUCAAGGCCAGCUGAAAAGCUGUCAUGCACAAUGAAUUCUAUAGAGUGAUUGUACAGGGCUAAGGGUAAGAUAAAGGGGAAUUACAUUUUAGUAUGAAGAGCUUCCACAGGCUAUUGAGAUGUUUCUAUCACAGCCUACAUCAGGCAAUCCCUAAUUUCAAAUGGCAAGUACCCAGGAGGAAUGUGUCUCCUGCUUCUCAAGACCACAGACACCAAACUUUUUUACAAGGAGCUGCUGCAGGCUGCUGAGAGGUUUCCAUUGUGACCUGUAGUGGGCAGUCCCUCUAAUUGCAUGCUCUUUCCAUCAGCCUUUAAGUGUAAAAAUGCAGAGACCCACUGCCAAACAGUAGGCUGUGGUCAGAGUCUUGUGGAAGUAUUGGUGGAAGGGUUGUAUUAGCCAGAAGGGUUAGGAAGCCACAAGAGGACCUACAGUCAACUAAUCUGGGCUCUUGGGGUUCACAGAGACUGAACAAUGAGCCAACACCAUGUAGGGGCUUGAACUAGGACCCUUACAUAAAUGAAAUAGAUGUGCAUCUUGGUCUUCAUGUGGGUGACUAUGAAUUGGAGUGGGUGCUGCCUCGGAUUUAGACUCUGUUACCUGCCUUUAGAUAUCUUUUCCCUAGCUGGGCUGCCCUGUCUGGGCUCAGUGAGAGAGGAUGCACUUAUUCCUGAUGCAACUUGAUAUGCCAGGAUGGGUUGGUACUAGAAGAAAAAAGAGGGUCCCUUUCUCUGGGGAGAAGGGGAUAGGGAAUUGGGGGGGAGUGGGACAUUGAGUCUGACUGGGAAGAGAGGGAGGGGCUGUGAUCAGGUGGAAAUAAAUAAAUAAUUCAAUGAAAAAAUAUGCACAUCCUUUGUUUCUUGAAGACUUUCUGUUCAAGUAUGUCUUUGACCAUUUUCUCCAUGGUCUUCCCUCCCCCUCCCCUCCCCUCCAGGCAAUGCUCUUCUUCUCCUUCCCCAUCACCUUCAGGUUUAAGACAAAGUUUUAGUAGAACCAAUGUAAACUCAUCCUGACUUGCUUCCAAACAAAUGACUCUGACUAUGCUUAUAUCAUUUGGCUUUGAUGAUUACUGUGAGGUGGUGCACACUUUUACUCCCAGCACUUGUGAGGCAGAGGCAGGAGGAUUUCUGAGUUUGAGGCCAGCCUGAUCUACAAAGUGAGUUCCAGGACAGCCAGGGAUAUACAGGGAACCCUGUCUUAAAAAAUCAAAAAUAGAGACAAUUACUGUGGGUGGGGUGACCCCUAAUCUGCUUUUCUAACAACUCACCUGGGUACCUUUCCAGUGGUGCACCCCAAAUGCUUGCUGUUUCUCCUCCAUAUGCCCUCAUGGUGCAGCUUCUCCAUGGUGCAUUCUCCCUUUUUUCUAGUUUCUCCUCUUUUCUUUCACUUCUCCACCCACAACCAGAUAACUAAAAACUCACAUAUGUCUAAUCCUUCCAGUACACACCAGUAGCCAAUUUUAUUUUACUAAUGGUUUUAAAUUAAGCAACAAUAUUUGCACAACAAAAUCUUUUGAUAGAAUUCUCUCCUAGUUCCAGACCUUCCUAGGAACAGAAUUUAGCAUUACAAUACAUAGCAACAGAUGUUAACUCAAUGAAGUUCUUAGAGUAAUGAAGGUGACUUAAAAUUCCUUAUGUAGUCAAGGAUGCUCCUGAACUCCUGAUUGGGACCUCCUCUCCCAAGUGCUGGGAUUUCAAGCAAUGGUGUGAGAUGUCAGUAACUCCAGUUUCAAGGGAUAUGAGGCCUUCUUCUGUGUCUCCUGACACCAUGUACCCACAUCAUGCAUGGAAAUACAUGGUGCCAAAAACCCUUCCAAAUGUGGGGUAUGCAUCUUACUGUAUAUGAACUAGUGGGACUAUUUCCUUAUAAUUACUAUGUUUAAUACUCUUCUGUUAGGCUGGUCAGAAUCCCCAAAGCAGAUUAUUCAUUAGUCCCCUGGAUGCACUUGCCUUGGAGCUGAAUGAAGGCCUGGGUUCCACAAUUUAUCUGUGAAUAUUUGCAUUAUCCCUUCCUACAAGUACAAAGUCCCCUUAACAGGUAAACCUAAAACCUCCCAACCUCAGGACCUUAUUUGACUUCAUCCUGAAUAAAAAAUAAACAAAAAAACAAACAAACAAACAAAAACAUAAUCUCCACCCACUGUUUAGACUGCAUUUAUUUCAUAGCAUUCUCUAUGCCUGUGCCUCUCCUGGUAUUAAAGGCAAGUGCCAUCAUACUAGGCUAGAUCAUUGUGUCUUGCAAGAAUGAACUAGAUCAUCUGGGCCAUUUUAAAGUGAUCUUCUGGUACACAUAACAGGAAAGUAGGACCAUAUCCCUGUCAUGUGAGUGUCCAGACAAGGUGGUACAUGAUUAAUCCAUGUGGGCUGAAAAGAGAAGGAGAAUGUUCUACAGAGGAAUGAACUACAGCUAUGGCUGUUUCUUCUUGACCUUGAGCCAACUCCACUGUGUAUAUUGAGAAGAGGAAGCAAUUGUCUCAGCAGCAAUUUCACAAGACAGUGACUUUCAUUACUCUCCUUAUGCUGCCUAGAGCACAGAUCCAAAGACCUUCUAGUGGUGGGAAUACCUUCUACCUGGAAAACUGUCAGACACUCUGUGCUAGGCCUCUGCCUUCACCUCACAUUCCACUGUCAACUCCCAGGUCAAUUUAAUCGUUUCAUAGCCUACUGUUGUCAGCCUGGGCAUAUGCCUCCCUCUUAGGGUCCUUUGUACUUUGCAACUGGUGUCUGCUUAAACCUAGGAGUGCUAGCACUGUAAAUCGUUUCACUCUGUGUCACUGAUAACUGCUAUUUUGUCAGAGGAAGAUAUUAGCAUAUGGCAGUACAGGUGACCCAAAGCAGCUGUACAUCAUCCAGGCCAGCAUCCUCACUAAAGCAGACUCUGACAGCUGAUGAGGCUUCAACAGGCCACAGGGAUUAGUACAAAUUUCAUCACAGUUUUUGUAUCUCUUUGAUGUAAUCAGAGGUAGACAGUAAAACAAAACUAUAGCAACAAAGAAACAGCAAUGAAAUAACAGCAUCUACUACAGUUGACCAUGCAUGUAUUGAAAACCAUUUAGAGCAGUUUGGAACGCAUGAUAUUCACACCUCAGUUACAAGUUCCCUAUAUCCAAAAUCCCUAACCAAUCUUUCAGGUUUUGGUCUGAUGCUGGCCUCCUUGGUUUCUCUAGCUUCUGGGCAACAAAAGUGAAAAUAAAAAGUACUGAACCUCUCAAAUGGUGCACAGAGUCAUAUAAUUACAUGUGUGUAUCAGAUUGAGAGUUCUCAGUGUAAGUGAGCAGUGGGAAACUUGAGCUGUUAAGACCUGGCACCCCCACCUACAUGAAAGUCUGAGGACAACUGAUGGAAUUUUUUCUUGCCUAUGAUGUGGGUCACAGGGAAGGAACUCAGGUCUCUAUGCUUGGUCGAAUUACCUUUUCCACUGAGCCAUCUCAUCAGCCAGUCAACACAGACACAGAAUUUAAUGAUCUAUGUAUUAGUAUUUAUAUUCUGGGUUAUACCCCAACUCUGAAAACUUUCCCCUGAGAAUAUAUCUACUCAAUUAAGGGCAAUAAAUGGAGUCUGGGAGGAAUCUAUGAGGAGGGUGGCAGACUUUAAAAGCCUCCAUGGAGCCUCAGUUUUUUUCUCCAACCAGUCUGGAUGAGAUGGGAUAAUUUUUCCUUCUCAUUGACCUCCCAGUGCUAUGAUUGAACCUAAUAAAAGGCCAUGCUCCCUGAGUUAUAUUCCAGGCCUUUAACUUCAGUCAUCUGCUACAACAACUACAAGGCAAGUGGCAAUUUGGGACUCCAUAGUCAGUUUGGCUGCUACAAGAUUGGUCCUUGAGAGUGGCUGACAGAAUGCUUUCAAGCCUAGGAAUAUCUAUCUGAAAGAGUAAAGGAAGUGUCUCAGUCCACACUGCAUAGUCAGGACAGUUUAGUUGUUUAAAGACUGAUAUCAAGCUGUUAUCUACCUGCUCAAAUAGCAUUACUAAAUAUCAGGUUAAGCUACCCAACAGGUAGCAUUUACCAAAACAGCCAAGCACUACUCUGAAGACCUACAAGUAAAUAAGGCUCAGGAUCCACCAGAGAAUUGAAAGAUGGACAAGAAGACCCAUAUCACUUGAUGAUGAUUGUUUUCCUAUGUGUUUAAAACUCUCCCUUUCUGUGAAAAAAGAAAGAGGAGACAAAAGACAGUAGGCAACUUAACUCUUUCCCCAAUCCUUCUCAGGCUUCUUCUUAAAAGUCAUGGUUUGACAGCACCAGUUUUGGGAUUCAGGGGAUUAAUUCUUUCACACAUUAAGUCUCAGACUCACAUUUAGUCUCAGAAAUUAGAUCUGUUCCAGGAGACCUUCACAAGAAUGAAGCAUCCACUGGAAGUAGUACUUCUUCAUUAAACUCUGAGAUCUAGUAUGGUUAAGAUCAAUAUCAUCCAUCGCUCUCCCUUCCUAGCCUUGCACAGACAUGCUCCCCACCAUAGGCAUGUGACCUCUAUUUCAGGAUCCAUCCCUGCAGGAGAGUUUGAAGUUUCAUCCCAACACUGGUUAGCUGGCCUUAAAUGGUUAUUCCUUCCUCUAACCCUACCUACUGAGGAACUUCUCAAUUCUGCAUUUCAUCAAUUAGGCAUUUCAUGCCUAGUCUGCAUGGUUAUCCUACAUGAGAGGUAACAGAUUUGCUUCAGCCUUGACAAUUCUAUUGCAUUAUCUUGAACCCACAAGAGCUCUGCAUGGGUGCCAGGUAACCUACGAAAAUUAGAAUUCCAAUUUCAAGCAUCUGAACCUAUAGGUCUCGAGAAACUUCUAUAUUUGAUGUGGAUGAUCUUGUUCAAUUAAAAACCACACAAUCUGGAAGGACAUAGAGGAAAUGUAGAGUAGGGACAGGAAAGAAGGCUCUUCCAUUAAGAACAUUUCUCUACCCACCAGAGGACCCAGAGUGCAUCUAACAAUCCUAUUAAUGAGUCUCUGGGUUGAACACCAUGCCCUCUUCUGGCCUCUGGAGAAAUUGCAUGCAUUUAGUGCACAGAUGUGGUCUUGGGGGGAUUUCUACAGCCCCCUUUGGGCGCCUAUGGGGGCCUGCUCCUCGCACCUGGCUGACUUGCUUUUUGCAGGUUUUGCUGGUACCAUGUACGGGUUGCAGCAGGCAAAACAUAUAUAUAAAUAAAAAAAAAUAGCAAUGAUCAAAAUUCAAACAAAUAAACAAAAACCAAAAAGGCAUCAAAUGUGUAGCCGGUCUCAGGUUCUGGGUCCUUCCCAUGGAGAGAGGUCCAUUUGGGUUGGUCAUAGUGACAGUAAGCUUCUCUGGAAAUCGCGUGUAAGAUUCCCUGUAUUGGUCUUGCUUGUGUUUGUCAUUUCUGUGGUACUGUGAUUCUAUAGUGGUUGCCUGAAAAACGGUUUCUGUGUGUGUGUCUUUUGUGUCUCUUUGUGUUCAGACUUGGACUAAUGACUGAUGACUGUUUUUGAGUUAUGCCCUCUGGAAUAAGCCUAAGAAUCCUGUCAGAUCCCUAUGCUGACCACUUCCUUUCAGGUCCUCAGCUGCCCUGCCUCCCACUCCAACUCCAGGGAGUAGCCAGAGGGUCACAGUGGUCCCGCCCAUGGACCUGGAGCCUAGGGGGAAAUGAGCUCGGAAAAUCCGGAGCAAAUGAGGAGUGGUCCCUGAAAAGUCAGUGGCCCUGGAUGGAUGUCGUGGCUGCUAAAGAGAAAAAGAGGAGGAGGCUGUGGGAGUAGCCAGCCAAGAGCUCCACAGGUUUCCCUGAUUGCUUCUCAUUCCCCUGUCCCUUGCAUUCCCUCUCUUGUUAACAGAAAAACUGCUUUCACUUUAAGAUAAGUGCUGAUACAGCCAGCUGUGAGAGCUGCUCCCUUUUCUGCUCUGAAGUUCCCUCUUCUCAGAAGGCAGGACCACCCUGAGUUGCUGGCAGUGAGUCUGUUCCAAGUUCCAGUGAGGGAGGCAUCCACCCACUUGGGGCUUCUGUCCAAGGUAAGGAGCACCUGCGAGUCUAACUGUCAGGCUCUGAUGGGUGUCUCGUCUCUGUGGGACUAGAAAGUGCCCCAACAAUCUGACCGAGGUAAUGGGAAGUUACAGAAGUUAAGAGAAGGACAGGGUAAGUCGGUAAGAAAGUGCAGAGGAAGAGAAACAAAGGAAAGAUAGAGGUCUGCAAAGAAGUGAGCUAAGAGCAAAGCUUCAGCAGACUCAGGAGAGAUAGGUUAACAGUGAGGAGAGGUAGAAAUAGAGAUGAAGGAGAUUAGAGAGGUCUGAGAUGAGAGAGAUACUCUAAAUGAGAAAUAUUUAGAGGAAGAACCAGUAAAUAAGAGUCAGACAAGAAGAAGAGUUAAGGAAACAUGAGGCUGACAAAGACAGAGACCAGAGUCAGAAUCAGAGCUGUGCUGUGAGACAAAAAGAUAUAUAUAUAUAUAUAUAUAGAGAGAAGAUUAUUAUGAGAUCUCCAUUACAGUUAGGAAACAGGAGUAAAGAGAGGUAAAUGACAAAGACUAAAACCUAGCAAAGUGGCACAUGCUAGCACUUAGAAAUGAUCUGUAAGAAAUAAGAAGCCAGAAAAUUAAAAAAAGAUAAGAGAAAUGAAAUGCUUGCCACAAAAGUCAGGGAAACUAAAAAACUUAGAUAAGUACCUGGCAACAAAAGAAAGCUUUUGGCUAAAGAUCAAUGUGUUUAAGAGAUCGCAAAAGGGGUGCUAAUACAGAAGCUGAGUCCUUAGAAGAGGCCGGUGGCCUACCUGUUGAAGCAGCUAGAAAAGAGACUGUGUUUCAUACUCCUCCACCGACCAGUGCAAAACAAGCUAAAAAAGUUCCUGGGCACUGCGGGCUUUUGCAGAUUGUGGAUUCCAGGUUUUACUAAAUUAAAGAGAUAAACAGCCCUUCGUAUAUAAAAAAUAAAGAACAAUCUUGGAUGGCCUUGGAUGCUAUUGAGACUGCCCUAAUGUUGUCCCCAACUUUGGGACUCCUAGAUGUGACUGAGAACAAAAGUUUUGCCAAAGAGGUUCUUACUCAGAGAUUGGGACCCAGGAAAAGACCUGUGGCAUACUUGUAAGAAAUUAGACUUGGUGGCUGUAGGAUGGCCUGCUUGUCUGCACAUAGUGGCUUCUGGUCAAGGACGCAGAUAAAUUGACUCUGAGACAAAAUUUGGCACAUGCCCUAAAAAGUGUGGUUCAGCCCCCCCGACUGAUGGCUGACUAAUGCUCUUAAAAACAUUAUCCAACUGUUCCCCUGACCGAUGGACACAUUGUCAGAGCUUUUUGUUGACUGAACGAGUGACCUUCGCUCCCCCUGCUGUCCUCAAUCUCACUACUGCCUGAGACUUCACCUACUCAUCAUUGUGCUGACAUUCUGGCAGAAGGAACUCAUACUCGAAAUGAUCUGAAGGAUCAGAUCAGCCUUGGCCUGAGAGUUUGAGCUGGUACACGGAUGGCAGUAGCCUCGAGGUUGAAGGUAAGCGGAAGGCGGGGACAGCAGUGCAGUGGUGGACAGAAAGCAAGUGAUCUAGGCCAGCAGCCUCCCUAAAGGGACUUCAGCCCAGAAAGCUAAUCUUGUGGCUUUAAUACAAGCUCUAUAUAUACAGACAAAGAGAGCUGUUGACAUCUGCAGAGAAAGACCUAAGAUGCUGUGGCUAAAAGAAAUCAGAUGGCAAAUCUAACCACCAAACAGGCAUCCUAAAGAGCAAUGAUCCUGACAGUCUGAAGACUAUCAAGUUAUAGACAAAUUAAGACUGGUAAAAGAAACCCUGUAUAAAAUAGUAGAAACUGAAGUAAGAAAACUAGUCCUCUCAUGAGAAGACAGACCUGACAUCUACUGAAAAAUAGACUUUACUGAAAAAAUAUGUGUAUGAAUACCUUCUGGUUUUUGUGAACAUUCUCAAGAUAGAUAAAAGCUUUUCCUUGUAAAACUGAGACUGCUCAGAUAGUCAUCAAGAAGAUUAUUAAAAAAAAUUUUUUUCCAAGGUUCAGAGUGCCAAAAGCAAUAGUGUCAGAUAAUGGCCCUGCCUUUGUUGCCCAGGUAAGUCAGGUUGUGGCCAAGUAUUUAGAGGUCAAAUGAAAAUUGUAUUAUGUGUACAGACCUCAGAACUCAGGACAGAUAGAAAUAAUGAAUAAAACUCUAAACAGACCUUGACAAAAUUAAUCCUAGAGACUGGCACAGACUUACUUGGUGCUCCUUCCCCUUGCCCUAUUUAGAACUGAGAAUACUCCCUCUUGAUUCAGUUUUACUCUUUUUGAGAUCCUUUAUGGGGCUCCUAUGCCCAUCACUGUCUUAAAUGAUGUGUUUAAACCUAUGUUGUUAUAAUAAUGAUCUGUAUGCUAAGUUAAAAGGCUUGCAGGUGGUGCAGAAAGAAGUUUGGUCACAACUGUCUACAGUGAAUGAGCCGGGUACCCCAAGGACAUCUUACCAGUUCCAGCCAGAGAUCUGAUCUACGUACACCUGUGUCAUGCUGAGACCCUCAAGCCUCACUAGAAGGGUCCCUGCCUAGUUCUGUUUACUAAUCCGUCUUAUUCUGUUUUUGUUCCCAUGUUAAAGAUAGAGUAAAUGCAGUAUUCUCCACAUAGAGAUAUAGACUUCUGAAAUUCUAAGAUUAGAAUUACUUAGUAGAAGAAGAGGGGAAUGAAAGAAAGAUGAAAUUUCAAGACCUGUAAGUCAUAUAAAGUACUCAGAAAUUGCUGGUUGUUUGUGAGCCUAGAGGCUGCCUGGGGCUGAGAAAAGAGAAAAACAAACCUGGGUAUGCCUUGUAGUUAAAACAUUCCUGGGAACAUCUUGACCAUAAGAUAAAGGGGACUGUGAAGACAUAGCAGGGUUAUAUUAUCUAAGUCAACACCAUCUGGCCAGAAUCUCCCCUCUGUCUAUUGCCCCUUGGAGCCAGGUAAAGUCAUACAUCAACUGGUUGCUAUGUGAACAAAGAUAAGCACCCAGCCCACAGGAACAAAGUCCUGAUGCACUGUGUUCUUUCUGUUAAUGUUUGAAUAAGCCAAUAGUGUGUCGCUAUGCUGAAUUCCACACCCCUAAGCCCCUUACCCCAUAAAAGCCCCUGGCUUUCGAGCCUCGUGGCCGACAUCUGUUAUCUCCUGUGUGGGAUGCAUGUCGGCCCGGAGCUCCGUAAUUAAACGUCCUCAUGUAAUUACAGCGAAUGGGUCCUCGUGUUUCUUUGGGUGCUCUAACACUCCCGAGACUAGAGUGGGGGUCCACGAAAGGGGGUCUUACACUAGGAAGGGGUAAAGUGUCCACACUUUGGUCUUCCUUCUUCUUGAAUUUCAUGCGUUUAGCAAGUUGUAUCUUAUAUCUUGGGUUUCCUAAGUUUCUGGGCUAAUAUCCACUUAUCAGUGAGUACAUAUUGUGUGAGUUCCUUUGUGAUUGGGUUACCUCACUCAGGAUGAUGCCCUCCAGGUCCAUAUAUUUGCCUAGGAAUUUCAUAAAUUCAUUUUUUAAUAGCUGAGUAGUAUUCCAUUCUGUAAAUGCACCACAUUUUCUGUAUCCAUUCCUCUGUUGAGGGGCAUCUGGGUUCUUUCCAGCUUCUGGCUAUUAUAAAUAAGGCUGCUAUGAAAAUAGUGGAGCAUGUGUCCUUCAUACCGGUUGGGACAUCUUCUGGAUAUAUGCCCAGGAGAGGUAUUGCUGGAUCCUCCGGUAGUACUAUGUCCAAUUUUCUGAGGAACUGCCAGACUGAUUUCCAGAGUGGUUGUACAAGCUUGCAAUCCCACCAACAAUGGAGGAGUGUUCCCCUUUCUCCACAUCCUCGCCAGCAUCUGCUGUUACCUGAGUUUGUGAUCUUAGCCAUUCUGACUGGAGUGAAGUGGAAUCUCAGGGUUGUUUUGAUUUGCAUUUCCCUGAUGAUUAAGGAUGUUGAACAUUUUUUCAGAUGCUUCUCAGCCAUUCGGUAUUCCUCAAGUGAGAAUUCUUUGUUCAGCUCUGAGCCCCAUUUUUUAAUGGGGUCAUUUGAUUUUCUGGAGUCCACCUUCUUGCGUUCUUUAUAUAUAUUGGAUAUUAGUCCCCUAUCUGAUUUGGGAUAGGUAAGAUCCUUUCCCAAUCUGUUGGUGGCCUUUUUGUCUUAUUGACAGUGUCUUAUGCUUUGCAGAAGCUUUGCAAUUUUAUGAGGUCCCAUUUAUUGAUUCUCAAUCUUACAGCACAAGCCAUUGCUGUUCUAUUCAGGAAUUUUCCCCCUGUACCCAUGUCUUCGAGGCUUUUCCCUACUUUCUCCUCUAUAAGUUUUAGUGUCUCUGGUUUUAUGUGGAGUUCCUUAAUCCACUUAGAUUUAACCUUAGUACAAGGAGAUAGAAAUGGAUCAAUUCGCAUUCUUCUACAUGAUAAUCGCCAGUUGUGCCAGCACCAUUUGUUGAAAAUGCUGUCUUUUUUCCACUGGAUGGUUUUAGCUCCCUUGUCAAAGAUCAAGUGACCAUAGGUGUGUGGAUUCAUCUCUGGGUCUUCAAUUCUCUUCCAUUGGUCUACUUGUCUGUCACUGUACCAGUACCAUGCAGUUUUUAUCACAAUUGCUCUGUAGUACAGUUUUAGGUCUGGCAUGGUGAUUCCACCAGAGGUUCUUUUAUCCUUGAGAAGAGUUUUUGCUAUCCUCGGUUUUUUGUUAUUCCAGAUGAAUCUGCCGAUUGCCCUUUCUAAUUCGUUGAAGGAUUGAGUUGGAAUUUUGAUGGGGAUUGCAUUGAAUCUGUAGAUUGCUUUUGGCAAGAUAGCCAUUUUUACAAUGUUGAUCCUGCCAAUCGAUGAGCAUGGGAGACCUUUCCAUCUUCUGAGAUCUUCUUUAAUUUCUUUCUUUAGAGACUUGAAGUUCUUAUCAUACAGAUCUUUCACUUAUUUAGUUAGAGUCACGCCAAGGUAUUUUAUAUUAUUUGUGACUAUUGAGAAGGGUGUUGUUUCCCUAAUUUCUUUCUCAGCCUGUUUAUCCUUUGUGUACAGAAAGGCCAUUGACUUGUUUGAGUUAAUUUUAUAUCCGGCUACUUCAUUGACGCUGUUUAUCAGGCUUAGGAGUUCUCUGGUGGAAUUUUUAGGGUCACUUAUAUAUACUAUCAUAUCAUUUGCAAAAAGUGAUAUUUUGACUUCUUCCUUUCCAAUUUGUAUCCCCUUGAUCUCCUUUUGUUGUCUAAUUGCUCUGGCUAGGACUUCAAGUACAAUGUUGAAUAGGUAGGGCGAGAGUGGACAGCCUUGUCUAGUCCCUGAUUUUAAUGGGAUUGCUUCUAGCUUCUCACCAUUUACUUUGAUGUUGGCUACUGGUUUGCUGUAGAUUGUUUUUAUCAUGUUCAGGUAUGGGCAUA
rnacentral:lncRNA from 1 species